CAGAACGUUCUGAAGCAAUUUCACUAACUUAACUUUUUCAAGUAAACCACUUGAGAAUUAAUUUUAAGUUGCAGGUUAAUUUUUAAAGGGUCACAAUUCAAACCCCCCUCCUUGUGACUAUUUUAUCUACUUCAUAUGUAUAAAACAAAUAGUGUAAAAUACGAUUCAUAAAAAGCUUGAUAUGGUUCGAAUAGUGUAAAAUGAGAUAAUUUGAAUAUCAUGAAGAUUGAUACAAAUCACUAGGACAUUGAUACCAAUCUGACAAUUUCCAUAUGAAGUUUAAAUCGAUUCAAACUUCCAAAGGCAAUAGUUUGGACCGUGUCAUGAAACCCAUAUGAAAAUUGAAACGAAUCAAACAUUGUUACAUAUCAAUCAAGCCAAAAUCUUGGACAGAGUGCUCAAUUGAAUCAUAUCAAAGAUUUAAAGAAAAACUUUGAAUCAAUCGUAUCAAAAUGUCAUUUUAGAGGACCAAGUGAACCUGGAGGGCGUGAUUGAUAUGAAUCAACACAAGGUUGAAUCGUAUCAAAUGACUCAAAAACCAAUUCUAACAAGACUUGAUUCACAAGAAACUUUUAAACACAAUUUUAACACAUGACACUAAUGUAGAGAACCUGAGAUCAUAGAUUGACUAGGGUGCUUUCGCAACGCAGCUGUUUAAUCAUAAAAAACAUAAUCAACAUUUAAAUAAAAACAUCAUCAAAACCUAAACUAAGAGGCAAUCCACAAAAAUAAUAAUUAAACUGGGUCAAUGCUAUCAUCCAAAUAACCCAUUACUUAUUUAUAUCUUUUUAAAAAUUAUUCAAUACAUUAGAUAGUUAAUAAUCACUAAUUAUAUUCAUACAUGAAUAUGCUACUAUAUGUCAACUAAUAGUAAUAUAUACUUUUCAUUAUAAAUCUAUCAAAUUUAUGUUAAAUCAUGUUUUAUAAUACCUAUCUAUUUUUAGUUGAAUUCUUUUUAAAAUGUGUGGUGAAUCAAUAACAUAAAAUUAAAUUAUUUUUUAUAGUGAUUUAUUUACCGUGCUUGGCACGGGCUCCAUACUAGUUACAUUCAUAUGUAAAUACAGCUAUAAAAAGAUAGGAUAUUGAUAAUAAUAAAUGAACCAGAAGUUACUAUUAUUAUUAUUUUAGAAUAAUGUCCAGCUGGGGGAAUAUCAUCCCGAGUUGUUGCACAUAAAUUAGUCAUUGACCACCAAUCAACAAAAAGGUUCCAACUGGUCCCGCAUUUUUUUUGGUAUAGAUUAAUUUUUUAGUGGAGUUCUAUUUUAGUGAUGAAGGAAAAAUGUGAAAUUCAAUUUAGCUCGUUAAAAAAAUAAAGAGCCUUGCUAACGAACAUUUUUUUUUUAAGAUUUUUAAUUAAAAAAUUAUUCAUUAAAAAAAUUUAAUGUUUCAAUUUUCGAUAUAUAAAAUGGACAAAUUUUCAUAAAAAUUUACUAUCUAAAUUCUUUAAAGAAUGCACGGACACUCGUUAGCAUUUCACAAAAAUAAAAACAAUUUUAGUAAUUAAGAAAAAUGACAAAUUACUCCUUAUCGCAAUUUACAAGAGCUAGUUUUUACUUUUUUUUUUAUGGUGGUCGAGGUUUGAACCAAACUCAUCGUUGUUUCGUAGAGUUAAAAUCAACAACAGUGAUAUUUAAUAAAAAAAAUUCAAUAAUCUCAUCUUCGAUAUAAACAAUUUUUAUGCUUGUUUUGUUUUAAAAGGUUUUUAUUAAUAGAAACUUAAGGUCUUAGGUCAUGUGUAUUGAAUUAAAAAACGAAACAUUAUACAAUAUAUUAUAAAGUUAAAAAAAAAAAGUAGAGACUAAAACAUAUAAUGUAUACUAAUAUAAAAAGGUAAAAAGUUACAAACAAAAGGACCAUAAUCUUUGUUGACCUUCAUCUAACUUUGUCCUUGAUGGAGGCGGAUCAAAUUUCUCUUGUUAUCUUGUGCAUACACUAGAAUUUCUUCAUGCAAUUUUAACCUUCUUUAUUCUUGUGACACAAGUUAAUACUAGAUAGAAUUGUAUCCAUGAUUAAAUAUUUCCAGUACAUUUUUUUAAUAAAAAUAUUAUUGCAAAAGUGAGCUUUCAUAAAGCUAGCUAUAUUUUUCUUAAAAAAAAAAAAUAAAGCUAGCUAUUUUAUAGAUAAUUCAACUUAACUUUUAAAAAUAAAGUUCAAUAUUUCUCACAAUUAAAAUGUGAAAAAGUUUAGAUAAAUUAUAUGUAAGUCAUUUGUUUUGUACGUCAUUUGAAUUUCUCAACCCUUAAGAUAAAUCAGUCAGGAAUUACUAUCUAAUAAAUUUUGUACGUUCAUGAGUUAUAAUGUUAUGACUUGAGGUGCUUUUGAGCAAAACUAAGAGGUCCAUAUAUCAAUUCUAACCUAAAGGCUCAAAGAGCCUUCUUACUAAUCAACCAUCAAAUAUGUUCUUACAUUAACAGCGAUAUUUAAACUCACAACCCUGCAUAUGAGUUAACUUCUUAUAAACUGAGCCAACCUUCAUCGGUUCUCUCGCAAUUUUAAUUUGGACAUAUUGAAUGGUACAAUAUAAUUAUGAUUCAUCAAUUUGACUUUUAAAUUCUAUCCACACCAAUCCAAGUUAAACAAUUAUAGUUGAAAACAACAUUAUGAUUCACUCACCUAAUGAAAACAUGCCCCUAAAGAAACAGAUUAGUCAAGACAAGAAGUCACUCACUACCCAAACAUUAGUGCGCCACUUUAUAUCUCAUCUCACAUAUAAUAUGGCCACGGUUUUCCUUGGCCACAACAGACGAGCUCAUAAUUAAGACCACUACACGCAUUUAAACUUUAAAAAAUGAGUAAAAAAAUAUUUGCUAUAGUGGUUUCAUUGAGCUUCAGACAAGAACAUACCAACAAAACACUAAACUCUAUUAUACCCAGCAAUGAUCCAGAAUUUUGUUCCCUGUUUUAAUUUAAUGUGGUUCAAAUGUUUUCUUAUGAAGCAUUAGCUAGGGACACUCAUUAAAAGGGGGAACAAAGACCCCUACCCAGCAUGUCUCAUACUCAACAUGACCAGAUUCCAUUAUUUUGAAAUUAUUUACCUAAUCUAAAAAGCAUGCCCCGACAAAUAAAUCAAUAUUGGUCUCCUUAUAUUUUUAUAAUGUAUUAAAAAAUAUAUAGAUAAAAUAAGCAAAAUAUUAUAAACACUGACCCGAUAUCUCUAAUCGCAGUUAAGGUGUGGAUCACAGAAAUUUGUUUUUCUUCAAGAGAAAGAAAAAUACUAAUAUAAAAAAUAUGGAUUCGAUCUGGAUAAAUUGUUUUAAAACAUAAAAACGUAUUCUAAUGUAGUUAAAAUAUAAUGAAAUGACAUUGGGAAUACAAAUCAAUCGUUAUAAACUACAAGGGUGAAUGAACGUUGGCCGUUUCACCGCCAUUAUAAUUGUCAUAUAGUCACAUGCAUAUAUGCAACAAGUUUCUUCAAGUUGUAUUUUUAACAGAAUACAACCAAACAAAUUUGAAGAGUUUAAUUGCAACUUUGCAUGUAGAUCACUCAUGGUGGACACUUUUUUUUUUUAGAUGAUUGGAUCUUAAUAAAUUGACUGGCAUGCGAUCCGUUUCAUUGAAUGAUAUUUUCAAAGUUUAAUAGCAAUGACUAAACUAAAUCCAUAAAUUUUAAUUAUUAAUAGUAUUAAACUAUAGAUGAAACCCGAUCGAGAGGAGAAUAUACAUGUUUUAUCUAAUAAAAUUUUAUAAGUACAAUAUAGAUAAUAAAAGACGCCAAAGUCUUUGAUAUGUUGAUGUAUGUUGUCUCCAUGAAUUUAGCUUAGUUGGUAUGUUGUCUCCAUGAUUUUAGCCGAUGUUCGAAGCCCAGACAUCUCAUUUAUUCACCUUAAAAUGAUGAAUUUUUAGACACUAGGUUACUUGAUAUUUAAUCUAGUAACUAAGUUUAAUCAGAAAGUCUGCACACCGAUUUCCUUCUCUAAAACUAAGAGUUUGAGAAAUACAGACAUUGCUUGUGGCCUGACCUUUAAGCUAAUUAGGCUUCUAAAAAAGUUAAGGUCUUCUCUAUUUAAGAAAAGAGUUUGACAUGACCUGACCUAUCGUAGGCUAGGUCGUAGGUCCUUGUAGUUCGACAAGUGUUUUGUCAUAUGAUAUUAUCUAAGGAGGACGAAGUUUUAAAAAGUUGGAAAAAUAUCAUGUCCAAUAAAUCAAUUUUACCAAACACCGUAAAUUUAAAUUUUCCCAAAUGAUCAAUUUUUUAAAAAUAAAAUAAAAAUUGAAAGAGAAAAAUAGAUGUUUUGUCAAAGGGUCUUGUUAGCAUUUUCCUCCAAAUGGGGGUAUGGGGAUUAGGUGUAGGAGUAUAUGAUAGAUUUUUCUCCAAACUAUAGAUGCAAUUUUGAGUAAAAAGGACCUAUAUGCUCCAAACCAAGUGUAUGCGGGCCUUCCCCUAAAACAAAACAUAUAAGGGCUCAACAUUCAAUUUGAAAUUUGUUUUUUAGAUCCCUUGGAUAUCUUAUAUGCCCCUCAAAAAUCUAAAAUACCGCUCUUGGAUCAUAACUCCCGAUUCCCGAACCUAUUAUGGACUAACUUUCGACUAAUUAAGUUCAGGAGUUACGAUCCAAUCCACAUAAACAACAUACCAUGUUACUUUAACUUCGAAACAAAAAUUUGUCGUCCUUUAAUGAUAUCAUAAUCAUAUGACAACAUUUGUAACAUAUUAAAAUUUUGUAAAUAACUACACCUCAGAAGAGUGAAAGUCCAAUAAAUGGCCUGAUAUCAUAAUAAUGAAUACAUCAAAAUACCUACUUUUAAUUUUAUCACUUAUUAACAAAUUAUUUUUCUUAAAUAAAUUAUGCUUGUAUUGUAGUACGUUUCUAUUGGUCGCCCGAGAAUCUAAACAAAUGAUUAUAUUUUAUUGUUAUUAUAUUAAUUUUAUUUUGAAUCAUUGUAUUUUUUACUCUAUAUAUUGUUUUUUUCAUCAUAGCUUAUGAGCUUGUUUUAAUAGUAUAAAAAUCUAUAAUGUUAUUUUUUUAGACUUUUAAAAUUAAGUUUCUUAAUUUUUUUUGAAACAUCAACUCAAUUAAACGGAAUCAAACCUACUUAUUUUUCUUCGACUUUAAUUAGUUAGGUUUUCAUGAUAAAAGAUUAUAGAAAACCGAACAAAACUAAACCAAUUAUCUUUACAUUCAAUUUUUUUCUUUUUUAAAAAUAAAUCAAACCAACUGUUUAAGUCUCUAUACACCCUUAUUUUUCCUCCAACCAUCUCUCACCAAGUUCACUAGUCAAAAUAUUUCGGUUUUCACAAGGUAGACAACCUUAUACACCAUGAACAAAAUUAUAUAUAUAUUUUAAUAUUGUUUUGAUAAAUAAACUUUUUUAAAAAUAUUAAAUGCAUAUUUGAAUGCGUAUUUUUUUUAACAGAACGAACUUAUCUCACAUUAUUAAUCAAAGGAUACAUAAACAUCAAAUAAAAAACCAGAGAAAAAACUAUAUCCGUAACAACCAUAACUACUUUUUCUUUUAGUGAACUUAACCAACGAGUUCGAACAAAAAUAAACUAAACAAGAGAUACAAUAUCUUAUUCUUAAAAAAAAAAAAAAAAAACUCUUCGGAUAUAACCAAAAUAAGAUAAACCGAGACAUGGUUUAUUGAAAUUCUCUACAACCACCUCUGCAUCGAGCUUAAACAUAACAUAAUCAAGGUAUAGCUCCAUCGUUUCAGUCGAUAGCUUGUAGUAAACCAUAAGCUCCGCCUCCCAUGAACGAUAAGACGAGAGACUUUUUUUUGUUGUCUACGUUGAACAAAAUUCUCAACUAUGAUCGAGCAUACACAUCUAUAUCCUUCUUAUUUGAAUUUAUAGUUAGAUUCGCAUAAUCACAAUGACCUAUCACAAUUUUGAUAAAAAAAUUAUAGCUUAAAAGAUUAAGAAGAUCACAAUGUCAUCGUGAUUUUGCCAAAUCAAAUACAACUAGACAUGGUGUUGCCCAAGACUGAAAUGGCCUAAGACGUGAAGGCACGCUUUGAAUACGCGCGUGAAAGAGAGAUCUGAUGAGCAUAGUUCAUCAUCUUGUUUUUCACAGUUCAUUCUUCCGUCACACUGACACACAAACACACGCACACAUAGAAUCGUCUCAUCACAACAAUAUCCAGCACGACGCCGUUUUACCGAACCUUGCAUUGCAUGCUUCCAACUCCAUCAUCAUCAUCAUUUCCCAAAAAACCCUAAACCUCUCAUUUCAUCAUCUCGCCAUGAAGGACCGCCCUUCGCUGUCCUCCCAUGGCGCCAUCUAUGUUCCUCCUCACCAUCGUCUCCGCUCCGUCGUUACCUCCGCCUCCCCCGCUCCCAUUUCCGUCAAACUCAGCCAAAAUCAACCACCGCCACCUACCACUCUCCAAACCCCCUUAUCCAACAACAAUGCAAAUUCUCGCUUCGUUUCUGCUUACGACGACGUCAUUUCCGAGGAUUGCUCCAACCAUCAACUUCACGUUCCUUCCCUACCGGUAACUUCAUUUAAAUUUCUCCUUCUUAUGUUUAUUUAUCUUUCCUUAUUACUGAAGCACCAGCACUGACAUAGACACCUGAUACGACACUGACACACGUCAACACCAAUAAUAAUUUGAAGAAUGACUUAAUUGAAUAAAAUCGAAUGUAAUGACAUGUAUCUCGUGUCGGUGCUGGACAUUUACACGUCACGUGUCAGACACCAGACACAGCUUCAACCAGAGGUGUCAGUCGUCUAAGUAAUUCAAAGUGAUAGUGUUCUUGAUUGGAUGUUAAAUCGGUACUACUGAGUUCUCUCAGUAGUUCAAAGUGUUGGUUCUACUACAACAAAGAUGGACACAUGUAAAUAUUUGAAAAAAUGGCAUAAUUUAAUAUAAUUGAGACAUGUACAUAUUUGAAAAAAUGGCAUAAUUUAAUAUAAUUGAAUGUAAUUGAAUUAUAACACGUGUCUCGUGUCGGUGUUGAUACUGACAAGUGUUAGACAUACCUUCUAUCAGAAGUGUCAGUCUGUAAUUCAAAGUGUAAUGGUGGGUUUUUGUAUGGUAGUGGUUUUCGAGUUGAAUGUUAAUUUUUUUGUGUUGUUUUUGCUUGGUGAUUUUUUUUUUUUUGUAGAGUGGUUACCUCAAUGAUAACAUGAAUGAAUGGAAGAGGAAAUUAAUGAUGCUGUUGAAUGAUAAGAGUAAGCAAGAGGUGAUUUCGAGGGAGAAAAAAGACAGGCGUGAUUUUGACGACAUUGCAGUUUUGGCAACUAGAAUGGGACUGUAUAGGUGUGUUUUCUACUAUCUGAUCUGAAUGCUUAAUGCCUUUGAAUCAAAAGUAUUGUUUGGUUUGGUAUUUUUUGUUUAAUUUGAUUGUACUUGUUUAUGGCAGCCAUAAGUAUUCGAAGGUUGUUGUCUUUAGUAAGGCGCCACUUCCAAAUUACAGAUAUGAUUUGGACGAAAGACGGCCUCAGAGAGAGGUAUGUGUCUUGCUUUGUCAUUUGCCAUCUUCUAUCCCAUUUUCUAUGAUUUUAGAUAUUAUACAAAAGCUAGGGUUCAUUAAAUAUUUUACCUUUUUACUCCCCCCUUUCUACUAUUCUUCUGUUUGAAUGUAUGUUAAGCAUAGUGAAUUUUAGAUCAAAUUUCAUGAGACACCUUAGUAAAGCUUUCAGUUAUUGAUAGGUGAGCAUGCCUCUCACCGUAAGCAAGCGGGUUGGUGCAUAUUUUGAGGAAUACCUUAGCCAAAAGUCUAGGGUAAAGAAAAGCUUUUCAGAUUCGUCGUUUGCAAGAUCAAGCAGUGAUGGCAGUCUUGGUACAGAUGAAGGGUUUUUUGUGCAACCUGAGCCACUAGCAUCCAGUAAGUCUGUUGUGGAGAAAAUUGCCCGGCAGAUAAGCUUUCAAAUGCGUGAUCAACAACAAGCCUGGCAGGUUAUUUUGAUUUAUUAAUAUAAAAUAAUGUCAUGUCUUCCUUGUUCUGCAUUGUGAUAUCGUUCGUUUACACUUUUAAUUUUUUCACUUUUAUAUUGUUCCACAAUUCAGAUUCAUAAGAUGUUUAUGAUUAACUUUGUUACUACUUUGUAUUUUAUAUUCCAUGUAAGAUGUUACCCAAGGUGUUGCAAUGUUUUAUUGGGGAAAAAGAAAAGAGAAGGUCUUUUCGUGUAUAAUCAUUUGUUUUCUUUGAACUUCAAUUUUGAGAGCUGUGGUAUGGAAGAUGGCUAUUGCGUUCAUGCCUAACUUAUAUGGUAAUAGGUUAAAAGAGAUUUUUUUGAUGGUUCUUCAUGGUCAUUAGUCAUUGUUGUUAAGAUCACAAAUUAGAUAGUAGGAUCAGGCGAUUUUAUGACCUUACAACCAUUAGUCAUGCCUAAAGGUUUUGUUUUACUUGGUCAGGUUUGCGGCUUGUUACAAUACCCCCUCACGAUCCUAGGUAGGAUCUCGAUCUUAACAAGUGCUUACAGAUACUAGUUUUAACAUAUGAUUCCAUUAAUCUGGUUGAAUUAUCUUCACUAGAAUGUGUAUCUUUUCCAAAUCUCCAACAGCCCUUAGUUGCCUUUCUGGCCAUGUUUUGUAAACCCUGUAUUGUAAGCCUAUUUGUUUUUACCCUUUUCAGCAAAAAAAGCCAGUGUUAUCAAUACCAAUAGCGGGAUGAUUGUUUUUUUGAAUUUUUUUAUACAAAUUAAAUAAGUAAUGUCAUAUGCAUACAAUUGCUCGAAAAUUAAGAUAUUGCUCAAAACUCAUGAUUUUCCAACCCAUUGAACCAAAAACAAAGAAAAAGAGAAGAAAAGAAAAGAGAAAGAGGUGACAAAAAACUGAAUUUUCAACCAGCUGUAUAUUUGAACCUAAGAGAGGAUAACACUGGGUCACAGCUUGAAUUCAGUAACAAAAAGGUCUAAAAUGGAACUUAACUCAGAAGCACAGCAUGAUUUCAGUAAUUCAGAAGCUAGAACACAAAAAGAGAAGAAAAGGUCAAGAAGGGGACUAGAGAUCUGGGUUCCCAAGUUUCUGGACAGUGAUCACAACGGAAAAACAGAGCAUCAGAAGCAUGUUGCGCUGUAGAAGGAGAAAAUAGGGCAACAAUGACUGGGUUUGCUGGAAACCAUCAUGUUCUGGCCAAAAAGAUGAUGGAGAAUACUGAAGAGAAUUGGUUACAGAGUCUAGAAUGCGUCACCCAAGAGAUAGUUGCAUCCCACAGCUUCCAUUGUAAACGUUUAAAUUGCACGUAAAAUGCCUAAAUCUCUAUAGUUACCGGCUUUCUGGCGCUUUUGAUAGACACACUAGAAAAUUGUGUGCAAUUGGAUGCAACGGAACAUGGACCUGCUAUUGCAACUGUGUCUGAAGACGCUCUGCAGCUGUGUUUAUAUAUAGCGUCUAGGAUGUUUGAUUAACUUUUGAAAGAAAAGAACAUAAAGAAAUUAUAAUUAUGUGAGAGUAUUUGGGUGUUAGAAUACAGCACCUAGGGUCAAGGAUGUUUGAUUAACUUUAGUUAGCUUUAGAGUUUAGCUUGAGAUAGACUGUUAGAAUAUAUAUUAUAACAUUUGGGUCAUGUCUUGUAUUAAUCUAAAACAUCUUAAAUUAUCUCAUGAUUAGUUUUGUUAUUUGAUGCAUUUGAUGAAUAGUUUUCUUAUAUAAUUAGAAUUGGAGUUUAAUGUCUGUUAUGAUUAUUUUCCUUGUUUAAUUAAAGAUUAGUAGUCUAGUAUUAUUAUAAAUAAGAGUUUGUGCUCAAACUUUUUAUAUGAAACAAAAUCACAAUUCAAAGUCUUUGUUCUUUCUCUUCUUCCAUGUAUAGAUCCUCAUAAAAAUUAACACUUCAGCAAGCUCUUUGUUCUCUCUCUUCUUCCAUGUAUAUAUCCCUAUAAAUUAACACUUCAGAAACUAUUUAGAUAACGAAAUAGCUUGAAUGUUCUUGACAUCUUUCCUUUUUAUUUCAGGAAUCACCUGAAGGAAGAAAAAUGCUAGAAUUUCGUAGCAAUCUCCCUGCUUAUAAAGAGAAAGAAGCAAUAUUAUCAGUCAUAUCAAAGAAUCAGGUUUGUUGAUAGCUGUAUAAUGUGUAUCAUUAGGGUUAUUUAUUUUAUAGAUUCAGCCUCUUUGAUUUAUUAACAGCAUUAUAGGUUGAGUUGUGUAUCACCAAAAUGACUUCUAUAACAUGUUCAUGUCAAUCUUGUGAUAGCAAUGUUGAAAUGUCGAUUCAUGUUUGGCCAAUUUGACUGGCUUACAUGCUGAAGAACAGUUGUGAGGUGGUUCGGAGGGUAAAUUCAAUGUUUUUAUGUAAACUGAAAAUUGUAUCGCAAAAUCCACCCAUAAUGAAAAAGAUAAAUUGGAGUUUUGGUGGUCGAAAUUUUUAAACCAAAGAUACCAGGUAAUAUUAUAGAGGCUAUUCUUUUAUUAGAGAAUGAAUGGUUUAAAUAUGUUGGUGGUAUUGUUGAAUUGCUGUGGCGGCUACUGCAGUGGUCAUUAAAGAGGGGGUUGGGGGUAGAGGUUGGCUAUUGGGAGAUUUGUAUCAUGGACUCGUGAUCAUAAAUAUCGGGAGUAUGAUAUGGAUUUAUUAUUUUGUCCAGCAGAUAAAAAAAUUCUAUCAGAUCAAUUGCUCUAUUGCACUGCUCUAGUUAUUCUUUAUCCGACACAUAAGUGAUAAUGAGAGUGAUGUAAUGUGCCAUUGUGUCAUCCCGUGUGAAGUGGCAGCCGUCAAAGUGGUUUAAAUGUGACCCAAAUAGGAAAAUUGAGGUUGAGUUUAAUUUCCAACAUUCUUUUACAACAACAACCAAGCCUUAUCCCACUAAGUGGGGUCGGCUACAUGGAUCAAAUGACGCCAUAGUGUUCUAUCAUACACCAAAUUUGGAUCCAACUCAUUGACCUCUAAAUCCUUUCUAAUGGUUUCUCUAAUAGUUUUCCUAGGUCUUCCUCUACCUCUUUUAACUUGACUCUCCUCCAUUUGAUCUACUCUUCUUACCACGGCAUCUACGGGUCUUCUCUCUGCAUGACCAAACCAUCUAAGCCUAUUUUCUACCAACUUUUCUACUAUAGAUGCUACCCCUACUCUCUCUCCAAUGGUGUCAUUCCUAAUCCUAUCCUGUCUAGUCUUACCACUCAUCCAACGCAACAUCCUCAUCUUUGCUACACUUACUUGAUUCUCAUGUUGACUCUUAACCGCCCAACACUUCGUACCAUACAACAAGGUUGGUCGGACUGCUGUCCGAUAGAUUUUUCCUUUCAACUUAAGUGGUACUUUCUUAUCGCACAAAACACCUGAGGCUCUUCUCCAUUUCAACCACCCAGCUUGAAUACGAUGGCUUACACCUGCUUCUAUUUCUCCGUCAUUUUGUACGAAGGACCCAAGAUAUUUAAACCAGUGUAACUUGGGGUAUGAUAUGAUCUCCAACUUUCACCUCCAAGGUAGACCUACUUCUCCUUCCGCUGAAGUUACAUUCGAUAUACUCCGUCUUGCUUCUACUCAAGCAGAAUCCAUACGCUUCUAAGGCUUGCCUCCAGGUCUCUAGCCUCCCGUUCACUUCCUCCCUCGACUCACCCACCGAGACUACAUCAUCUACAAAAAGCAUACAUCUCGGUGCUAACUCUUGGAUGUGUUCCGUCAAUACAUCCAAAACUAAAGUAAAAAGAUAAGGACUUAGGGCUGACCCUUGGUGCAAUCCUAUUGUUAUGGGAAAAUCUUCGGUAGUCCCAUCAUGCGUCCUCACACUAGUCGAAGCUCCCUCAUACAUAUCCUUGAUAGCCCUAAUAUAGGCAAUCCUAACCCUUUUCUUCUCCAGGGCUUUCCACAAAAUCUCUCUCGGUACUCUAUCAUACUAUCACACGCCUUUUCCAAAUCAAUGAAAACUAAGUGCAAGUCUUUUUUAUCCGUCCGAUAUCGCUCCAUCACGCGUCGAAGUAAGUAGAUUGCUUCCAUAGUCGACCUCCCAGGCAUAAAACCAAAUUGGUUAUCCAUAACUCGAGUCUUCUUUCUUAGUCUUCUUUCGAUCACCCUUUCCCAUGACUUCAUGGUAUGACUCAUUAGCUUAAUUCUCCUAUAAUUCGCGCAAUUUUGUAUACCCCCUUGUUCUUAUAGAUUGGAAUUAAAGUGCUUCUUCUCCACUCGUCCGACAUUUUCUUCGUCCUCAUAAUCUCGUUAAAAAGGUUUGUGAGCCACACAAUCCCUGUAUCGCCAAGACUCUUCCACACUUCGAUAGGUAUGUUGUCCGGCCCAACUGCCUUGCCACUACUCAUCCUUUUCAACGCUUCUCUAACCUCGUGCUCUUGAAUCCGACGAUAAUAAUUAUAGUUUCGGUCCUCCUCUCCGAUGUCUAACAUGUUAGAGUCUGGUAAGAUCUCAUAUCGUUCAUUAAAUAGGUUGUGAAAAUACUUCUUCCAUCUACCCUUAAUAUCUCUUUCCUGAACCAGAACUCUACCCUCUUCAUCCUUAAUACACUUUACUUGGUCCAAAUCUCUUGUCUUUCUUUCUCGUCCCUUAGCAAGCUUAUAUAUAGAUUUCUCACCCUCCUUGGUACCUAAAGAUUGGUAUAAUCCUUCAAAAGCUUGAGUUCUCGCUUCGCUCACCGCCUUCUUAGCCUCUUUCCUAGCUAUCUUAUAUUUAUCCCAAGUUUCGACAUUUUUACACCUAGACCAAUCUUUAAAACAAUCUAUUUUGAUCCGAACUUUACUCGAACUUUACUCUGAACACUGUCAUUCCACCACCAAGAUUCUUUACCCCUAGGUCCAAAACCUCGAGAUUCUCCCAACGUCUCUUUUGCUACCUUUUUAAUCUCAUGUGCCAUCCUCUCCCACAUAUCAAUUGCACUUCCAUGUGGUUGCCUGAAGCCUCCCUCUAAUAUCUUGUGUUGGAACAUCCUUAGUUUUUCACCCUUUAAAUGCCACCACUUGAUUCACGGAGCCCCAUUUUGACUUCUUCUCUUAGCCCUCCUCUUUACCCUUACAUCCAUCACCAUCACUCUAUGUUGGAUAGUUAAGCUCUCUCCAGGUAUGACUUUACAGUCCAAACAAAUCUUCCUGACGGAUUUCCUAAUAAGAAAGAAAUCUAUCUGAGAACAUGAGACCCCACUCUUGUAAGUGAUAAGAUGCUCAUCUAUUUUCCUGAAACAAGUAUUAGCUAUAGUAAGAUCAAAAGCCGAUGAAAAAUCUAAGAUGGAUUUACCCUCCGCAUUAAUCUCCCCGAGACCAUAUCCCCCAUGCAAACCCUCGAAACCUCUCGAAACACUCCCUACAUGCCCAUUUAAAUCCCCUCCUAGAAAAAUCUUUUCUCCUAACGGGAUUUCCUGAAUUAAGCCUUCCAGCUCCUCCCAAAACUUCACUUUAAGGUGUGCUUCUAACCCUACCUGAGGUGCAUUAGCGCUAAUUACAUCAAAGGUGUCUUGUUCCACUACAAUCUUUAGGGCUAUAAUCCGAUCUCCUAUCCUAUUAACAUCUACAAUAUCUUUCUUCCACUCCUUAUCCACAAUGAUGCCUACCCCAUUUCUCGAUCUAACUUCACCAGUAUACCAAAGCUUAAAUCCUGAACUAUCUAAUUCUUUCGCCUUUUUCCCCACCCACUUAGUUUCUUGUAGGCACAUGAAAUUGAUCCUCCUCCUAGUCAUUGUGUCUACUACUUCCAUAGAUUUUCCUGUAAGUGUACCUAUAUUCCAAGUUCCAAAACGAAUCCUAUUCUCAUGAACUAGCUUCUUUACCCGCACUCGUUCAUGAAGAUGCGGGAACCCUUGCUUAUUUUUCACAACAUCCAGGCGGCGAUGCAGCGGCCCUUGCUCAUUUGACACUGCACUCGAGCCAUACAGCGCGUUGCUUCUGGGCAACGACCUAGCAUUCACACUAUUUCGUAUUUGGUCCAUGUCAUAGAGAUUCGACAAAGUUUUACGUUGGCUGUCGAGGCCUAACACAACCCUCUCCUUUUACCUGGGCUUGGGACCGGCCUUGGCAGGAUUAACAUUCUUUUACACUUGAUCAAAUUUGAUUUUAUGGAAACGAAAAUUGAAAAGAAUCACAUCCAUAAGAGUAUCGUUAACUGUCGUAAUUCCCAAUAGUUCAUGAUAAAGUUAGAAUAAAAAAUGAAAUGAUGAAACACAGUGGAGCUUUCCGCACCUGUACUAGCAUAAGAUAUAAAGACUGCGUUUGUUUUGGCUUAAAAAAAUGAUUUUAUUUCAAAAAAGAGAUUUUUGAGAAAAGCUGAAGUUAAUUUCCGUUUGUUUACUAGGAAUAGCUUUUCAUAUUGAGGUUAAAAAUGAUUUCUUUACCAAAAUGGAUGUUUUAAAAAUCAGAAACAAACAUUUAAAACAAUAAAAGUGAUUGUUUGUCAAAAAAUCCAAAACAAACAGGCCCAUAGUUAGAAUUUAAAAAAAUUAAUUGAUCAAACCUUGAUAAAACAAGAGAAGCUCUCCACACUGGCUCUGGAAUGUGACAAAGCCAGCCUCCUGCCAGCAGCUAGAGCUCCUGCUCAAGACAUUCUUGGCUUUGGAUGAUGUUUUUUAGUAGGACAUGGGAGGAUCUGUGGUUUGUGUGGGCUUUAUUUGUGGCUGGGUUAUCAGUUUUGCCAUUGUUGUUGAUGCAGGGGCUGAUGGUUUCAUGCAUCUAAAACUCAGUUUCUUCUUACUCUUUUUUCUGAGCCACCAUUCUACGAUUCAUUACUUGCAGGUCGUGGGUUUUUGGGUAACGAAUUAGAUUGAUUUAUUGGAUUAGAAAGGUAGAAAUGUUGGUUAUUAUUUUAUUUAUACAGAGGUAGAGAGGAAGACGAUGACAUGACUUUACGCGUAAGUAAUCUUUUGUCACAUUUUAAUCCAUGCAAGAUAAAUUUGGACAUGUGGAAACUCUGACAUGACAUUCUCCUCCCAACGUAGCUGACAAGGAAAUUGUCGGGGACUAAAAUUUCCCACUCUAAAAUUUUGAGGGAUCGAAAUGGUAAUAAAUACUUUGGGACUAAAACAAAAGUCACUAUAUUUAAAGUGACUAAAAGCAUAUUUAGUCUCAGAAUGAUACAGUUCUUUUCUUGGCAGUGCACAUGGGAUCCUUAAGACCCUUGGAAUUAUACAAAAUAUUUUCAGCUUUUAUUUGCCCACUGAUAGUGUGACCAGAAAUUCUUUUGCUGAACUACCAACGGUUAAUUGGGAUAAUAAAUGCUUCUAUUAAUAAGAAAAUUAAUAAAAUUGUACUAUGCAUCUUGUUUAAAUACCAUGUUAUCCUAUACUUUGAUUCAUAUGUGUUGGCUGGUUUGCUGCCAAAUAUAUUUUUAAAAUAGUUCAUAGUCUUAAUUUCAAUUUUCAAUCUAGUUGUAAAUUGACAUCUAUAAUUCUAUUGUUAAUUACUACGACAUAUUUUGCAGGUAGUCAUCAUUUCAGGUGAAACAGGUUGUGGCAAGACAACACAAAUUCCACAAUUUAUUUUAGAGUCUGAGAUAGAAUCAGUUCAUGGAGCUGCUUGUAAUAUUAUAUGCACACAGCCAAGACGAAUUUCAGCCAUGUCUGUUUCGGAAAGGGUUGCUUUUGAGAGAGGGGAGAAAUUGGGCGAAUCUGUGAGUUUGUCUGCCAAUGAAAAUUAUUUAAAUAUAAUAUGCCAACUAAAUACUGUGAUAUGAGAUCUUAAGUAUUUCUCUAAUGGUGGCUCACACAAACUCUUUUUUGUUUAAAGGUUGGAUAUAAAGUUCGACUGGAGGGAAUGAAAGGGAAGGAUACCCAUCUUCUCUUUUGCACUACGGGCAUCUUAUUAAGAAGAUUACUGGCUGAUAGAAACCUCAAAGGCGUAACUCAUGUUAUUGUGGAUGAAAUUCAUGAACGUGGGAUGAAUGAAGGUUGGACUCUGAAUUUAAUCGAGUGUUUGCCUUUCAGAAGAUUUCUCCUGAAUAUUAAUGUUCUUGCCUUUUUUUAUGACAGAUUUUCUGCUUAUUGUCCUUAAAGAACUCCUUCCCCAUCGGCCCGAACUCAAACUGAUUUUGAUGAGUGCUACCCUAGAUGCAGAGCUCUUCUCUUUGUACUUUAAUGGGGCUCCAAUAGUGAACAUACUGGUGCGUUUCAGAAACUAAAUGAUAUUUCCUUGUUUAUGUUGUAAUCUGGGCCGUUGUGUCUUUGGGAAUAUCUUAUGGUCAAUGGACCAUAAAUGUUGGAGCAGAAAUGAAAAUCCAAAGUGAAUUGGUUAGUCUAAUGGAUUCUAUAGUGAAUUGGUUAGCCUACUAGUCCGUGAUGAACUGAUUCAAUAUUUUAAGUUGAAAUAUGAGUGAAUAGUUAUUUUUGUCCCUGAAGUUGUACAGGUUAAGCAAUUUGGUCCCAAAAUUAACAAAAUUCCAAAGUGACCCCUGAAAUUGAAAAUCCUUUCAUAUUAGUCCUUUUGAGCCAUUCAAGUUAGUCUUGAAAUUGUCCCUAAAAGGGUUCAAUUUGAUUGAGGAUUUUCAAUUUCAGGAAUCAUUGAUAAUGUAUUUCAUUACACUACUUUUUAUGGAUAGUACUCUGAUCGUAUCAAGUAACAGUUGAGGGUAAGUUAUCAUUUCCACGAGGAUUGUGUUUCAACAAUCAACCACUACAAAGUUAUUGCUAAUUGGAUGUAGUAACAAGAUAUUUUAGGGCUUUGAAUUGAUUGAAACAAAAUAACAAUGCAGAUACGAUAACUUUUGGUGUUUGGUUUUAAAAUAUUGUUUGAAAGAUGAAAUAAAAUUAGAUGAUUUGGUAGAAUUUAGUAAAUGGGUUUGUUUAGAGUUCCACAUCUGAUGUGAUAAGCCAUAAGGCCUGAAGAGGUGUUUAUAAGUGGAAGACAUUCCUCACCUCACGUGCCGGUUUUUUGAGGUUGACUUAGGUCUAUCCAAAUCCUUCUAAGAGGGUUCAAACUAGGUAAAAUGUCAUCCUAAAUGGGAAUGAAAUUGUUUACGAAUUCAUGUUUCCAAGUUGUUUCUAUUUCAGUUUUAAUUUUUUUUUAUUACCUUUCUUGGGAUAGAUAUUUUAAAUAUUUGCUGAUUGAAAGGCUAAUACUUUGGUGCCAAGAAAUAUAAGUUUAUUAAUUGAUUUGGCUGGUAUGCUUAUUAAUAUAGGGCUUUACACACCCUGUUAGAACUCUUUUUUUGGAGAACAUUCUUGAAAUCACGGGCUAUCGAUUGACUCCUUCUAAUCAAAUUGAUGAUUAUGGUCAAGAAAGGGCUUGGAAAAUGAACAAACAGGCCCCAAGAAAGAGGAAAAGCCAAAUUGCUUCUGCUGUAGAGGUAUGUAAAAAAUUAUGAACUGCAGUUGCUUCAGCACUUGUUUAGUACUUUCUUAAUUUUCAUUCAUUUUUCGAAAAUGUGACCAGGAUGCUAUUAGAUCUGCUGACUUCAGAGAGUACAGCCUUCAGACACAGGAGUCUUUGUCAUGCUGGAAUCCUGACUGUAUUGGUUUUAGUCUCAUAGAAUAUAUCCUGUGUGAUAUUUGUGAGAAUAAAAGGCCUGGUGCUGUUUUGGUUUUCAUGACUGGGUGGGAUGAUAUAAGCUCUCUGAAAGAGAAGCUCCAAACACAUUAUGUCUUAGGAGAUCCGAAGCGUGUUUUGUUGCUUACAUGUCAUGGCUCAAUGGCUAGCUCAGAGCAAGUAAUCGUCUGUCUGUUGACUACUAAAUGUUAGAAUUUGUGUUAUUUCCUAACCUAUCAGCACUUCAUUUAGCAGCAAAAUUUGCAAAAUCUUAUGUUUGAAAUAAAAAGCAUGAUAAGAUCCCAUAUCAAUUUUUAUUUUUCUUUCUGAAAACCACUUUUAACAAUAUAUUACAUGUACAGUUUUUUGUUGAAGAAAGGAAGAGUAUGUGAUUGGCCGUCCUACUUACACCCAAUAUUUAUAUAAAUUGUGCAUAUUGGAUAUGCAGAAGUUAAUAUUUGAAGAGCCUGAAGAUGGAGUAAGAAAAGUAGUGCUAGCAACAAAUAUUGCUGAAACGAGUAUCACAGUAGAUGAUGUUGUUUUUGUUCUGGACUGUGGAAAAGCAAAAGAAACAUCAUAUGAUGCACUGAAUAACACACCUUGUUUGCUUCCUACAUGGAUCUCUAAGGCUUCUGCUCAUCAAGUAAUGUUAUAAUUUUGUUAAUUAUGCAUCCGGCGUUGACCACUUAUAUAUUAUGAUAAAUUUUUCUGGACAUUGUUUUUCACAUUGUCAUUAUGUAUAUGUAUGGAUGUAUAUUGGUUUACUUUUGGCAAGUAUUCUGCCUAGUUCCUAUCAGUUUAGUUUGACUGAAUGCUAUAUAUUCUUGACUGGUGGAACAAUUUUUACAGUUUAGUUGGUUUGAGUUCGAAUUUUUGUAUGAUAAAUUUGCAUCUUUUGCAUGACGAAUCCGAAGUAGAAUAUAAAAUAAAUCUCAUAACAUCUUGAUGUUAUGUUAGACUAUUUUGGUUUGUCUCUUAGGAUCAGUUUUCAAUCUUAGUGUAUCUUAGAUUUUUCUCCUACGGUUGAUUUCAAUAUUUCUCAUUAUUAUUUGUUUCCUAAUUUCUCUAUUUAUUAGGAUUAAAUUUAGAUAAAUAGGGAUUAGUAUUUAGUCUUUUGUAUUAAGUCAAUAUCAAGUUAAGAUCAAACAUUUGUCACUAUAACUAUAUUUCUUAUUAUUUCUCUCCUUUUAUGUAAAAUCUCAUUUGCUUCAACAGUAGUAAUAACAAAAUAACAUUAUGUAGGUAGUCGAGAGAAGAUAGAAGUUGUAGGCAGAAAAGUAGAACUCUAGGGCAGAACGCUUCAGACAGAUUCAGAUGUGAAAUUUUCUGGCCUUCCCUAGAAGACUUAAAAUUAUUACUAAUAAUUAGUAUCCCGACCCUCUAUUGCAUAGGGUCAAAUAAACCACAAUCAUUUAAGCUCACUAAGAGGUUCCAUGCAUUCUAUUGGCUUUUUAAGCAGCUUGGUACAAGUACAACGCCAUUUGGCAGCAGUACUUAUACCAUCAUUUAUACAUUGAAUUGAAUCUAAGGACAAUUUGAAUACUUUUUUAGUUCAGGGGAGGGGGUUGGCGCAUGAUUAUACGUCCAGAUUUAGUGUGUUGUGAGAGUGAAGGUAUUCAGAUUGAUAUUAACAUUUUGUUCUCUAGGUUAUGUGUUUAUGGGGCAUUUGUGUGAAUUAAGGUAUUAAUCAUGAAAUUGUUGGAUGUUAAACAUUAAUUAAUGUUAUUUUGCUUUCCCCUGUAUCCUUUUUUUUAGAGAAGAGGAAGAGCCGGUCGUGUCCAACCUGGGGAGUGUUACCAUCUUUAUCCUAGAUGUGUAUAUGAUGCUUUUGCAGAGUAUCAAUUGCCAGAAAUUUUGAGAACACCUUUGCAGUCUCUCUGUUUACAAAUCAAAAGUCUAAGACUUGGAAGUAUAUCUGAUUUCUUGUCCAGGGCUUUGCAGUCUCCUGAGAUACUGGCGGUAAUAAUAAAGUUGAUUUAUUCUUUAGAACUCCAUCAAAUCAUGCAUGCCUUUAUUUUAAAUCAGAUAAGUUGUUUAUUCAUUUAUUUUGUUGAUUAUUUUAAUAUAAAUUUUGCCUCAUUUUUGCUUGAUUAUUUAUUCAUAGGUACAAAAUGCAGUUGAAUAUUUAAAAAUAAUUGGGGCUUUGGAUGAGAGUGAGAAUCUGACUACUCUAGGUAGGUUGAUACCUGACCUAGUACUGGAAAAUUAACUUCUUAAUUUUCCCUCAAAAUGGUGAAAACUUGUGAUUGGUUUUUUCAAUUGACAGGAAGCUAUUUGACAAUGCUUCCUAUGGAACCCAAACUUGGAAAGAUGCUUAUAUUAGGGGCUAUCUUCAAUUGCUUGGAUCCUAUAUUAACUGUUGUUGCUGGACUUAGCGUAAGAGAUCCUUUUCUUUCACCACUGGAUAAAAAAGAUGUAAGUUGCUUCUGUUUCAGAUGAUUGGCUAAUGCUCCUGAACUUGAUUUCAUUAUUUGAGUUCAAAGUUCUUCACUGUAGCUUGCAGAGGCAGCAAAAUCUCAAUAUACGGGUGCAUACAGUGACCACCUAGCACUUGUACGUGCCUAUGCGGGUUGGAAAGAGGCUGAGAUUGACCUGGUUGGAUAUGAAUAUUGCUGGAAAAACUUUCUGUCAUUCCAAUCCAUGAAGGCUAUUGAUGCUCUUCGGAGGGAAUUCAUAGGGCUGCUUACGGAUAUUGGAUUAGUUGAUAGCAACACAACCAGCUGUGACACAUGGAGCUAUGAUGUGAAUCUUAUCCGGGCAGUUAUUUGCUAUGGUCUAUACCCUGGAAUUUGUUCUGUGGUGGUAUGUCUUUUUAUAUAAUAUGCAUCAAUAUUAAAGCUGUUCCCCUUCCCCUUAAUCAGUGCUCGAUGUAGAUUAGAUCCAAGAGGAACAAAUUCUCUUCAUAACUUCUUUUUUCUUCAAUAUGACAUCUGUUUUAACAUGUGCACAAGAUCUUUUCCCUAUUACCCCCUUCCUUUAUAACCUGAUCUUUGGUAAAUCCAGAUUUUCUUUUCCUCACGUCAAAGCUUUCCAAGUCAUUGAUUCAAAGGGCAAUUAAUUAUAUAAUGACUUUGUGAGCACUUUUCCUGUAGUUUUACUGUAUGAAAAAUAUUUUAUGAGGUUGACUUCCAUCGAGUCUCUGCACCUAUCUUUAUAUUUUUAUUUUAAGUUCACGAGUUGGAGAUAAGUGGACUCAGCCACUGACAUGCAAAACAGCCUCUUAGGCCCCGAUCGAUAAAAAUUUCGUUAAAGUUGAUGUUGAAAAGGAGAUCUCAUGUUUUUCCGUGCGGGUGCUUUUUGCUUUUUGGGGUUUUGUUGUUUUUUUUUCCUUUAGUUGUCUUGGGCGUUUACGGUGCACUUGACCUGUUGUAUAUCUCUCAUAUAUAUAACGAGAUCUAUUAUCGUUUUACACAUACCCUUAGUAGUUCUAGCUUCACUAGUUUGUUUGUAGAAAAGUUUGAAGUUUUUGUAUUUGCAAAUUUCCUUACAUGAUUAUGAUUAUGAUUAUAUAUAUAUAUAUAUAUAUAUAUAUAUAUAUAUAAGAGAACUGAUGAAAUAUAAUUUAAAUUAAAAAAUAAUUAGUGUUUUUACUUUAAGUUGUGAUACAUGAUGAUAUGUUUUUAGAUUCGAGUUAAAUAUGAAAAUUCGUCAUGAUUUAAACUACCGUUGAUCAUCAAAUUCUCAUUAGACUAUGCUCAUCUGAAAUUUUAUCAUGUCACUGUUUUCAGAAGGAAAAAAAUUACUGGUUGGAGCUAUGCAAUGUGUUAGUUUAGUAUAUAGUAUAAUUAGCAUAUACUUAUGUUUUAGGACUGAAAUAUGAUGUAACUUCAUUUGCAGCAUAAUGAGAAGUCAUUUGCUUUGAAAACAAUGGAGGAUGGUCAAGUUCUCUUGUACUCGGUUAGUCCUUUAAUCAUUUUAAUUACUGCUGGUUAUGAACUCUUGAAAUUGUACUUGAGUUUUAUGCUGUCUUUUGAUUCUUUUUUGCUUUCCUUUUUAAAUGCAUGUCCAUUCGAUUUGCCUAGAAUUCGGUCAAUGCUCGAGAAACAAGAAUUCCAUAUCCGUGGUUAGUUUUUAAUGAGAAGAUAAAAGUGAACUCCGUUUUUCUCCGUGACUCAACAGCUGUCUCUGAUUCAAUGAUGCUUUUGUUUGGUGGAAGCUUAUCAAAAGGAGAUGCUGUAAGUGACAUGUGGUUUUUAUUGGUUCUAAUGUUUAAGCUUGUUCUAUAGAAUGUUAUAUUUUCAAAUCGAAGUCUAAGUUUUAAUUGUAUCGUGGUUUACUGAAUCCAAUCUUUUCUACCAGGAUAAUCAUUUAAAAAUGUUAGGAGGAUAUCUGGAGUUUUUCAUGGAACCUACUGUUGCUGAUAUGUAUCAAAGUAUAAGGAGAGAACUUGAUGACUUCAUUCAGAGCAAAGUAGGUGCUCAUGCUCAGACUUAACAUUUCCUUGAAAUUUGAUUAGUUAGAACAAAAACCUGAGCAUAGUUUCUUAAUGCAAAUGGAUGUAGCAUUGUUUUAGUACCUUUUCUCUUUGCUAAAUUACUGCAGACGUAUGUACAAUAAUUUUUAAUAUGCAUUGUUGUGCUUGACAGCUGCUUUCUCCAAGAAUGAGCGUACACUCGCAUCAUAACCUCCUAUCUGCGGUACGUUUUCUGAUUUCCCACGACUCAUGUGAAGGAAGAUUUGUAUUUGGUCGUCAGGUCCUUAAACCAUCAAAUAUAUCUGUGAUGGCCCCACACCCAGCAUCCUUGGUUCCAAGAACAGAGAGUGGACCUGGGGGUGAUAAUUCUAAAAGUCAGCUCCAAACUUUGCUUACAAGAGCAGGAUAUGCUGCUCCUGUCUACAAGACUAAACAGUUGAAGAACAACCAGUUUCGGGCCACAGUUGAGUUCAAUGGAGUGGAGAUAAUGGGCCAACCUUGCAGCAAUAAGAAGAGUGCAGAGAAAGAUGCCGCAGCUGAAGCUCUGCAAUGGUUGAUGGGCAAGCAAGCUGGCUGUGAGUAUAUCGAUCACAUGUCAAUGUUUCUCAAAAAAAGUAAGAAGGAUCACAAUUAAGUAAUCAACUCUAUUGAGCUUAAUGCCAAGGUAAAGGAACCCCAGGUAUGUACUUGACCUAAUCCUGGGUUCCUACUCGUAUUCUAGAGGCACAAGAAGGUUGGGCCAUGUCAUUUUGGAUCUCUUGUUCAUGAAAGCGGUGAAAGCCCGUACACAACAUCACACUGUUUCAAUUUGAAGUUGGAAGAUAAUCUAAAAUAUGAAUCAAGGAAUUGCUCUUGAAGAUAUUUUCAGCAAGAAAAUACUUGGUUAGCUGGUUAGAGGUAAUUGGUAUGGUCAUUUUGUAACAGGAGGACGUCGUACAUAUUCAGCGGGAAAUGAUGCCGUAGUUACAGUUAUGAUAUCUGAUCUCAUUAAUUUUUUGUACAGUACUCUAUGUUAAAUAGUGAGGGACCGGUUUGUAAAAAAAUCAUCUCAAAACGAAUGAUGCUUUUAAUUUUUCAAUUGUAUCCUCUUACUAAUAAUACUACUUUAAUAACUCAAAUUAAUACCUUCAAAUGGUGGUUACACCAAUGCUUGAUAAUAGUACUUUAGUAAAGGUAUUUACCAUCUCUUUUUUUUUCGCUUUCCUCUUUCAUUUAUAUAUAUAUAUAGAGCAUUUCAAAUGAGAGGAGUUUUUAAAUGAGAGGGUGAGAGGAUGAAACAGUGGCCAUUGGAUUAGUUAGAUGGCUGUGAUUAAAAGGGAGGUUUAAUGAGUCACGUGACUCUCACUAACCCGUUUCUCUCUCCAUUGAAACUCUUAUGCUUUUCAGCUUUCCACCUUGCAUCGCUCUUCCAUGCUGAAAACCACCAUUACCCAUUCAACGACGCCGGCGAUUCUCCGACCUCUUAUGUUCAAUCACUUACUUUAUUGCCCCCUUUCUGAAUCUUUUCUCGCAUGCGAUUCUGUAACAUUUUUUUUAAGAUCAUCCCAUCAAUUCAGUUUAUUUUGAAUCUAGUUCUGACGAUAGUGAAUCGGCAGCCAUAGUGAACGAUGUAGGAUGGGUUUUGAAUGUUCUCAAUGAUUUUGAAUCUGAUUUUGAACUCUAUUCUUUUUCUAUGCGUUUUCUGGAGAGUUGAGAUAGUGGAUCUGAUUUUGAAUUUCAAUUUAUUUUAUUUUAUUAAUACCAGGUCUUGAUUUUAACUAAUGAAUAUUAUUUUUUUUGCAGUGGUUGUGCAUACAAAUUUUUGCAAAUUAUGCAGCUGAUGUGUUUGUAAUAUGAAGCUGCUAUUGUAGUAUACUAAAGAAGAAGCUAAGUGGAAGUAAAGGACAUUUUGAGUUUGAUUACUCUUGCCAAUUGUAAAGUAGCAAACAAAGUGAAGAAGAAAUGCAUUUCAACUGGAAUAGUCAUAUUGUAUAGUAUGCUAGUUUGCAAAAACAAUUGUAAUUUCUAUUUUAAAUUUAUGAUUUGAUUCACAACAUUAUAUUGUAAUCAAGUUCUAUUUUAUAUUGUAAUCAAGUUCAUUGAUGUGUUGUGAUAUUCUGUGUUGAGACAUUGGUUUGAUAUGCUAAGUUAUAUACCUAUUAUUGACUAAGAUCAUCAGCCAGCUCUGAAAACCAUGAAUUUCAAUGACUUAAGUUAUAUACCUAUUAUUGGUUAUAUGUAAUUGAGAGCAAACUCUUCUUUUAUGUUAUAAGUAUUGGAGUGUAAUUUUCUUAGUUGUUAUUAUACAUGACAACCGAAGUACAUUAUUUUCAAUGCUCAAACUCUUGAUACCAAUAAAGAUUCUGCAUUAGCAAAAAUUCUGCAGAGUGGUAUUUGCUACACAAAAUUCCCCAUUAACAAAAAUUCUGCAGUGUUAUUUGACACAAAAAAUUCUGCUAUAUAAAAAAUAGUCAAAUAGCUUAACUCUCAUACAUCAAAUCAAAAAUAGUACUCAUCGAAGUUUACUAUCAACCUCACUACUCAUCUACUACUCAUGUUAAUCUAUCACAAUCUUGAUAUUUUAUCAUCAAUGGAUUUUGAUAUUUUUUUACACCAUAUUCUUCCAUACAGUCUUUCACACUAUAUUUUUCCAGAAACUAAAUUAGUCUUUCAAACCAUAAUCAAAGGCUAAACAAUCAAAGGAAUCUCGUAUUUUUUACGUAAUGUCGAGUUUGCUUACAAUACAAACAUGUGAAUCUCAUAUUCUCAUCACAAAUUCAAACUAGAAUUUACAUUGAUGUUGCAAACAAGAAUAGUCAGUGGUCUAGUAUUUACAAGCAUGCCUAUUCUAAAUUAAAUCUAUUUUCCUUCCACUUGUCAUGAUGAAUCUGUGAAAUUGGCCUUCAUAGCCUCUUAAAUUUCCUCCAAAGUUGGCCUUUAUAAUCAAGUUUCGAUAUUUCUUCCUUCACAAUUAAUCUGUUAAAAUAAAAAUCAAGAUCUGAUUAAAAAUAAGAAAAUUUGAUGUCUCAGAUACAAAAAAAAUUACGAUAUUCAAACCGUUACCGAAAUUGCCAAAUUCAAAGGAUGAAAGUCACAGGGUGAAGAAGAAGAAGGAAAAUCGUUAUCAAAAUUUCAAUUACUUAACGAUUCACGCAUACUAGUGAACAGGAAUUUGCAAUAUCAGGUUGUGUUCCUACGAACCCUAAUUUGCGAAUAGAAUUCCAAAUUUAUUUGAGAGAUUUGUAAGAUAAUUAACAAAAUGAAGUUUCAAUAGAAGAAGGUGAGACAACCCGAAGAGAACUUCUCACGCCGAGCCACAAGAACAAGGAAAAGGAUAGAUGAGAGGUCACCUGCAUUUUUUCUUAAAAUCAGAACCAUUAGAUGUAGAGAGAGUAACGCGUUAGUGAGAGUCAUGUGAAGAGCGAUGGGUGAUGGUGGUUUUCAGCGUGGAAGAGCGAUGCAGGGUGGAAAGCUGAAAAGCACGAGGGUUUCAAUGGAGAGAGAGAAACGCGUUAGUGAGAGUCACCUGAUUCAUUGAACUUCCCUUUUAAUCACAGCCAUCUAACUAAUUCAACGGCCACUGUUUCAUCCUCUCACCUUCUCAUUUAAAAACUCCUCUCAUUUGAAAUGCUCUAUAUAUAUAUAUAUAUAUAUAUAUAUUUUUUUUUUUUUAUUUUUUUUUUUUUAUUUUGUCAAAAACAAAACUUUAAGUAAAUGUGUAGUUCAAGUUGGAACCAUCACAAUUUUGGAGAAUAGCAAUAAAUUUAGUUACCCCUACCAGAGUGGGUCAUUACAUGGACUUCUCUCCUUAAAAACUCUACUCCAGAGUUGUGAAAGUAUGAAGAUAAAAUAAUUUUAAAAUUUAAAAUGAUUGAUAUUCAUAUUGGUCCUUUUGUUUAUAUUAUGUAUUUACAAUAUUCAUUGAAUCCAACUUGAAUUUUGCCCUAGAUGCUUCGAGCUUGGUUGUUUAAUUUCGCCCUUGAUGCUCCGAGCUUGGCUGUUUAUUUAGUGGAUAACAUGUAGGAGCAUUAGGGCUUCACUUCUAGUGAUCGGAGUAUACGAGAGUGACUAUAAUAUUUAACUUUGAAGAAGUGUCCUCUCUUAUCGAGCAAACUGUUACCCAAACUGAUUGAUUAUUCAUCAAUUUUUUGUGCAACGUGCAGAAAAAACUCAAUGCAAAGUUAAAAUUGCAAAAAGGAGGAAGAAAACACAGAAGAAUAUCACAUUCGGUUCCAAGUAUUUUAAAGUAGGAACUACGCGUAGGUUACCUCCUCGACAGUAUCAACUAAUGAUACUCAAUGUUCCUGGCAUUUCUGGGACCAGGACCUGCCAUGAUAAAAAAAAAGAUGUGCAACUUGUGUGUUGUUCCUCAUUUGUUCUUUCAUUUAUAUUUUGUUACCUGUGAAAUUGUCGGUCAAUUUAGGUGUGAUUCAUAUGUGGAAUCUCUUUAAGGUUUUGCUGUGCUCGAGAGCAAAAUGGCAUUGAAAAUGAAGUAACAAGAUUCGGAUAUAUAACAGGUUAAACAGAAAUUUGUAACAAUUGUUCACGAAGUGACAAUUUAUUAAAUUUUAAAAAAUCUAAUGUAUAAAAAAAACAAAUAACAUGGCUGAGCAGAUGAAUUGUUGUUAUUUAUCCUCAAAAUUUGUGAGAUUAAUUUUUAGAAUUCGCAUAUUGAGGGCUUGUUUACUUCCUCAACAUGUUUUCAAUUAUGAUUUUUUAUUUUGAUAGACCAUAUAUACAUGUGGUGACAAGGACGUUUUCAUGAAUGAUGAAAAUGUCUUUCUAGCAUUUCCAAAAAUAUCGAAAAAGCCUCUCUUAACUGAAUAUAAUUAAGAAAGGUCAGUUCAUUUGAAAAUUAAAGAUGGAAGUUGAUCACAUUCAGCUAGCUGUCUCAAUUUUUGAGGAACAAACUAACAAAUCAGUUUCUCUCAGAUAGCAAUUAUAUAUAUAAGUCAUGACUUGUUAUUUAUUCACUAAUAAUAAAUAUAGCAAUCAUUUCAUCCCAAAAAAAUAUAUACUCCCUCCGUUUUAGUUUUAAAAUAUAAGCAAAUUUUACUUUUUAGGUUGAACCACAUACAUCAUCAAUUGAAUGAACCUAAAAAGUAAAAUUUGCUUAUAUUUUAAAACGGAGGGAGUAGCAAUCAUGAUAUGUAACUGGAUUAAACAUGCCAAUAUUAAGUCUCCCAACACAAGGAGGACAGAGCAAAAUCUGUGAAUUCCCUUUGAUUUUUACGUAUCCCAACCUCUAUUACACCAAGAAAAGGCUUUUUUUUUCUAGCCCACUUUAUUCAAACUCCUUUGCUAGAAGUUAGAAAAAUCAGAUAAAAAUAUAACAAAAAGUCUCCUUAAAAUUCACUGAUAUUGAGAAAUGCUGUAUAAAAAGAUAAAACAAAUCAACCAAAAGCCACAAGAGACGCCUAAACUUCUAGUAGGUAUAGCCCUUGACGAACAUAUCCUUCUUGGCUUCUUCAUUUUCACCCUCGGCAGAGUAUCUUCCAAGCUGAGCCAAGGAAUUAGCUUUGGCACGGACCAAAAGAGACUUUUGAGCUGCUUCAACAUUCUCAGGGCGACCUUGCCAUGUCUUAAGCACGGUGUUCUGCAGGGCUCGUGCGUAUGAGAAAGACACAUGCCAUGGGUUGGGACUUUGGUUCAUAGCAUUAAGAUUUAGAGUUGCUUCAACUUCUGAUUGUCCACCUGACAAAAACUGAGAAUACAGACACAACAUAGUUUAAUUCAGUAGUUCUCAACUUUAGAUUCUAAUGUAAAUGCAAUCUUAAAUUGAAUUUUGUUAGAAUAGUCAUAUUGUGUUUGUCAUGCACCAUACAUCCAUCCAAAAUAGCGACAAUCAAGAACACAACAGCAUAUAUGCAAUUGUGAUUUAUAUGUUUAGAGAUUCUGAAUUUAGGCAAUCACAAAAACAGUUUGAACAGAAGAAAAAAAAAAUUGUGACAUGUAUAUAUCAAGGAUUUAAUUCAUAUACAUUACGAGUAGUUUUUACAUUGUCCAUCAAUCAUAAUUAUCAGAUUAUUAAAAAGGUUUGACUUUAAUCGUAAUUAUUUCUAAAGUCGCGCAUAUAGUUAAUUUUGAUAUGGUGACAGUAUAUUUUUUUACACUGACAAUGUAUAACAAUUAAACUCACAUGUUAAUUUAUGUAAAUCAGAAACUAAUGGUGAGGUGCGGUAAAUGUACCAUGAUUCCGGGGACUGCAGGAGGAACUCUUCUGUUAAGCAUGGUUAGUGUAUAUUUGGCAAUGGUUUCUGGAGAAGCCCUUUCUUUGUGCUCAGCACCAGGUGUAACCAUGCUAGGCUUGAGCAAAAUUCCCUCAAAAAGGACAUUGUUCUGGGCCAAAUAAAAGAAGACUUCGGACCAUACCUUCUCAGCAACUUCCAGUGUCCUUUCAAUUGGGUGGUCCCCAUCAAGAAGAAUUUCAGGCUCAACUAUUGGAACAAGACCGUUGUCCUGCAAUGGAACACAGAUAGCAUCCAAAAAAAGUUUAAUAUAAGAACACUGGCGAAAAAUACUGAAAUUAAAAUUUACUGAUACAAUUUCAUGUGUACUACUAGGCUAUAUUGUUUAUUUCCAAUCAGAUUAAUCUAAUGAUGUUACAAAGAGGAUAAGUGCAUUGUGCAAAAAACCUUGCUUGUGAUAAAUACUAAAAAGUGUUUCAUAGUUAUAAACUGACAUCGAGAACCAACCAAUAAAAGGUUCAUUACAUAUCAUAAAUUAUAAGAUAACUACCAAUCAAAUUUCACAACCUAUGCACAUUUUCAACUUAAAGCGUGCUUAAAUAUCUACUGGCAUAGUCAAUAGACCAAACUAAACCCACAGCAAAUGAAAGAAUACCACUGUAAGACGGUACCAAAGAAUAAGCCAUGAAAGUACACCUGUUAUUCUACCGACGAGCUUAUUUCAACAAACAAACAUUCAUGGAAUGCAGGAAUACCUGAGAGAUAGCAGCAUAUCGUGCAAGUCCCCAGGCCGCUUCCUUAACAGCCAAGGCAGAAGGACCACUUGGAAUGCUGACAACUGUACGCCUGUAUAUUUCAAAAGCAAACCACCAUUUCAACUCAAUUUCAACGUAUGUUAUCAACAACAAAGUUUCAUAAAGAAGAAACCAAGAAUAGCUUACCACUUGGCAAAUCGAGCACCUUGCUUGUAGUAUUCAGCAGAUCUAGAAGCCAAUCCAUCCAAACCUUGACACCAUGAUUCAUUGUUUGACCCUGGUAGGGGAACCAAACCCUACAAAGAAAAAAGGAUAAAAAUAUAACUUCCAGCAAGUUAUGAUCAACCAACCACUGAGACCAAAUCACAGUCUUAGAGCCUGUUUGGAUUGGCUUGUUAGAGUUUAUCUAUUGAGACCAAAUCACAGCAAGUUAUGACUAUAUUUUAUCUUUUGUAUUUCCAUAAGCUCUUCAAGAUAGCUUAUAAACAGUUUAUAGCUUGUAUGAAAACAAUUUGACUCUAUUUUAUCUUUUGUUACUGAAACAGUUUAUAGCUUGAUUUCUUCUUUCACAUAGCUUACACAUAAGCACUUAUAUUAUAAACGUUUAUGCUAUAAGCGCUUAACUAAGUUGUUUAUCCAAACAGAGCCUUGAUCCUAUAUUACUAACAAACGCAAUCAACAUACCUUGUCAACUUUGAUGCCAGGUACAAUGUUCUCCUCGCGGAGACAAUCCACAAACUUCUUCCCAUCAGUUGUUGAUUGGUAAAGGGUUUCUUCAAAGAAAAUAGCACCAGAGAUGUAUUCACCUAGACCGGGUGUGGUCAGUAAAAGUUGCCUGUAAGCCUGGCGAUUAACCUCAGUAUUGUCCAAUCCAAUUGAUGCCAAACGCUUCCCAGCGGUUGCAUUUGAUUCAUCAAUUGCAAGAAUUCCACGACCGCGAGAUGCAACAGAUUUCUAUACAAUCAAAUCAACACAAAAUUCAACAAAUCUUUUAAAACAAAAUAUAGACAUAGUACAGUGUUAACAAAAGUGCAAAUAAUAAGCAAAAUUCCAACUAGAGAGAUUUAUAAGAAAAUUGGUGAAAACAAAUAUUAAAAAACAGAGCAAAAUAUACAAAUCAAAGUUAAGGUGAGUGACCCAACAGAAAAGAUUAAAACUUUAUAGCAUGAAUUUAAAAGUAAAGAAAAAGGGUAAGAAAUAAAUGUCAUCGAAAUAAAGAGAAGAGAGAAAGGUAGUAGUUACAGCGGUUUGAACAAGUUCAUCGGAGUAAGAAGCGCGGAUCGGAAGAGAGACGUUGCGAGUGGAGGAGAGAGAGGAGGAAGAUCCACCACGGCGAGAAGAGAAAGGAUUGUUAGCGAUCCAUUGGGAAGAGAGAGAGUUGAGUUUUGCAGAAGCCAUGGGUGAUGAAAAUAAGAUGUACGAUGUUGUUGUUUGUUUUUGACAAACGUUGAUGUUGUUGUGUUGUUAUACUACAAGUACAAGAGAAAGGGUUUGUUUUGUUUUGUUUCGGUUUGGUUUUUCUCGUUCACUCCGUCUAAACGGUAGGUAGUACAGAAACACACAAACUCAAACGGCAAUUCCCAAAUUCACCACCAACCCACUUUUCUAUUCUAAUACUUUUUUUUUUUUUUUUUUUUUUUAUAGAUCACAGUCUCUUUCUUUUUAUAAGCAUUCACUUGUAACAAACCACGAGUAAUUUGUUUAAAUAACAAACUUAAUUUUUUCACUCAUAAAUUUGUUUAUCUUUUUUAUACCGAUUCAAUUUGAAAAUCAAAUCUUAUUUUCAAGAUUAUGUGAAGUUUUUAUAAUUUGAAAAACACUUUCAUCUUUAGUUUCCAUUACUAUUAUUUAAUGCGAGAGAAUUUAGAUAAAGAAAAUAAAUAUCGUUCAUCUUUAUCGACUACUCCCUCUGUCCCAAAUUGUAUGAUAUUUUGAGCAUUUCACACAUAUUAAGAAAUGUAAUUAAUUUUGUGUGGGAAAGAGAUAUUAUGAGUUGUUUUACAAAAUUGACCUUAAUAAAUGAUAUAAAAAAGAUAAAUGAAUGACUUAGAAGUAGAGAAAGCAAUAAAUAGUGAAGGAUAUAAUAGGAAAAGUAACAUGAAUGAUUCAUUGGUAUUGUAAAGCGACAUACAAUUUGGAACAAUUUUUUUUUUCAAAGUGACAUACAAUUUAGAACGGAGGGAGUAUUAUAUAGUCUAUUCAUAUUAGAAUUUUGAUCACUUAACUAGAAUCAAUAUUGAAAGUGGAAUAAACUAUAUAUACUUUGGAAUCUAAUAUUUGCAAGUCUUAGCUCAAUUUGGCAGCAACAAAGAUGGUGCAAAUCAAUGUGAUAAUUUUGAUGAUUCCUAUGUGUAUUUAGCUUUUUGGUUAUUGUUUUAUUUGUAUCUAUAUUCGUAUAAAUUUUAUUUGGGGUUGUGUCGAAGCAAGAAUUGUUCGUAGUAAGAUAUGUAAAUCGUGAAUCCUCUAUAUGCCUUUUUAAUAUUUUUAUAAUUCGUUAAAGUUUAUUGAUGCUUUGCUCGUCAAAUUAUUAAUUUUUUUUCUUUCAAAACACACUUUAAUUUAUUUUAAUUGUAAAACAGGAAAACAAAAUACUGUUUUUGUUUAUUAUCUUCUUGAUAGAAAAUCCAUUUUCUUUUAAUAUUUUUAAUAUAAAUUUAUUAUUUUAUAAUUGUUCGUAGUUUUGUUUAAAGAAAUAGUUAUCUAUGUGUAUCUAAAUAAAACAACUUCUUUCGGCUCUUUUGGACUGACUUUUUCUUUUCAAAGAUGUCAUCAAUUUUUAAUACAUAUAACAUAUGUAACAAAUAGAUAAGAAUAAAUUUAAAUAUUAAAAAAAUGUAAUAAACACGAUAUGAAUAUAUAUAUAUAUAUACAUGUCUGAUUUUUUUUCCUUUAUCAUUUAAAAAGUGUAAAAAAACUAUAUCAGUAUAUUUAUACCUACUUUAUCAUUAUCCGAAUUAUACCUUCAAACAACCUUUUAUAUAAUAAAGAUUGUUGUUGGUGUCAAUAAAAAAAAUAGAUUAUAUUCUUUUUGUUAUAUCGUUGGUGUCAUUGAAAUAGAUAAUCAUGGUUAGUUUGAUUUGUUGUUUUAAUCUAAAUUAAAAUUUCAUAUAAAAAACACGGUUCAUAAUUUUUAAACGUGUGCCCGUCUUUUCGCUAGUUAAAAAUAAUGAAUUGUUAUACCGUUAUAUAUUAAUAAAUAUAUAUUGUUUUUCAAGGGGGGAAAUAUUGUUAUUUGUUCUCGUGAACAUAGAUGUGUUGAUAAAGUCAUUGUUUUGUAUAAGCAGGGGUCGGAGUUUAAAGCUGAAAUUCUCAGUUAUUCGCAUUAAAAGUGAAAUUGUAGUUAUUAGGAUACCUUACAAAAAAAUAUCAUUAUUUUUUAAAUAAAUAAAAUCAUCUAAAUACACAUUUUGUAUGUUUGAUUAGAGUUGACAUGAAUUAAUUUUUUAAAAAUGAUAUUUGUUCAACUAUUAUAUGUGACGAUUUUGGGACAAUUCUAUUUUAUACUUUCAUUUUAUUCUCACUCGCUUUGUUAUUUUAGUUCCAAAAUACGAGUGGAGCAAAAGGUUGUCCCAAAUCUUAUUACAAAUUGAUUGUACAAAUAUUAUUUUUCUUAAUUUUGAGUGAAUUAACGAUAAAAACUUAAUUUUAUUUAAAAGUAAGUUGAAAGUAAAAUGAUCCGUAUUUUGAAACCGUAGUAUAAAACUAUUUGAAUGCAACAAUUAAUUCUAUAAUAAAAACUACAAAUUAUAACUUCGUAAAAAAAGGGAUUAUACUUUAAGAAAACUCCUAGAAUCAAUUCUAAAAGGAAAAAAAAAACAAUUAUACUCUAAACAAUCAAAGAUAUAAAAAUCAAUUUUAUGCCUUUAGAAUGAAUUUUGAUUGGGAUAAUAUUUUAGUCCAUGAAUAUAGAGGGAGUUGUCGCAAUACUCAUCAAAAUUUCAAAAUGGUUGUACUUUUUGUUAGUCAUAGAUUGAUAUUAUUUUUUUUAAGAAACUAAACGAAAAUAUAUUAAAAACACAUACAGUCCCUUAAGCAUAAGGUGUGCCAAAAGAAACUGAAAAUAGUUAGUUACAAUACAGUAAGGCUAGAAAAGCCAGAAAACAAAAACAGAGAUUACAAGGCAGUCUGUAAACAACAUAAUGGAUUUUGUCUCCAAAAGGGAUAAUCAAAAGUAAACAUAAUGAAGUUUGCUUUCAUCCACCAAAAGGUUUGAAGUUUAACCCUUUCAAGAAGAGCUUCAAGAUGACCCAAAUGGUUUUGGAAAAUCUUCAUAUUGCAAUCUUUCCAAAUAACAAAUAAAAUCGAAAUCCAAAUAAUAGACAAAGCUUUCGUAUAAUUCUUUGAAAAACCUCCAAGGGCAUAAAACUGGUUAGCAUGAGUAUAUAAAUUGUCAUGAAACACCGUAACAAAACCAAGCCAAUUCGAUAUCAAGAGCCAUAAUCGACCAUAAUAAUCACAUUGAAAAAACAAAUGAUCCCUUUCCUCCUCCUUACCACACAAGGCCGCACAAGAAGCAUCUGCAGCCUAAAGGACAUUCCUCUUGCGAAGAUUGUCCUUUGUAGCAAGUCUAUUCAGAAAGAGACGCCAAAAAAAAAUGUUAACUUUUAAGGGAACCGCUUUAAGCCAUAAAAAUUGAUCAAACUCUGCAGUGAUAUUGGUGUCCACCGUUGUUAAAUAAGAGUAAGCUGAAUGCACCGUAUAUGAUUGUGACGAAUGGAGUCUCCAUACCCACCGAUCAGACAGGUCUACCUGCAAAACAAAGUUAGCCAACCUCUCCACACACUCUCUCAUCAACUCUUCCUCCCAAGCGAAUAAUCUCCGCCUCCACCUCCACGCAUCCCCAUCAGCCCCCCAUCCCAACAGAAACAUCUCCCUUACUGUGACAUUUUUAUUUUCCGAUAACUCAAAAAGUCUAGAAAACGACGCUGCUAACGGAACAUCUAACAACCAAGCAUCCUUCCAAAACAUAGUAGUACUCCCAUCUCCUACCUUCCUAACUAUGUUAUCAACCAACCAAGUAUUCUCCGCCAAACCCACACCAGCUCUAAUUUGGCUUAACUGACGCCAUCAAAUCGACCCAACUCCCUCACCAAACCGCACCCUCCCACCAACUUCUCCGUAUUUCGCUCGCAGCACCACAUUCCACAAACUUUCCUUCUCCUCCAACACCCUCCACACUCAUUUCCCUAAUAAAGAAAUAUUGAACUCCCGCAACCUUUUUACCCCUAAACCCCCAUUCUCCUUUUUCAAACAAAUAUCAUCCCAUUUUAUCCAUGAAAUUUUCCUAGAAUCCUCACCACCACCCCAAAAAAAAUUAAUAAAAAUAGAGUCAAGGAUAGAAAUGAUACCUGAGGGAGCUUUGAAGAAAGAAAGGAAAUAAACCGGAAUGGAAGACAGAACGAACUUUAGCAAAACCAACCGACCACCCAAAGAUAAAUUUGUACACUUCCAACCGGAUAACCGCCGACGAAUUCUCUCAACCAACGGGUCCCAAAAAUGAAGUUUGCGAGGAUCCCCACCAAUAGGCAAACCUAAAUAAAUGAACAGCAAUCGACCGUGUCGACAAUGCAUUACCCCCGCUGCCUCAUGUAACCAAGACUCAUUAAUAUUCACCCCGAACAACAUACUUUUGUGGAAAUUAACUUUCAACCAGGAAACAACUUCAAAUAGCAAAAGAACAGCCUUCAUUGCCCGAACAUUAGCCCAAGACUUAAUACCAAUCAAUAAGGUGUCGUCAGCGAACUGGAGAUGGGACACUGCAACUGGAUCAUGCGCCCCUACUUAAUAUGACGUAAACAAACCAUUUGCAACAACCGCUGACAUCAUUACAUUAAGACCUUCAACAGCUAACAAAAACAAAAACGGGAAAAGAGGAUCCCCUUGACGGAGGCCUCUCUCAAAAUGGAACUCAUCUGUCGGACAACCAUUUACUAAAACUGAUGCCGUAGCCGCUGUAACACACUCCAUAAUCCAAGAGCGCCACAGAUGCGGAAAAUUCAUUUUAAUCAUCACCUCAUCUAAGUACCUCCAAUCCACGGAAUCAUAUGCUUUUUCAAAAUCCACUUUAAACAUAAGUAACUCUUUAUUAUUACACUUCGCAUCAUCUACCAAUUCAUUAGCUAUUAGAAUCCCAUCCAAAAUCUGUCUACCCUUUAUGAAAGCUAAUAGAUUGAUAUAUUAACAAUAAUUUUCAAUGUUAACAAUAAUUUUUUUGCUAUAGAGACUAAUAUGACGAUAAACAAGUACUUAUAAAGAUUGAUAUGUCGAUAAAUAAGUAUAACAAGUUCUUAUAUAGACUGAUAUGUCAAUAAAUAAGCAGAUUCAAGAGUAUCUGAGAGACUAUUUUGAUCAAAGAAGUGCACAAUAAAACUAGUACGAAGGUUCAAUACAUUCAUAGAUUAACGUGGUUACUCGAUACACAUGACCAAAAUGACUAUUAUCCGUUUUGAUUCCUUCAAAUAUACAUAUAUCUUAUUAGGGCCAUGUUAACCAACGUCCCUAGACAAUGUAACAGAAACUAGCGCAUCAGUUGUGGAGCGAGCUCAAAACAUGGUUGUUGACUAGCAAUUAGCAAACGCACCUGACACUACUGUAACCACCGGCCACAAUCCAUCUUCAUCGACCCUCAGUGGGGGGCUUUCCACUUCGAGUUUACGCAAUGAAAGUCAGUGGCAGCAUCCUAUAACAUCGAUGCCGGUUUCUCUAACUCCCUUAAUCGAACAGGUAUUAGUAUUUGUAUUUGGGAGUGAGAUGGUAGUUUUGCGUUGGCAAAAACUGUGAUGCAUCCUUGUCUUCUUCCGGUAGAUGUGGGCGAAGCGCUCGGAUUGCACUUAGCCUUGCAAUGGUUAAGUGACAUGCAAUUUGAUAAUGUGGAUUUUGAAACAGAUUCUAAGUUGACGUCUGAUGCUUUUCUCUCUGACAGAAAUGACACGUCCGAAUUUGGUUGCAUUAUAGGAUGUUCUUUGUUUAUUUCUUUAUUUUCUAGCUAUAGGAUGAAGUUUGUUAGACGACAAACUAACAUGGUUGCUCAUGCACUUGCAAGAAAAGCCACGUUAAUAUCUAGUCCCACUGUUUAUUAUAAAAUACCCAAUUGUAUUGAAACUCUUAUUAUCAAUGAAAUGCUAUAAGCAAGUUUCCCUAAAAAAAAAAAAAAAAAACCAAAUGUCCUUGUAAAACUAGUUAAACAAGAAAAAACAAAAUUAACAUUAAAAACAACACUUUUUUGGGUUUCAAAAAAUAAAAUACCCAAUUUUCAAAAAAUAUUUUCUUUUAUAAUUCCUUAAUUAACAUUUUCCAUCUUAUUAUUCUUUUAUCUCAACAAUCUUCCUCUUCCCCGUUCUUCAUUAUUCAUCCAUUUCAGUGUGACAUCAAAGCCAUGAAUUGAAUGAGAGAGUAAACCCUACAACACAAAUCAUGUAUCAUCACCAUAACCAUAACCAUAACCAGAAUGGUUCGUUGGAGCGCAGAGCUCAAGCAUCAAACGGAGACAUUGCUGCUGCUACCACCAACGGUAACGGUGUUGUUGGUGCUUCCAAUUUGAAUCCAACAACAAGACUUCUCGGAAGCCCUAGAGGAGACCACAUGCCUGACAACUAUGAAGAUCUUCCUUUGGAUUUCAACCCACUUGUCUUCACUUCACUUGAAAGACAUCUUCCUUCUCACAUCCUUAACCUCUCCAGAGACCUUAAAGCUCACUACAUGUCUAACAUUCUUCUCCGUUAUUUGCCUCACUCAGAACGUGUUCGGGUUCGUAUUUUUUUCUUUUCAAGAUGCCCAGAAGCGUUUUUUUGUUUGAAAAUGUUUUACUUUCAUAUUUCUUUAAUAAAAAUUUGAUUUUGAAGUUUUUGAGUAUGAAAACCUUAUAUUUUUCAUAUUUCUUGAAUAAAAAUUUGAUUUUGAUGUGGUCCAUAAUCAAUAGGGUUUGUGGGUUAUAUCGUAACUGCUAGUUGCUUGAUUUUGAGGGUUUCUGAGAUAAUUUAGGGCAAGAUAUUGAUGUUUAGGCAUUGGGGGAAGAUAAAUUUUACUACAGACUGUGAUAUCGUUAAGACAUAGGUUGAUGUCAAUCUUAUCUUUAGGGUUUGUUUAGGGUUGACUUAUUUGAGCUUAUCUGUAGGGCUUGUUUGAAUUUACUUAUUUUGAGCUUAUCUAUUGCUAUCAGUACUUGUGAUAUUGUUUGAGAGAGCUAAUGGGGGAAGUCUUAAACAUUUUAAAGGCUCUGUUUGGGCCCUAACAAAAAGAAAGUGUUGUUGGGUCCUGUAAAUUAUUUCAAAAUAUUAUAUUUUUACCAAAUUCGGAGCCUCAAAAUUUUGAGUCACUUUGCACUUGUAUAUAACCGGCCCUCAAACUGAUAAUGACACGUCUAUUUGUUGUUUUCAGCUUAUUUUCAUAAGCUCUAUUGGAUAACUUAUGAACAUAGGUUAUAGGCUAUGUGAAUACAAUUUGACUUUAUUUACCUUUUCUUAUAGAAAUAACUUAUACAUAAGCUCUUACCACAUGAUAGGUGCUUAAUAAUUUGUUUAUCCAAAUAGGAACUUAAUCUGUAUAUCUUUGGUUCUGUAAAAGUACUUGUUUGUGUAUUUUCUAGGCAUGAUACAUCUGGUAGGUACGAGUAUGGAUUUUACAAGGAAGCAUAAUGUUCCUUUGCAUGAGUCUACAAUUCUGGAUUUGCUUCCUGCAAUUGUUGUCGAGAAUGUAGUUUUGUUUUUUGUUGUGAUGGCAUAGCUAGGUUGCAUUUCCUAGAGCCGCCUAUGAAAGUCAUUUUCACCUUUCAAGUUAUUCUUUCUUUACAUGUCUUGCUAACUGCCCAGAAAUAAGGCGCGUUUGUUACGCAAGAAUGUGUGGGAAGGGCAUUCUUCAGAAGUGUCAAGUUUAAGUUUCUUCCUGAUGACUUAUUCCCUUGAAAUGAGAUGAAAACCACUAUUUGAUCCCUCCAAGAUAUAAAGUGCGAUCUAGGCUUGAGGAAAUCAUGAAUAGUGAGUAGUGUUUUAAGUUUUAAAAAAUUCCUCUACCCUCUAAAUAAAACUAGAAUAGCAGAUUCAUAUGCAGAUUCAUAUGUUUGUGAGUGUGUGUUACAAACAUAUGUUAGUUAGUUAGUUAAUGUAAAAAAAAAAUAGAAAAUCACUUGCUAGCCUAAAAGGGUGAUGGAAAAUGAGCCUAAUAUCUGUUGUCUCGUGACAGCGAGUUUCUCAUAGCAUGCAAUUUCUUUUAUUUUUCCUAUUAUUUUGUGUUUAGAUUGGUUCUGUUGUUCAUCUUCUGAGUUUUUGGUUUUUUCUAUGUUGGAUCGAACAGAUGCAAAAGCAGAAGGAAUACAGGCAAAAGAUCAUAUUAAACUAUCCUGUAAGUUUUCUAUUGAAUGUCAAAUAAGCUUUGUCCAUUUGUCUUGUUAAAAAAAAAAAACUGUUCAUUUACAAAUAGAAAAUUUUCUUUUCUUGUUAUGAUUCUUUUGAAAAUCGUGGGAUAAACAUGGUUUUGUUUCGAAGGCCAUAUUUUAUUCAUUGCUUGUAUACGAGAAUCGGGAAUUAGCAUAUAAAUAUCAGAAUCUUAUGGCCUGAGGACAACCAUCUCGUCUCCUUUCUUACAAGCAUUUAUGUACAAAUCACAUCUUAUCUUACCAAUUAUUCGCAUUUGUUUUGUAGCCGCUUCAUAAGGAGAUAUAUACUAUGCAUAGUGAACACUUUUUUGCUCCCUCGUUUCUCAGAGCUAUUAAGGAAAAUACAGAAGCUAGUUUUAGAAGUAUAAUGGCCGAACCCUCCAGAGGAGUAUAUACGUUUGAAAUGCUUCAACCACAGUUUUGUGAAAUGUUGGUAUCUGAGGUAUCACAUUCCUUUUUUUUUCCUUUUCAUGCAUAUAUCAUUAUAUCUGUUCUAUAUUCGUGUUUUGUAUUUUCUUAUCAGGUUUUGAUUGCUUAGGUAGAUCAUUUUGAAAGAUGGGUCCAUGAGACCAAAUUCAGAAUCAUGCGACCUAAUACAAUGAAUCAAUAUGGUGCUGUUCUCGAUGAUUUUGGCCUGGAAACCAUGCUUGAUAAAUUGAUGAACGAUUUCAUACGUCCUAUAGCUCGAGGUUAUUUUUUAUUUUUCUUAAUGAGAAUGGAUGAGAAUAUAGCGUUCUUUGAGAUAAAGAAGCAAUGCUCACUUUUGCAAUUUUGAUUUUUUUUGGUGUAGUGUUCUUUUCUGAAGUUGGUGGAUCCACACUGGACUCUCAUCAUGGUUUUGUUGUUGAAUAUGGAACCAAUAGGGAUGUGGAACUUGGUAGGUUUUUCAAACUUCUGUCAUAGUUAUGCGACUUGCUAUUAGUUGGAACUUGUAUCAAAAUGGACUAUCAUGAAACCUUCCCAUCGUUCCUUAUCGUUGUUGGAACUUAUAUCAAAAUGGACUAUCAUGAAACCUUCCAGUUGUUCCUUAUUCGUUUUAAUAAACACUAUAUACCACUCUUAUUUAAAAAUGUAAAAGUUUACCCUAUUCCAGUGUUGUCAAACGUCGGCCAUGACAGCGCUAGGUGGGUUGCGGUGGCUGAUUUUGGAUAACUGCCAUGACCAAUUUGCAAAGGAUGGCGGCACCAUGGCUGAUAUGGCGGCUUAAAAUGACAAUAUUUUAGUUUUUUGCAAUCAAUAACACUUCCCCAUUCCCUCUCAAACCCUUAAUCUAAAAUGAUUUUAGUUCACUCAUACUACAUCGUGAUGACUUUGAGUUUUUUAAACUGUAUACUCUUAACUUUCAUGAUACUGUGAUAAUUUUGGCCUAUCUGCUGCUAAAUAUUAAUGCAUCUAUAUGAUAGGAACCCAAUCCUCAAUGCCCCUAAGCCUUUCAGGUAUAUACCCGAACGCCUAAGUUACAGGACAGAGAAUUCGGAGGUUUGUUAUAUAAGUAACAUGCGGGAGAGGGAUAGGAUAUAUUCUGAAAUAUUGACUGAACUGUCAGGGGCUAGCGAUUCAUCCUGAGCUGGUAGCUUCUGCUCUGUAAUUUUCUUUUUCUUUGAUAUGUAAUAUAGUAAGAAAUACAUUUCUAUAUAGCAGUUGCUAUCGAUCUAUGCUCAUACAGUUCAAAGAAAUAUUAACUUUUGAUGCCUUACUUGUUAAGCCCUCGUGAAUCAUAAUAAUUGGAUCUCAUGGAUUUUAUUCUAUACUAAAUCUGUUUCCUUCUUGCUUGCUACCUAUUUCAUGUUUACCUUUUAAUCCUUUAGCUUUACAUGCUUUUGUUUGUAUGUAAAAAACAUUUUUUUUUACAGGGUUCCACGUGGAUGACGCAGAAGUCACCUUAAAUAUUUGCUUGGGAACACAAUUUUCAGGUGGAGAACUGUUCUUCCGAGGUGUUCGAUGUGAUGAACAUGUGAAUACAGAGACCCAACCAGGGGUAUGUCUGCUACCUUAUUGUUAGAGGAAAAAUAUAUUCGGGGAUAAUUUUUAUGGGUUUGUAGCUAACUAGAAGAUGAUAUUGACCAAACACUGUUGAUAAAUUAUCCGAAUUUCAUGUGGACAUUGCUUCUUUUUUUAAUUCCAACCAUAUUAUUGUAGGAGAUAUUCGAUUAUUCCCAUGUUCCAGGACAUGCAGUCCUUCAUUCUGGUCGCCACCGUCAUGGCGCUAGACCGACAAUAUCUGGGAAUCGAAUCAAUUUAAUUCUCUGGUGUAGAAGGUAUUUCCAUCACUUUUUUCAUACAUCUCCUUGUAAAUAGAAUGAAUGCUGUUGAUUUUUUUUUUUCUGUUAAUAUAUUGGCCAUAAUUAUGGUCAUCAAUGUUCGUAUAGUUCGGCGUUUAGAGAGAUCAAGAAAUAUCAGAGAGAAUUUCCGAGCUGGUGUGGAGAAUGCAGACGCAAGAAGAAGGAGAGAGAGCGCGUAUCAAUUGCUGCCACCAAAGAGGUAAUACAGCAAGCCUUUGACAUGAAUUUGUUUGUUUGUUUGAUUGUUUUUUGUUUAAAUUGGGGAGAGGAAAUAUUAUGACAAUAUUAGAGAGAGAGUUGGAGGGUAGCACCUAUCACAAAAAAAAUGGUAGAAACUGUUAGAUGGUUUGGACAUGUAGAGAGUUGACCUUUAGAUUAUGUAGAAACUGUUGGGUGGUUUGGACAUGUAGAGAGUUUACCUUUAGAUUAUGUAGAUCAGAUGGAGAGUAGUCAAAUCACUAGAGGCAGAGGAAGACCUAGAAAAACUAUUAGAGUUCAAUGAAUUGGAUAGGGAAAUGAUAUAUGAUAGAACAUUAUGGCGGUGUUUGAUCCAUGUAGCCGACUCCAGUUAGUGGGAUAAGGCUUGGUUGUGGUAUUUAGAGGGAGUGGAAGCCACCAAACCGUGCAUACUUCAGUCGGUAUCCGAACCCUGUCCUUUAGGUUACAAAACUAGGCAGUUGCCGUUGCUCUUGAGCUAACACCUGUGGGAUUUAUGAGAUGAAACCAUGUGUUGACCAAGGUUGAUAAUGUUGCCCAUCUUCAUUUUGCAGGAAUUAUUGAAGAGGGAACUUAAAUCAGCCUCAUGAACUUGCACCAGCACAUGCAAAUGGUACUUGGUUCUUUUUGUAUAAUUGACUUGAUUUAUGAGUGUCAACUUGGCAUGUUGAAACUUUUCUGGAUUCAGUAGUAUUCUUAGUGUAACAAUAUGUGAUUUUAGUUAAAAGUAAUAUAAGCAUACAUUUCAUAUUUUGAUGAAUAACCAUAAUUGUUCAAUUGGAAGCUAAUCUUUCCUACAUUGUUAUAAAUAAAUAAAUUAUGGGAUAUUUACGUAUAUUAUAAAGAUGAUUGCUGAUCUCCCCCUAAAAUGUGGCAUUUUACCGGAAACAUGCUUCUGACGGAUUUGGGUAUAUUAGAGGGGGAUGAGCAAUCAAUCACCUAUUAUAAACAAAUUGGGAAUGACAAAUUUGGAGGCUCAGUUUUGAAACUUGUUUCCAGUCCCAAUUGAACCCAGAUCCAAACGACUUAUAUUUACAACUAUAACAACUUAUCCUCUAACAAAUUAUAUUUUGUCUUGGUUGGGAAUUAGUUGUGUUUUGACAAAUAAUUGCUAUUGUGAUUCGGUUCAAUUUAUAGGUUUGGUAUCUCAUAUAGUAAGAAAGUGAAUGAAUAUCUUCAUUCAAUUUGAAAAAAAAACCAACAAAUUAUCAUAUUUUUCACUUAAAAUUUGUUCUAUCCAAAUUUAUAUUUCAUAGAUAAGUAUAAACUGUAUGGAAAUUUUGUAAAUAUAUAAAACUAAACAUUUAAAUUUGAGUAUUGUGGAAAAAUUUAUAAACAAAGAUAUAUGCCUGCACUCUUGUUCAAAAAAUAUAUAUAUGCAUGUACUAGUAUGUUUUUAGUUUGUUUUUUUUUCUCUUUCUUUUCACAAAUCUGAAAUCCAAUAAUUUUUUUAAUGGUUUUCAUGUAUUUUUAAAUUUUACUUUAUUCGUCUAUUUUUUGUAUAUUAAUUUUUUUUUUCCCUAUUGCAAGUAGAGAAAGAAGAUAUUUUUUUUUUUUACUCUUUGGAUAUAGAAGAAUCCCGAACCAAAUACUAGCUCUUUUUUUAAACAGGUAUAAAAUGUUAAGGCCCCGAGCAUGACAUUAUUAUAGAUAUUUUUAAUCCAACAUGACAUUAUUGGAAGUCAGACAUUCUUUUCUACUUCCGUUGAGUUAAUUGAUGGGAUAAAAUCGCAAGUGCACGGUUCUAUCGAAGUAGUAAUAAAAGAGUAUCGUUAUGAUAGGGACUUGUUAAGUUCAAUUAAAUUUUGUUGAUGAUUAGAAGAAAAUCAAGUUGCAAAGUAGGGGUUUUUAAACGGUUGAAAGAUAAUAUAGUAAAAAUAGCCUUGGGAUCAUUGGUCCGUCAUGGUGACAAAAUCCUUCACAAACCAAACUAUUAAACCUAGAACCUUAUGUUAGACCUAACUUCUAAAGACAGUUUCUCUUUUGUUCCUCUAGCAAUUAAGCCUAUUUCGCUGACUUGAUCACUAUUAGAUUUUGGUCCCUUUAACAACCAAGUCUAUUUCGCUGACUUGAUCACUGUUAGAAUCCUUGAAGUUCGAAACUUAUAUGUCUCAAAGAUGGUAAAAACUAUUUCGCUGCCUUUACAAUCUUUGUCUAAAUUCACUUGUUCGAAUAUCAAAGCUCCACUUUCAUUUUAUGAAUUGAUAUUUGAGAUGAUGGAUUAACAAUUAUCAAACCCUCCACUUUCGUUUCCACAGUUUGAUAAUGGUUAAUUCAUGUUAAAACGGUGAAUUUAGAUUAGAGAUUAGGAUUACAUAAGAUUAGGGUUAAAAGCUUGGUUUGAUUAGGAUUAUGUCAUUAGACUUAUCCAACAAUCCCAAGACAAGAGAAGUCUACUCACUCUUGUUCAUCGUAGACAUGGAGAAGAAGAGGAAAAACAUAAAAGUAAAUAACAAGAAAGUAAAGGAAAAGAAAAGAACUUUUAUUAAGAAAGACAAUUGUCACUUAUUGAAUUCCAAGAAUAAAAGAUGAAUAUUUGUGAUGGCUAGCUACUCUAUUUAUAGUCUACAUUCGACUUAGAAUCUAAGUAAUUAUAUCACUAGAAUGUUUCACAAGCAACUGCGGGCUUUUUGGUAAAACUAAAAUAGAGUAGCUUAAAAUCUAAGCAAAAGCAGCAAAAGGUUGUCCUGGGAGAUGGCACGGCCGUGCCAAUGUUAGCACGGGCCAUGCCAAGCUUCUAACUUGGGGGAGACAUAUUUUUGUCUCCGAAUCUUCGUAUCUUCGCUCUGAAUCAGCUCCAAAACUCAUUUCUUUUGCUCCAAGACUCAAUCCAUCAAAUAUUCAUUCCUGAAAUAUAAUAAUAUACAAUUGAAGUAAAAUAGCUCUAAAAGGAAAUAAUAUUAAAAUAAAAUAAACUUAAAUCUAAUUAAAACGAAACUAAAUAUUAUAUUAAAAUAGAUAAUUAACGACUCAUCAUUAACUCUUUAAUUGCUGUACUACUUCCAUUGACAAAUCAAAUUAUAGUUUUUUUGGGACAAAAUCUAAUCCAAUCCAAGUACGGUCGAACUGUCGAAGUAUAAUAAAUGGACAACAUUUCCCCCUAAAAAAUAGGACAAAAUUUUCACCUCUAAUGGAAUGUACCUCACAAAAGUUUCUCAACUUUGACCUAAGUUUUCAAAAACUGAAACGAGCAUCCCCAACAUCCCAUUUUGGUCCUUAAACCGGUAUCGUUUAUACACUUUAUGUGUUUAUAACUAACAGCAGUAAGUAUUCAAUUCAGCACUUCAAAAAAAAUAAAAUUAUGAGUCCUAACAAUAACUCUAUAUUAUUAAAUUUUAGCAAUAAUUUAUCUAUCUAUUCUAAAUUAUUUAAUUUUUAAAAUAUUAAAUUAAUUCAAUUAUAUUUUAUAAUAAGUAAUAUUUUUUUAUUUUUUAUUAAUAAUUAAAAAAAUGGCCUUUUUUUUCCCUAUAAUCAAGCAACUGCAUUAUGUGAUUGUUGCUUUCUUUUCUUUGGAAGGAUGCGUUAUACGUUGCAGGAAAAAAAUUGUUUUUGGUUGAAAAUGAAAGUUCAACAUUGACAAAUAAACAAACAAUUACAUCCAAUUGAAAGGAGAAAAUUAUAUUUGCAAGUAAUUCUAUUGUGGGACCCAUAAAUAAUAAGAGAGAGCGUGUCUACAAAAACACACAUAUCUCCGUAGAUAUCCUAUUAUUUGAUGUUAUCGUAAGGAUUUCUAUUCAGCAAGAUGUUAAAUAGGGGAAAAAUGAUUUACUUUUGUAUUAUACAAAAUUAAUAAACUUAAGUUUUUUUUUUUUAUUAAGGAUUUUGCUAUCAAGUGUUUUAAAGAUUCAAAAAUAAAAAAGUAUUUAUAAGUUUUAUGUAAAAAAUGUUACUUUUUCAAACUUUCAUCAUGUUGAAUGUAUCAUUCUCAAAACAAAAACUUUAUUUUUGGACUUCUUAGCAGGAAACUUAAGUUUUGAUGCUUUUUUUGUAAUUGUUGACCUUUGUAUUCUCUAAUCUUUUAAUUUCUUAUACAUUGAUUGUCGGUUUAAUAUAUCACUUUUUUGGUCUUUUAAAAAAAAAAAAAACUAAUUUACGGUCACUAAGUAAUUGAAUAGAAAUAUUGCUUACAGUUUGGCCUUAAUCAGAAAGACAAAGCGUGGCUUAUAGGCUGUUUGGAACAGCGUUUAAAUGCCAUUUCUCACGAUCCGAGGCAACUUUAAAGUAAAAAUAUAGAAGCUAAAAGGGACAGCUUCACAUAAAACGUGGUUUUCUUUGCUUUCUACCGCUUCAACAAACACACCAAACGUGUUAUUGUCACUACAUGCAAAAGUUUAACAAUGGAAAAUUAGAGACCGACAAACAUAAAAUCAAUCUCCAAUUUCAUCAAGUCUUAAUGAAGUGUUUGAUUAGAGAUAUUUUUUUUCCCAACUCUAAUUUUUGUUAUUAAUUCAAUCUUUUUCAAUAGUAAUGCGAACGUUUCUAACUUAUCCCUUUCAGCACUUUACAUAUAAUAUUUUAAGAAACUUCUGGACACUCUCCUCGUUUCACCCACUAAUUCUUCCUGAAGCUUCAGAGCUAAGAUAUUCUUUUAAACUUAGGUUAUAUUUUAAUACCUACGUUUAAUAUUGAUUGAAUAUCAUUCCUUUAUAAUGCUAACUCGUUACUCUUUCAAGCUACCUUAAUUAAAGGCAAGAAUUUCUCCAUCGAUGUCUUUGUCAUUCAGUCUCAUAUUCUAUCUCGACUCUUCUAUGCAAUGCAUUCUGUAUCUUCUUGGAUUUAAUAAGUAACGUAAAGUUACAUAACAAAUGCAAAGAGGAGAUAAUAUUAUAUAUUUUUGGAUCAUUCUUAUACCUUCCUCCAUUUGGCUGUGUUUGCCAUUAAAGAACACUUUUUUUCAGUACUAAAAUGGUUUUUAUAUAUCGAUCGAAUAGCUUUUUCAAGGUCAUCCAAGGUUGACAAACAUAUAUGGUUGUUUGUACCUAACAUAUCUCAUAUAUAUACUAGAUUAUAAUAUUAUUUUAGAACUUGAGUAGUACUCAUAUGUUCUAUAAUAAAUUAAGUAAAUUAUUAAAAUAUUCUUACGUGUGUAUUAAUUUGAUGUCUCAAAAUUCUAACUUAGUUUAUUGUACGACUGUAUGACGAUUUUUUUUUUUUUUUUUUUUUUUUUUUAUAUUCAACUUUCUCUUCCUCUUUUCUUUUGGUGCAUCCAGGUUUGCUUCUUUUUCAUUCUUUUUUUUCUUUUCUUCUUCUUAGCAUGAUUAUUUGUUUUUUGUUUUAGAUUUUAGAGCUUUCUAAUUUUAGAUGAAUAUUUCAAUUUGUUUUUAAUUUUUAUUUGGGAAUUGAUUUAAUCUUUUUUGUGUGAAACUUUGAAAAAAUUCUUCACUUCGUUCAGUAAUUUUUUUAUGUGUCUUGGUUACUUUUCUUUUAUGUCAUGUAUUUCGUUCAUUCAAAAAUUGAAAUGCACAAUGUAAGAAUCAUGAGUUUUGUAUGGAUUAGGCAUGAUUCAUGAAAUUUGAAUGGAUUACGUAUGAAUCUUUAAAAGUUGGAAGUUUUUUGGUAAUUAAAAAAAGUUAAUUAAUUUCUACCAAAAAAUAAAUAAAUUCAAAAAUUCAUAGGUACCCAUGGAUACCUCAAUACACGUGGGUUACCCGUAUAGUGGGUACCCACACAAGUACGGGGCAGACACGUGUAUCAUAUUUAUCUAACGGGGCAGGGGCGAGUAUCAUACUAUAUGUACCCAUGGAUACUCAUUGAUAUCCCUACUAAUAAGACUUCUUAAAUUGACUCCAUAUGUACACAUCAUUUAUUUAUAAUUUUUUCGGUUAAUAGACUUUUACCCCCUGCCAUUUAGGGGACUUUUGGUUUACCCCCUGUAAAAAAAAAAAAAAACUUGUAGAUUCCCACUUGUAAUAUAAAGAUUACUUGGUUUACGCCCACAGCCAAUAGUCAGCAUCUGACAGUGCAUUUUGGUUGAUGUGGCAUGCUGACUGUAUAAAUAAUUUUAGUUUUGAUUUUUUUUUAAUAUCCACUUGGAUAAAAAUUAAAUAAAAUAAAACAAAAAUAAAAAUAAAAUAACAUUAACCAAUUAAAAUAAAAUAAAAUAAAACAAAAACAAAAUAAAAUUAAAACAAAAAUCAAUUAAAAAAACUAAAACAAAACAAAAACAAAUUUAAAAAAAAACUCAAUUAAUUCCUUUUCAUCUCUUCUCAUUCACGUGGCCACCAUCCUAUCCCUCACUUCCAUCUCCUUUCUCUUUGUUCUUCAUCACCAUCACCAUCUUCAUGUCCUUCUCUCUUUGUUCUUCAUUUUUCCAGCAACAACACAACAUCAACACAACAAACAAUCCAUUUUCGGAUCCAAUCAAAAACAACAACACACAAACAAAUUAUUUUCGGAUCAAAUCAAUCAUAAACAAUACAAAUGGAAUCAAAUCAAACAACAAAUUUAGGUUAGAAUUGGGAAGAGAAGAGAAUGAUGAAGAAAAGAGAAGAGUUAGAACUUCAAACUCCUCUCUCUCUCUCCUUCCUGAUUCCAGCAACAACGUUCAUCCCUCUUCUCUCUCAGUUCCUCUCUUAUCUUCCUCCCUCUUCUCCUCUUUCUUCUAUUCUUUCUCUUCUUUCUUUCUAAUCCAUUUUUUCAUCUCUUCAAUUGAAAAAAAAAAUACUCAAACUUAAUCCUCAACAUUCAUUCCCAAAUCUUCAUCCUCCAACCCACACAAAUACAAGAUCAAAAAGUAGGAAAAAAAAUCUCAAAAUACUCGGAACAAAAAUGAAAUCGCAUUUUCAGAUCCAAAAAUACGAGUGUGUUGUUGCUUGAUUGUGUUAUCAAAUUUAAAACUGAAACUAUUGUGGGGUUGUUGCUUGAUUUUUCUUGUGGGUGUGUUUUAGUGGGUUUUAUUUUGAUAAAAAUGAUAAACUAGUGUGUUUUUUGGUUUGAGAAUUAUAUGUGUGGAUGAGGUUUAUUGUUGAUUUUUGUUGAAUAAAAGAGAAAAGAGAAGAGAAGAAGGAUGGUUCUGGAAAAGAGAAGAGAGCAUAGGAGAAGGGAAAGGUGGAGAAGAAGAGAUUUUUUUUUUAAUGUUUUUAAUUCAUUAAAUUAAGUUUUUAAUAAAGGAAAUUUAAAUUGAAUUAAAAAAAUUGGAAAAGAAAUAAAAUAAAAAAGCCAAGUCAAAGUGCCACCUCAUUGAUCAAUACACAGUCAGCAUGCCACCUAAGCUAAUUUGUCCAGUCACAUGCCAUCAGGGGUCAAAACCAAAGAAUCUUCAAAUGGCGAGGGGGAAUCUCCAAGUUUUUUUUGAUAGGGGGUAUACCAAAAUACGCCUAUAUGGCAGGGGGGUAUACCAUAAUUUUUUAAUAAAAAUAAUUAAUAAUGGUUCAAUAACUUCAAUGGUAAUACACUAAUAGGAUCUCCAAUGGAGAUGAGUAAAAAUCCUCUCCAUUUGUUAAAAUAAAUGGAAUAUACAAUUUAGAGAGAGAUAGACAAAAAAGAGAUAGUGAAUAUUUUAAUUAAAUGAGUCCCUCCAUCAUUAAUUACUUUAUACUUUUUUCAAGAUUUUGUGUCCUUAUCUCUUUAAAUGGAGGAAAUGGAGAGAAUUAUAAAUAGAGAGGAUCUUGACUCAAUGGAGAGUUAAAUAGGUCUCACUGUGUGCAUAUGUAUUGUGUCGUUUAUGUGUGCAUUUAAAAGAAAUUAAAGAUAGCCAAAACAAACAUGACUUUGAAAGGUGGAACCAACUUAUACGUAUUUUAUUUCUUGUAAUUAUGGGACCUGUUAGUUGAUGAUGGAAGAGAGAGUCCUUGUAUAGUUGCCAGUAGUUAAUAGAUACCCAUUUGUUUCUUCCUCCAUUGGGGUCCUUAAUAGACCGAGGUCAUUGUUAAGUAAAAAAAACGAGUCCAUCUUUGCUCCAUUUAAGUUUGCAUCAUUUACCCCAUUUACAAUCAUGGAUGUGUGACAUGUGGAAAAAUAGAAAAUCAAGGGCUGGAAUUAAAAGGCUUGGAAAAAACACUUGUUUUAAUAAAAAGAAGGCUACGCGUUUCUUUUUUUUGCCUCAAGCACGCUCUUCUUCUUCCUCUCACCAUCAUCACUUUAAUCAUUUUGUUUUUGCAAAUCGCAGAUAUGAACAUCCAUUGAAAUUUGAACAAUCGAAAGGGAAUAACUGAAAACGCUUGAAACCGAGUCAUUCUCCUCUGGUUUCUGAAUCGUCUCCUUUGAGUUAUCACGAGAAGAUGAUAGUUCACAAAAUUGAAACGGUUACAAAAUCGAUCACGAUUCGAAUUUAGUUCUUGGAGAAAUUUUCCAGAAACUCGCUGAUUCAAUUCGUUGACUUCAAAUUAUAAGGUUCUGGUUUCUUUUGGUGAAAGGGGAUGAAGAAUCAUCAUCUUCACGUACAGACCCACCUAUGUCACCGCCGUGAAGUUUGGCGCUCUCAGUAAGAGAGGAAGGAGGUCACCUAUGUCACUGCCGUGAGAGGAAGAAGAAGGGGGCUGGAGUUGGUAUCUGACGUAAACAAACGCGCGUAGCCUUGUUUUUGAUAAAACAAGUGUUUUUCCAACCCUUUUAAUCUCAACCCUUAGUUUUCUAUUUUGCCACAUGUCACAUAUCCAUGAUGGUAAAUGGGGUAAAUGGUGCAAUCCUAAAUUGAGCAAAGAUGGACUCAAAAAAAACUCCCCAUUAAAGAUGCUCUUAGGACACUUGUUAGCAUAACCUAAAAAAUUAUAGAAGUUGAACAAAUAUAUUGCUUGAGAAUCGUGUCGAGUUCUUCUCUCAAAGUCUGACUGUCCUAUGCGAAGUAUGAACAUGCGACCCUAUUUUUUUUAUUAAAUCAGACAUGCACACACUCUCGCGCAUACGCGCGCGCACACUCAUGUAAGUGUGUUGAUGAAGAAAGACCACACACCAUUAAUGUCACCAUCAUCACACCACUCCCACGAUGACAACACUGAUGUCCUUUUCACUCCCAUUAUUGGUAUGUAUUGUUGUCGCUCAAUGUUGCUGGUCUGAUUUUGUUUAUACCUUCAUGUGCAUCAAAUAAAUAUUUUCCUCCAAUGCAAUGAUACAUGAUAUUUACCAUAAAUAUUUUUCCAUCCAUCUCCUGCAGACCCUUUGGUGUAGGCUCGUUGUUGUCCUUGCAAAAAUUCUUUACCAUAUCAAUCAACAACUCUUUCAUAUUAUAGGAUUGAGAAACUAUGAUGAAACACCUUCAAUCAAAGUGUUUUUUUCACAAGCUUGAUAUAAAAAAAAAAACAUGCUUAGAAAGAGUUGUUUUUCCAAGUCCUCCUAUACCAAACACAUAAACCAACAUGAGCUUAUUGGUUCCCUCCACCAAACAACUAACCAAUUCAUCUCUUGGCGACUCAAAUCCCACAACUUGGUUCUCUUCAAUGAAUUGUGAAGCCAUUCGAAGGUCAACAAAAUUUUCAUUUCCAGUAGUCCCUUUAGAACUUCCUUGUACAUUUUCAUUCGUAAAUUUAUAGCUCGCACUUCUUUCUUUGAUUUCACCAACCGAAUACUUUUAUGUUUUUCAUAUCAUAAGCAACCUUAUGCCUUUGUUUCAUGGUUUUGAUAACUUGAACUACCUUUUUUAUUGGAGCUAUACAUCCAUAAUAGUUCUCCCUUUAUACCAAUUACAUGCUAUAACAAUCAAUCACAUCUUCUAUGCGAAAAGAUGCUUCUCUAAGCUACUUCACCCAAGUUAUGACUCCUUCAGAAGAUUCUAUAGACGUUGAUCAAACAUACUGCUUGAUAAUCGAAUCGAGUUCUUCUCUCGAAGUCUGACUGUCCUAUGCGAAAUAUGAACAUGCUAUCUUAUUUUUUAUUAAAUCACACAUGCACACACUCUCGCAUGCACCGACACGCGCGCACGCACACCCAUGUAUGUGUGUUGAUGAAGAAAGACCACACACCACCAAUGUCACCAUCAUCACACCACUCCCACGAUGACACCAUGAUGUUGUUUUCACCCCCAUUAUUGGUAUGUACUGUUUUCGCCCAAUGUUGCUGAUCUAGUUUUGUAUAUACCUUCAUGCGCAUCAAAUAAAUAUUUUCCUCUAACACAAUGAUAUGUGAUAUUUAAUGCUAAGCAUCCAUUUUGUAGUGAAUCGUACAAACUCAAACACAAGCCAUAAUCACAGUACUCAAGUCACUCUAGGCGUCUUCAUUGAAACAUCCAACGUCCCUAUUUAGGGAGAUAUAGUUCCGUCUGGAAUAAAUGUAGUAAAAUUAGGCAUAAAUUAUCUCUAGAAAUAAUAUUCAAUAUAUAAAUAAAAAAUCAAUUAAAUAUAAGCAAAAGAGUGAGAUCAAUUAAACUUAUCUUUCUUGAAAUUGCGGUGAUUUGACGUCAACGAAAUCGAAGUAAACAAUCAGGAAACCAUGAAAGGAGAUAACCUGCCAAACAGUAAUCCAUUAUAUAACAUGAGGCGUGACAAAGUCACUGGCCUUAAGGAUUUAUUCGCCUUAUAAGCGCAUAUCCUCCCAGGAUACAACAUGUUCUUCCCUGAUGUGAAUUUGAUAAACACAGGAGAUGCAACCCAUAAUUAAAAUAUUUGGGAGGAGAGAAAACUAUAUUUGAGAGAAGAGUUGUUUAGGUUGCUACUAAUCAAAGACUAGAAAAGAAAAAAGCUUAACUCCUCCUUUUCUUUCUCGUGAAAAUCAUUUUUCCAAGCAAGCAGUAUCUUUGUAAUGCAAAACUAAAGCCUUAAUAAUAGCUACUAAAUUGUGAACGUUAUGAAUAAAAUGUAACUGCAUUUGACUUAGUAAAAAAGUAAAUAUGCUGAAAUAAUAAUAUUUAAUUGCAUUAACUUUUGAAAUAAAAUAAAACUCUAAAAUUAAAACAAUCCCCCACAUAUUUCAAAAGUUAAAAUAAAAUUUUAAAAAGAGUUUUUCUUGGGUAUACAUCGUAGAUGUAAUGCAUCAGAACGGUGUAGCAAGCUAUGGAACCCGUCUUAGACUAAUGAGACUUAACACACAGUGAAUUGGUUUAACAAGCUAUGGAACCCAAGACACUUGUUGUAUGCAAGAGGUCUCACAAUCACAUUACACCCCCACAAUUCUUGCUGUUACGCGGUUGUGCGCUAAGAGGCCGUGUGCGUGCCUGAUAUUCAUGAGUGUUCUAGAGACCCGCCAUGGUCUCAUGCAAGCGGCCCCACUUGACACUCAUAUAAGUGAUUCCAUUUAGUGUAUGCUACGACCAUACAUCACCCAUAAUGGCUUAUGGUAAUCAUUAAAAACCUUUAAAGCUUAUCCCUCAUUUUUAUUAUUUAGCACAUCUCAUCCAUUAUCAUACACAAUAGGAAAGAGACAACGUUAUAUUAGUACUAACAGAACUAACAAGUAACUUGUUUUUACCUAUUGAACCUUCUUCAUGGGAUCUCCAAUCACAAAGGUUGGGUUCCCAUUACUUGUCGUUUUCGAGUGGCAGAGUCUCAUUUUCCUAAAUUUCUUCCCAAGGGGUUUUAUAUAUGGAUCCGCUAGAUUCACAAAUAUUGACUAAGACGUUUCUAAGUCAAUUAACCUCAUAUUUUAUCAAGUUUAUGAAAAUAAACUCGGAUUACAUAAUAAACUAAUACAAGUCGUUGUCUAUUAAGCGACAACAUGUUCAUCAAUAAGAUAAAUCUACUUAUAGAUUUAUUCUCAUUGGAUUCAUAUCUAUUUGACAUCUUUGUAUUAUUUUAAUACAAAGGUUUAUCCAAUCAGUAAAAAUAUCUCAUAUAUAAUCAAACUAAUUUUCAUAAUAUAUUUCAUCAGGUCUACUUAGAUAAAUACUAAGCGACAUCUUCGCAAAGGGGGAAAAUAUAUUUAUGAUUAAUUUUAUUAUACAUGUCUACUUGAAAAACUUUCAGGCGACAAUAUUCCCUGGAUAAGCCAGGUAUAUUUUUCUAUUCAAGCCUGUUUGAAUUAUUUUUCAAGUGACGACGCCCCCACAUUUAGGAAAAUAACACAUAGGUAAAUCAAACAUCAUUGUAGUAUUUUAAUACAAUGGAUAAUCCACAAUAUUACACCAAAUAUUUUACGGUGUAUCUUAAUAUAUAUCUCUUGAGUUUAGCAAGUGCCACAAAAUUAUAUUCAAGUCUACUUAGAUUAUUUCUAAGCGACAAUAUCACACUUGUUUUACUCAUACACAUAUAGGUAUCACAGUGGAUUUCUUAAUAACAUCUUGUUACGGAGUACACUUCCAUCUCUUUUUAAAAUGAAUGUCAUAGUAAGGAUCCAAAUAGACCUCAGAAGAUUAUUUUAUUUUAAUAAUCUUAAAAGAACAAUGCUGCAACGAAUGUUAGAUCGAUCGAGAAGCAAGCUCAAAAUUGCAUGCCCAUACAAAAAAUACAUCUCAAAAAAUUUAUCAAAACUAAAGAUGACAUAUCAGUACUAUAUUUUAAUGUAGGUUAACAAGAUAUUCAACUUUAACAUGUAUAUCACAACUCUAUACAUUUUGAAUAAAUUUUUAUAUCACUUUUCAACAACUCAUGCUUGCUUCUAUUUUUUAGGCAUAUAAUAGUACUUCAUAAAAUUCAGUUUUCAACAAGGAUAAAUCAAUGUCUCUACAUCAACCAGAACAAAGAAUAAUACAACAAAGAAGAAUAAGACAUUUUCGAAAACUGGAGUUCAAAAUAAUCAUAAUCAAACAAACAUGUGGUUAAUUAACAUUUUUGCAUCACUUUUCUAUAUGCAUAUUUCAUCACAGUAAGUCUUUUUCAAAUCAAGCAAGACAUUAAUUUUCAACAUCAUUAAAAAUAUUAUGCAAGCUCAAACAACCAUGCCUCAAACUAAAGUCACUAUUAAAAUUGAACUCAACAACAAACGUAUUGGCAUAAAUGAAAGCUACGAGAGCACAAUUUUGAAAAAUCAUACAAUCAUUUUUUUUUCCCACACAUUCAAUACACUCUCACAACUUUAACAAAUAAAAUCAAGAUUUUUGAGAUAUCAAAUUAGAAUGUGUACCUGACCCCUUGUGGAUGAUUUCAAAGGGAGACGUGUUUAAAACUUACAACAAAGUCGAUCACCUUGAAUGAACUGAGAAAUUCAACGAACCAUUUGUUACACCAAAAAAUUAAUGGUAACGUAUGCAUCGUUAAUUCCGUGUACACCAAAUAGUUCACCAUGUACAAUUGAAGUUUAGUUUUACAAACAUCUAACAACUACAACAAAGAUAGUACGCUUAAUUUGUAAACUUGCUUAUUAAUUUAUACCAACAUAGACUAUUACCAUUUAGAGACAUACUAAUUACCAUUUACCAUACUGUUCUUAAAAUAAUUAAGCAUGAUAAGGGACAACAAAAAUAAUCCCAAAACAAUUCUACAUUAUAAUAAUAAAUCAACAAUAAUUUAUACAUAACAUAGUUAACAGGAACGUCAAACAUAUAUAAUAAUUACUCAAGCAUAAUUGAUCAAUUAGAUUAAGAUGAGGAACAAAACACUGAUUUUAAUUCUCGUCAUUUCCUUUCAUCACCAAAUAGCUCAAUUAACAAAUUUACAACAAAAUUAAUAAUUUUAUGCUAAUAAUAAAUCCUUAAGAUUGUAGAAAAAUUUGGCAUAAAUUAUCUCUAGAAAUAAUAUUCAAUAUAUAAAUAAAAAAUCAAUUAAAUAUAAGCAAAAGAGUGAGAUCAAUUAAACUUAUCUUACUUGAAAUUACGGUGAUUCGACGUAGACGAAAUCGAAGUAAACAAUCAGGAAACCAUGAACGGAGAUAAUCUGCCAAACAGUAAUCCAUUAUAUAACAUGAGACGUGACAAAGUCACUAUUUAUUCGCUUCAUAAGCGCAUAUCCUUCCAGGAUACAACAUGUUCUUCUCUAAUGUGAAUCUGAUAAACACAGGGGAUGCAACCAUAAUUAAAAUAUUUGGGAGGAGAGAAAACUAUAUUUGAGAAAAGAGUUGUUUAGGUUGCUACUAAUCAAAGGCUAGAAAAGAAAAAAGCUUAGCUUCUCUUUUUCUUUCCUGUGAAAAUCAUUUUUCCAAGCAAGCGGUAUCUUUGUAAUGGAAAACUAAAGUCUUAAUAAUAGCUACUAAAUUGUAAACGUUAUGAAUAAAAUGUAACUACCUUUGACUCAGUAAAAAAGUAGAUAUGCUGAAAUAAUAAUAUUUAAUUGCAUUAACUUUUGAAAUAAAAUAAAAUUCUAAAAUUACAACAAUAAAUAGGGUAUAUUUUAAAGGUACUUGUUUUUAGAAUUACCUUCCAAUGAACAUCUUAAAAAAAAAAUAGCUCAUAACAACAACCAUAAUCAUGCAUAGUGGAUCAAAUGUAGUGACGAAAACCAGAUGUUUGGGUUUCCUCACUAUUCCUGGUAAAUAGUAACCAAACCCCAAGCAAAAUACUCCCAACAUGUGAAUGAACUAAUUUAUUACAAGAUGAGGGUUAUAACCUAAAAAAGAAAAGAACUGUAGUUAAAACUGAAAGCCAAUAAGCUAAAAUUGUUGCAGAAAAGUGACAGAUUCGUCAUCCUCUCUCGCGUGUGACAUGUUCAUCAAAUCGAGAAGUUGAACAAAAUUUUAUUGAGCUAAUGUCAUUAGGCGACGGGCCUUGCAGGAACCAUCGUGUGGUUCAUUUUCCCAUUGGUCGUGGCUGUGUUCCUUAAAACAAUGAUAUCUAGAUCAUUUUGAGUCUUUCAUAUCUUACACUUUGAUGCAUAAAGAUCUACAAAUUAGUUUUUGUGUACUUUAUUUUUUGCCCAUUUCUAAUUCUUUUUAUGUUGAUGAGUACUUUUAUUAAAUAUUUUAUGACAUUUUUAUGAGUUUGAAUGUUGACUCCUACAUUAAUAUAUGUUUUAAGUAUCAAACAAUGAAAUAUGAAGUUUAUGUGCAAUUGAAACAUGCGUGGGGACAAAAAUGAGUGUAAUUUAAUAGUAAUUUUAAUUUAAAUAUUUUUGAAAUACAUUAAGCAUGUUAACCUAUUUUGUUAUGUUUUGUCUAAGAUGCGUAAUAUCGUACAUGUUAAAGUAACUAGUAACAACUAUUUAUUGAAAAACAACAGUUAUUUAUUAAAAAAGUAUAUUUAAUAAGAAAUACACAUGUUUCAAUACAAACAUACUACUUUAAAUUUUUUAACAUGUGCAAAUUUCUUCAUUUUUAUAUAUACUCUCCUCGUCCCAAUAUAUAAAAGUAUGGUCGGCGGAAAUGCGGAUCUCAUUGGACGGCGCGAUGGACUUAAGUAUGGAUGAGUUUUAUCGUUAAUUGGGUUUAUGAUUAAUUCGUAUUAUCAGUUUAAUAAUUAAUUAGCUUUAGAAUCAUAAAUAAUUUUGUUUGCUGUUUAAAAAAAUUAAAUCAGAAGUAUGAACACAAGUCAGUAACCGACUCACCGGAGAUCUCGGAAAAUCUCUGUAUGCUACAAAUCUUGGUGACAAUUAUGUUUGGCCCCCUGUCGUUUAAUUAUCUUAUUCAUAAUUACUUUAUUUUAAUUUAGUUAUUCAUUAAUUGAGUUAGAUGCAUUCAUACCACGAGAUUUAAGUUGGCAAAGAAAUUCUUCUUCAUUUUCAAUUACAACUAGCCAAACACGUCCUUAAAUUAAUGCAAAUUGCACACGCAAAACUGAUAGACAAACAUGCAUGAUGAAUUAGUCUCUGAUUGACAUAGUUAAGAAGUUUAUAAACUAGACUAGACUAGAUAUACUAGUAAAUUUAUUCUCGCAGUAUGUAUCAUAGUAUAAAGUUUUCUAUUACGGUAGAAAAAGUAAUGCAUAGAAUAACUAAGGCAUACACAUUUCGUACCACCCAUAGUGCAGCAUGUCUCUCCCCGCCUUUUCUUUUGACAAAAAAAUAAAUAUUAUUAGUAAUUUUUAGGAGUAAAAGUAUCUAUCUCUCAACUUCCUUUUCAUCUAUACCUUAACUCUCGUCGCAACCACUAAGCCAACAUUACAUCAGACAAAAUAUGAUCGGAAUACGUGUUUAUAAGUGGGAACAAUUUUUAUCUCACAAGUCGAUUUAUAAGGAUAAAGUAAGACCUCAAAUUUCUACAAUCAUCUUCUCGAUUUAAUGUGUUAUCGGGAGUAUUGAUUAAGACAAAAUUUCCUUUAAUGAAUUUUUUGACUAACUAAUGUGUUUAGGUCACUCAUUAGCAAAACCCUACAUAAAAUAUAAGUCUUUUAUCUAUUUCAUCCAUUCCAAAGACAAACAAAGUGCAAUUAACAAUACUUGUUCCAACGAAUAUUCAAACUUAGAUUAUUCAGAAUAAUUCUUGAUUAAACGUCAAUCACCUCUCUAAGUUUUUAUUAGAUCAAACUCUUACAACAAAAUAAAAAUAAAAAAUCAAAAUUAAGUAUAGGAUGUGAGACCGUGACGUCUGAGCAUAAAACUAGAGCAAACAAUCAAAGUUGUCAUGGCUUUGCAAAACAUUUUCAAAUAGAUCCAUCACUUUAUCAGUAUUUCGAAAAUGACCUUCACUCUAUCAAAUUUUAUUCAUAUUAGUCCUUCAAAAAAUAUGCUAGGGACUAAAUUAAUAGUAAGUUGAUAAGCUUAUGGCCUAAAUUCACCGUAAAUUAUUAAAAUAUAGGAACUUAAUUGAUAGUAAAUGAUUAAAUACAUGGACCAACUUGACUCUUAAAAAUAAUCAGAGAUCUGUUUGAGAUAUUCAUAAUCACGGAUAAAUAUUUGACGGUGUCAUAUGAAAUAAAAAACGAAUUUAAAAAUAAUAAAAUCAAUUGUUGAUGUAUAUUAACGUUUUUUUUUGUGUGUGUCAACCUUUGGUUCACACAAGAAUGGGGCUUUGGUAAUCAAAAGUUCGACCGGUAGGUAGGUAAAACUUGACCAAAUAUUAUUUUACUUAGGAUUCAAAUUCAAUUUAUUAUCUUGAACUAUUCGUUAUUUGGUGAAGCUCGUUGACCAUUUAUGUUUGUUUUUUGACAAAGCCAUUUAAGCUUAAUUGUUUGAUUGUUAACAUAAAUUAAAUAAUACAGUUCAAACAAUUAGUAAACGUAUCACAUAUAUUAAAAUUAAUAUUAAAGUAUAUGGAAGGUUAACACCUUUUUUCUGCAUUGUUUAAUUUUAUAAUAUCGGAGAGAAAAAUAAUAAUGCUGAUAUAUACUUUUUUUUUUUUACAAAUCCGCUGAUACAUACUUAUAUAAGUUAAAAAUAUGAAACAAAUUAAAAAUAAUGUGAGAUAAUUUGGUUAAACCAGACUUAUCACCAAUGUGAUGUUAAGUACAUAAAAUGUUAGGUACUUUUGUUUUAUAUUAGAAUAAAGUAAUUUGAUUUAAAUAAUUUAAGAAUUCUUUAGAGAUUCUUAAGAAAAACUUAUGGGUGAAAACUGAAAAAGCAUUCAAAUAAAAAAACUGUGCAUGUCAAAAUAGAUUUUUCUUUCUUUCUGAAAUCUAAUCAAAAUUAAUUCAGUUUUAACACCAAAAUCAUUUUUAAGAGAAGCUAUAAACAUAACAAAUAUUCUUUUUUUAAAUAUAAAACGGGUCUUUUGUCUCGGGUUUUAUUUGGAUAAUUUUAGACUUUAUGUCUUUAAAUAAUUUAUUUUUAUCUUAAGAGAAGCACGCUCUUAAGUUUCAAGUCAUAUGUUGAAGUCAUAUCCAUAUGAAUUCCCUUUGUCUCAAUGAAAUAUAGUCAAAUCAGAAUGCAAAUGACUCACACCCAUUGGGUCACAAGCACACGUUAAAUUUUGUUUCAUUCGAAUUAUUUAGUCUAAAAAAGUGAGACGUGUGGAAUAAUCUUAAUUAAGAGUAAAAGAAAAAAUAAUCAAUUUCAAAAGUAAGAUCGUAACAUAGUAAAAACCAAAAUUUUCUUUAAAAUUAUUUAAAAUGCUGCAGCGCAAAGAUAUAUAUACUAUAUUAAUGAUUAAUUACACAUGAAGAAGUUAAUAUAUGAAUAAUUAUAGCUGAAUCUCUCUUUUCCGUCAAAUGAGAAUCCAACGGUGAAAAACACUUCAUGAUUUUAAAAAUUGCGACAACUAAACAAAAACACCAAAACACAACAACAAAUUGUUGCGUGUGGCCGUAAACAUGGUAAAGAAUCACUCAUUUUUAAGAUACAUUAUACAUCCCCGUUUUUUUUAAAGCUUGGACGAUCUACUAAAAUGUAAACACUUUGAAAAAGUAGCAUCAAGAAAUUAGGCACUAUAUCUGUGAAAGAUCAUGUACUCAUGUUCAUGUUUUAAAAGCAAUACUUGUUCAAUGUAUGAAAUAAGGAUCACGUGUCCAUUUGCUAAAUUUAAUCGUUUUCUAAAUCAUCACCUCCCGUUGACUCUAUUUUCUAACUGGCCAAUUAUAAGGUGAACAACUCCAACGUUGCUCAAUGUGGAUCAACAUUUGAAACUCUAUUAAUGACUCAUUGAACUAGUGAAAUGUAAAAUUUGAGUGCUACGGGUUUGAAAAACAAAUUUGAGUGCUUCAAAAAUCAAAACUAUACAUAUUAGGGUAUAAAAAUUGUUGUUGACACAUUUGAUUUGGCUGAAAAACACGAGUAAUUUGUCCAAAUACCCUUCGGUAGUUAAUAGCCGAAUUUUGAAAGAACCGGCUGCAGUUAACUGCCUAGGUUUUCCUCGGUAGUUAACUGCCGAGGAUCUUCUGCUACAAAUCUGGCAGAAGCUCUCUCAUCUUCCAAUUUUUUUUCUUUCAAAUCUCUCUCACAAAUCUCUCUACAAAUCCAACCAAAUUUAUUCAACAAAAUCACAAGUAAGUAAUUAUAAUACUAUUAACUUACAUUUUAGUUGUUAUAAAUGUUUUUAUUUUUUAGUUUUUGAGUAGAUUUAUUUUAUUUUAGUUUUUGAGUAGAUUUACAUAGUAUAAUUCAUUUUUAGAGUAAAUGUUAGUUGCUUAAUUUAGUUAAAAUGUUUGUAUUAUGUUUAUGUUAUAGUUUAUAGUUUUUGAGUAGAUUUACAUAGUAUAAUUCAUUUUUAGAGUAAAUGUUAGUUGCUUAAUUUAGUUAAAAUGUUUGUAUUAUGUUUAUGUUAUAGUUUAAAAUUUUAGGGUUAUAUUUUGAUUUGGUGUUUUAUAUUUAUUUUUUUAUUUUAGUUUUUAAUUAGAUUUACAUGUUAUAAAUCAUUUUUAGAUUAGAUGUUAGUUGAUUAAUUUAGUUAAAAUGUUUGCAUGAUGAUUAUGUUAUAGUUUAAAAUUUUAGGGUUAUUUUUUAAUUUGGUGUUUUAUAUUUAUUUUUUUAUUUUAGUAAGAGUAUAUGAUUUAUUUUAAGAGUAAAUAUAAGUUGAAUAAUUUUGUUAUAUUUUACGUUAUAACAAAAAAAAAUUAUGUUAAACAUAAGUUGAAUGAUUUAUGUUAUAGUAUAUGAUUAAUUUUUUUAUUUUAGUAAGAGUAUAUGAUUUAUAAUUUUAGGGUUAUUUUUAUGAUUUUUAGAGUCUAUGUAUAAUUUGCACAUCAAGUGUUUGAUGAAAUGUUUGAAUGAGUUUUUCAUUGAUUGUUUUUAAUUUCUUAUUGUGUAGAUUUGAAACAAUGGCCGGGUGGAUCGACGUUCAUGCACAAUUCAACGGCGGAGAACCUCAUAGGUUGAAGGUUCGGUGCCUUGGUGUAACGUUAAGAGGUCUCAAGGAUGAACUGACUGAAUUCAACCAACGAGUCAACCCCAUAGACAUAAGGAGGGUGGAACACGUUCGGUAUAAACGUCCAACGAUUUACGAGGGGAGAGUAUCAUUCACUUGAGUGGAAUUAACGAACAACGAAAACGUGACGAGCAUGUUUUGGGAGCACAACAUGUUCCAGUGGAUUGAUAUGCGGGUGACGUUGCUGAGAUCAACUGAAGAUAUCAACAAAAGUUUGAUUCCGCCAGAAGAUCGUCAUUAGGUAUGGAAUGAAUGCACCUUCCAGCUACAACAAUUGUCUUCCUUUGAAUGGGGUAAUUCAAACUUGCCAAACGACAUGACUCCAAUGUUCGAUCGACAUUCCCAUUGUUCCUGUCAAAAGAUUAAAUUCUUGUUAGGUUUGACACUUGAAUACCGUCAUUUAAAUCAAACCUAACAAGAAUUUAAUCUUUUGAAUGGAACUAUGGGAAUGUCAGUCGAACAUCUUGGCAAGUUUGAAUUUACCCCAUUCAAAGGUAACACAAUUGUUGGAGUUGGAAGAUACAAACGUCCAACUGCAACAAUUGUCUUCCUUUGAAUGGGGUAAUUCAAACUUGUUAAACGGUAGGAAUCCAGCAUUCGAUGAGCAUUUUGAAUGAUGGUAUUCAAGUGUCAAGGAAUGCACCUCGUUCUUUUGAUACUUGAAUACCAUCAUUUAAAAUGCUCAUCGCAUGCUGGAGUCCUGCUGUUUGACAAGUUUGAAUUUACCCCAUUCAGAGAUAAGAUAAUUGUUGCAGUUGGAAGGUACAUUCCGGAAUGUAAUGUAAUGCAAUGUAAUGUGAUAACAUACAUAGUUGAAUAUGAAUAGUACAUGUUGUUUUGAAUGGAACAAUAAUUAUCUUAUUUAUUCACUUUUCGAAUUUAUUUAUUCAUUACACAAUUUUAAUUAGUUGAAUUCACGUUAGAUUUAAUUAGUUUUUACUCGAAUACGCAAUUAUUCAAAACGUGACUUUAAUCGAAAUUAUUCCAAUGCGAUUUUAUUCUAAGUACCAUAAUAUCAAACAAAAUGUGCUCGACACAAAAAUAAAACAUAAAAAAAAAUCCAAAACAAUUAGGCAUUAAAAGCCAUUACAUUCAUUCUUCAUCGUCACACAAGUCAAUCGGGUUGCCCGCUACAGUCCUUGGGGCACCGUGUUUUGGUCGAUGACCAAAAUAGUAUGUCCUCCCGCUCAUCCUCAACCUCGACUGAUUGUACACCGGCACCAUCAGACCCUUUUUUUUUUCGGAACCAUCACAAACAAUUCUGUGCCAUGUCAUAGACGAUUUUUCUUUGUUCUUCUCAUCACCCUGAACGUUAUCCUGAUUCUGAUUCUGAGACAUAUCUACAUUAAAAAAAAAAAUGGCAAUCAAAACCUAAACUAAACAACAAUGUCAUAAAAUCGUAAAAUCAAAAACUAAACCUAAACCUAAACUAUCAUCAAAACCUACAUCUAAACCUAAACAAUCCUAACAAUUCUAUAACGAUUCAUCAAAACCUAAAUCUAACAAUUCAAUAAAAGUUUUCUAACCAUUCUAACCUAAACUAUCCUAACAUAUUAUAAAAUCAUAAAAUCAAUAAAACCUAUACAAUCGAACCUAUAUAAUUGAAAUUUAACAACAAAAAAAACAAACAAUUCGAUCACAAAACAACAAUGCAAUAAGAUUCAAAAAACUUACUUGUUUUUGUGAUUGAAAUUGGUUUGGAAUGACUUCAAAUUGCUCAAAAUAGCACCUAGGAGAAUAAAAAACGUAACAAUGAGUUUUGGAAACUCCUAUGUCUGUUAUGUUCUUAUAACAAAUUUUCGGCAGUUAACAGCCGAGAUUUUCCUCAGUAGUUAACUGCAACCGGUUUUUACAUUCCGGAGACAAAAUCGUAUUUUACUUGCAUGCUUUGAAAUAUGUCAACAACAAUUUUUAUCGAAGGAGCACAAAUCGUAUCAUCGUCUCAUUUAUGAUAACAAUGAUGGAUGUGAACUUCUAAUUUGAAUAGACAACAUUCAUCAGUAUUGAUAUUUUGAGUGAUUUACAACCACAAGUUAGCCGUAGACAAAUUUUCAAAGUGAUAUUCAUUUUAGAACGUGUCUAUUUAUUGGUUUAAAACAAAGAAAUUUUGUGUAGUACCAUAUUAAGUAGACAAAAAGAAGAUAAAUAUAUUCUCAUACAUCUUAUCUUAUCUUAAUAUUAUGUAAAGAUAAAAGCUAUAGAGAUAGAAAUCAAAGAAAAUGUAAUUAAGUUGAAAAAGGGGGGAAAAGUGUUUUUCAAUAACACCCACGUCUCUAAUUACAUGCCGAUUUUUUCUUACAUUCUCAUUCAACUAUAUUGGUGACAACUAGGAUACCCAUGGAAGAAUAGUGGGUAAUUUACCCCAACCAAUAGACAUUAGCCACAUAAACACAUUUUUAAGUGGUAUCCAUAAACUAUCUUAACUCCACCAACAAAUUGCUCAUUUUCAUUGAUUGGUGGAUAAAUUACCUACCAUUCUUCAAAGGUAAUCUAGAAAAAACCAACUAUAUUUCACUAUCAUGUCAUUUUAUCGUAUCAUUUUGUUAUAUUAUUUCUUAAAAGAUAUCUCUACAAACAUGCUCGACUUACUAUGUUCUUUAUCAUAUCCAUGGCAAAUUGAAGACAUAUCACACAUUUAUAACGCAAGUAAAGUUCUAGUGUCUAAACAAAAAUUUAUCUCUCUCAAAUAAUUUUAAGACUUGUCUUGAAAAAACAUAAGCAUAAAUGGCAGUAAACUAAAAUCUAAGGAACGAUGGAACCACACACAUGGCCCUUGGUCUUUAUUGAUACCCCUCUCUAGCACUCUAUAGACCGCACCAAUGCCUGAUGGCCUCCGGGAUACCUAGGAUCUAGCAAAUCCUCAUGCUAACAUAGAGGAAUCCAUCUUUGCUCCAUUUGCCUUUGCUCAAUUUACCCCAUUUACCUUGAUGGAUGUGUGACACGUGUUAAAAGAAUAUCCAAUGGUUGAAAUUAAAAAGGGAAAGAUAGGUAAUAAAACAAAAUCCCUAGCCUACUACUGUUCACCUUCUCCUUCACGUCCCCUUCCCUUCACCACCUGUAACCAGCCUCUUGUUGCCGCCCACCGGUAAUCACUACAUCACCGCCAUCUCUUUGUAUCGUUGUCGUCAUCAUCAUCAUGAAUCAGCCCAUCACCGCCACCAUCACAAAUCAACCAAUCGUAGCCGCCAUUACAAAUCAGCUCAUCAUCGCCACCGUCACAAAGCAACCAAUCGUAGCCGCCGUUCCAAAUCAGCCCAUCGUGGCUGCCAUCACAACGACGGCGUUUUCAUGUGAUUGAGAAACAGGUUGAGUUUGCGUGGAUUAUCUCCCCAGUGUCAUUAAAACUAACCGCUGAAUUUAUUUGUUGGUUAUUUAUCACAGAAUAAAUAAUUUUUGUUUUGUAUUUUUGUAAUUAUAAUUGUUGGGUAAAAGGAUAAUACCAGAGAUCCACCGCCGAAAAUGAAGCUUCUUAUAUUUUGAAAUAUGCAUCAGUUAUGGAAAAUAUACAGAGAGGCAACAGAUCUGGAAAAAAUACAGAGGUCGUGUUUCUAGAAUUAAUCACAUGCGUGUUUGUUUAUCUUUCCUUUUUUAAUUUCAACCGUUGGAUAUUCUUUUAACAUGUGUCACACAUGCAUGAAGGUAAAUGGGAUAAAUUGAGCAAAGGCAAAUGGAGCAAAGAUGGACUCAACAUAGAGAGCCAUAAAAACCGAAUUAGGAUCCUCUCCAUUUGCUUAUAUCUUUGUUUCUUCCAUUUAUAUCAUGCAUCCUUCCUAUUUAUAUCCUUAUUUAAUUUCAAAAUCUUAUAAGUUUUUAGAUGAGCCUGUCUCACCUGAAACCCUUCCAAACUGUAUGAAUAAAUGGGUGGAGAUAGGCCAUCAUAUGAUAAUUGGCAACCGUUGUUCAUGCUAGAUUGAUGUUUUGAGCCCGAACUCGCCCAUUGUCUAAACUUAAUAUUUUUUUUAAAAAUAAUUACCUCAUCCGUACACGAUCUAAAGAGAUUUGACCUUACAUAUUCUCCUUAAUUUAAUGUGCAAUCAAUCGGUGUGUAUCAAAAAAUGAAACAAUUAAACUCAAGUGGUUCAUAAAGUUCGUUAAACGACAAAUAAUUUAAGAAAAAUUUGUUUUAUUUUUCGAUAAAAAUCCGUAGUAUUGAGCUUCUUUCUAUGAAAAGUAGUUUAAGUUUUGUAAAACACCUAAUUGAUUGAUUAGUAUCCUCUCUCUUAGCCAAACGAAUCAUACAUAAUUAGAGUUUCCCACAUCACACGUCAUACCCUCGUCUCGUUUAUAUACUCUGAUAGAACCUCUUCUUCUCUCACACAAAAACGACACAACACAAUUCACCACUCUUCUUCUUCUUCUUCUCUCAAAUUCUCACACUUAUUUAGAUUUACAAAUACAAAAUCAAAAUCAAACAGAAAAGUAAAUUAUGGGUUUACAAAGCCAGCUAAACGACGUGUCGUCUGAUUCAAUUCCUUUACUUGUUCUGAUGCACAUAGCCACCUGCGUCAAUUACAUCCGUUCGAUGCUUCUCAAUUUCCUCCAAUCCAUAGGUCUCUCACGCCUCCAAACUGAUCAGAUCGUCGACGAUCACUUCAUCGCCGCCGUCGGAUCGGGUCUCGCCGGACUCAUCAUGCUCUCCGAUCAACUCUCCCUCAACAAUCAAUUCUUCUACAAAUACGAAGACGCCGCUUCCGCCGACAAUCACCGCUGCGUCUUCUGCCAAUCCAACUUCGAAAACGGCGAUCAUGUUCGUAAGCUUCCUUGCCGCCACGUCUUCCACCGUCACUGUCUCAACGGUUGGUUCCACCGCUUCAACUUCAAUUGUCCGUUAUGCCGUUGUUCGCUACACUCCGACGAGCGCGUGGCACUCACCGAACGCCGUGUCGGUAGCCAACUCAUCUCAUGGUUCACCCUUCGUUGAUGCGAUGCACACUCACUCCAUCAUUUUCCUUCAAAUCCCAAUUUUACCCUUUACCUUUUUAUCUAUUUUUCAUAGGGUAAUAAUAGGAUAAAUUUUUCAUUUUACAGUCAGUAUUGAGUUUUUUUACAUUUUUUGAAAGGGUGUUUGAGAAACCCUUUUUUGGGCUGAUGUAAAUUUUGGACUCCUGUGUUUAUGGGUAAUAACUGGAGACAUUAGCAAGUUUCUGCAAAAUUUGAUUACACUUUUUUUCUUCAGUUAAAGUCAAGUAUAAUUCAAACGUUUCUUGAUACACUUUUUCCGGCUUUUGUCACAUAAAUAACGCCAAACGAUUGGUUGAACUGAAAGAGCAUUGCUAUUUAUCUAAAGAGUUUUAAUAGAAAAUUUAUCAAGUAAAGAUGUUAGCAAAUACAUUGGUUUGAAAUCUUUUUGAUAAAUUUUGUCACUGUAUCUAUCAUUUUCAAAAAAAAAAAAAUGACAUCCUUGUAAAAAGAAGAAGUUGAAAAAUGACAUUCAAGUACAAAAAAGAAGGUAAAAUAUGUCCACUGAAAAUUUGUACAUUACCAAUCGUAGCCAUUGUAGUAGUAGUUGAUAAAUAUGGUUGGAAUCAAUUAGUUCCUGUUUUUUGGAUAAAAAAUGCGACAGAUACAUGAGGGAAUCGAUUAGUUUCUGUUAAAAUUGAGUUGAAGAUAAAUUGAUUAAUAUUUGGAUACUUGAAUAAUAAUAAUAAUUUUUAGGAAAUGCUAACAACUUAUAUUUUUCCAUUCCUUUGAAAUAUUAAAUUAUAAAGCAAUUAAUUUAGUUUCAUUUUUUUUUUGUCUAUAGUGUGUAAUAGACUCUGUUUUCGUAUAAAACCAAUUUUCCAUCAAACCUGCCUUCAAUGAAAGGGAACAUUGGCAUUAGUAGUACAACUACAAUCAUUUAGAUUUUCGUGGGACGAAGGAGACGUGGAGUGAGUGAAAAUGGACAUGCGUACAUCACGAUUAAUAAUGUUUUGUUCGGAAGCAUUAGGAAAAAAUUGAGGGCAAACGAGAGAAAAUGAAGUCGACAUUUUUUUUAAAUGGAGAUAAAAAAAUAGACACUUGUGUUGUUGGGUAGAAAAUCCUCAGCAAAUAGAAAGUGAGCAUUUACAAAAGGAAAAUGUUUUUUUUAAGGAGCGAAAGGAAAAUGUUAACUAGUAAUAAAAUAAAAUUAGUGUAUGAAUUUUAAAUCUUGUAGUCAAAGUUUAGAAAGUAUAAAAAAUACUCCUUCCGUUUUAAAAUAAGUGUCGUUUUAGAAAGAGAAUGUUUAUUUUACUAAAUUAUCCUUAUUAACUAUUGAUUAGUUUUAAAAGUAAUACUUUGGAAGUAAUGUGCAAAAUAUUAAUUGGAGAGUACAAUUGAAAAGAAAAAGUUAUUAUUGCAUUGGAAACUGAAAACGAUAUUUAUUUUGAAACAUUUUUUUUUUUAUUAAAGUGACAUCCAUUUUGAAACGGAUGGAGUAUAUUUUUAAUGUAAAGUUUUCUUAUUUUAUUUUCUUAACUAGUAUUUGAGGUAUUAGUUAACAUGUCUCUUAAAACUAUAUUUAUCUCAUUAUUUUUUUCUCUUCAAUUUCAAUUUCAAUUCUCCAACAAAAUAAAUAGAUUAGUAUUUGCUCAUAUAAGCAACUGCUUUAGACUUUAGACAACAAAAAUCGUAGCAGCCACAUAUAAUAACCGAAUGACAUACUCUCAAGUGGGCGAAAACAAACUGGUGGAGUACAAGGUCUCCUAUGCUGCCUACUUUCAUCAAUCACUUAAACUCCAUUUUUUUAAUCAAAUGAUACAAUUAUUAGUCCUAUAAGGUGUAACUGUGGGGAUAAAAGACUUUAAAACAUUGAUUUAUUCAGACAAACAAUACAUAUUCUAACACACAUUUUUUAACAUAUUUUUUAUGAUUGGUUAAAAUUCACAUAAGUCCCAUCAAAUUAUGUGGGUUCCAUAUAAAUUUGGUGGGUCUCAUGUGAAUUUUAACAAAUAAAAAAAAGUGUGUUGAAAAAUAUAGGUUAAAAUAUGUGUUGCUAACAUUUUUGACUGUGACACAUGUUCAAACAUACAAUGUUUCAUCUCCUUCACAUUUAAUUUAGUAUGUCAAUUACUGCUAGACAUGAAAUUGCUGCAGGAUAUUGAUCACAAUCACCUUAAAAAUAUAAUUUCUCAAUCAAUGUUUAGACAAAUGGUUCACUUAGGGUGAAUACAUUUUAGGAUAUUUAAAACUAAAAACAAAAUUAUCUUACUUCUCUAAAAAAAAAAAAUAUCUUACUUUAAAUAGUAAACUAUCAAAUUAGAUUUUGAAAUGAUCAGACCCUAAAUUUACAAAAUAGUAAAUUCAUUCCUCUUUUAUAUUGAAUCACGUCCCUCAAAAUACUCAUUUUAUCAAAUAACUAUGUUCAAAGGUGUUGAGACGUUUAGAUGAUAUUAUCGGUUGUUCACAUUAGUAACAUUUUAACAAUUUAUGCAUUAGAAUAAAAGACUCAACAUGUAUAUCAUGCAUCCAUAAUAUUUAUAUCCUUAUUGAAAUUCAAAAUCUGAAAAUGCUGAUAUAAUUAUCUGACGAGAAUAUUAUGAUGUAAUUAACUAUGACAUAUUAAAACCAUUUAGAGCAAGUAUUACAAUGGGUGAAAAACAAGCGGUCUAUAUAUGACAGAGCAAUGAUGUAAGCAACCUGAGUCUCUGAUAUCAUUAGGCAUUAGCAAGAACAACAACAAACGGUCCAGAUUGUGAAGUGUGGAGAAAUGUAGGACCAUUGAAAACCUCCCUUGUUUUCUGGGUCAGUCCUAGUUGUAGUUGUUAUUGUUUGUUGUUGUGUCUCUCUUCUCUACAAUAACAACAAUAAGGUUCUUUCCAAAUUUUUAAAUCUCACAUGCCCCAUUGAAGACUAGAAAGGGCAUGUGUUUCCAAAUUCUCAAAUCUAACAUUCCAAUUCAAAACUAGAAUUAUGUCCUUAUACAUGCAUAUUUUGGUUCUAUUGUGUACAAACAUUUAAAAGAAAGAACAGUGAUCUGUUAUCGUAGAGACAAUUAAAAAUAAGGAGUAUAUAAUUUCAAGUUAUAGGUACACCAUAUACUUUUAUAUUAUAAAUAUUUGUGGGUGACGGUGUUCCUUUUGGAUCAAAACUCGUGGUGUUGAAUCCACCAAACCAAAGUACUUGGAUAACAAGCUUAUUCAUUUACUACCGUGUGUUUGUUUUUAGUGUUGCACGUUCCAAAAUACUACAUCGACUUAAUAUUAAAAAGUACUCCAUAAUUUUCAUUAUAAACAAAUUAAUCACGCGUUUAUGUAUAAAAAAAGUAACAAAACACGCCCCAGUUGUUAGACGAUCCAAAAUUCAAAUUAGAUUUUUUUUUUUUUUUUUAAAUCUAUAAAAUUUAACUUUAAAUCAAAACUGUCUAAUUAAUAACUAUAAUUGAAGAACCGGGAUAGAUACAUAUGACUGUACACAACCUGAAUCUUAUAUAUUGAUGUUGGUAUGAAAUGAUUUUAUGCUCUUGGCAUACAAUAUUUUAUAGUUUUUCAACGUAGUUUUAAUUAAUUUUCUUUGAAUUUUAUCAUCUCAGAGUCAAGACAAUGAGCGUAGAACAGCACAAUGAUUGCUAUAUUUGAAUAGUUUGGUAGAACUACUGGAUACUGAGUACAAGAUGCUUACACUGUCAUUUUCAUAGUUUUGUUGUCUCUCAUUUUAGAAGUAAUCAAUAAGCAGCUUUCGUAGAAGUAAUCAACUUUUAUACAUUUUUUCACUAAUUGCAAUUUUCAAUUUGGUCAAUUUUUUCUUUCCAUAUUCCCCUCCAUUGUGCUAUACAGAACUACCAGAGGAGUUUCUUGCCAACAAAACUUGUUAAACAGAUAUCAUUUUUGGGUUUUAUUAAUUGUUCAAAAUUACUCUAGGCUCACCGUUUUCUAAUAGCUUUUGUCCAAAAUCUAAUUGUCUCUUGUCUUAGAAAACGUUUAAUUUCUUCUUUUAACAUUGUUUUUAAAUGUAAGACUCUUGUUUAUUAAAAAAUAUGGUAUAAAUUCUUCACCAAGUGAUUGAUCUCAAGUGAUCAGUAAACUCCAAUAAAAGAUGAAUUGUUCGGAAGAAUCAAAAUUCGAUUCUUUGAUAAAAUAAUUUUUUGUCGGAUUAUAUUUACCUCACGGCUGAACUCUGAAUUAUCAAGACUUUAUCUAAGAACAAAAAGUUAACAAAUAUAUACACCAAAACAAGGCGAAGGCUAGCGUGGGAGAGUGACUUAGGUCACUCAUGGGGAGUGAGUAAUCUGGUCCGUUUGAUUAUAAUACACCAUCAUGAAUAUUAUACACUAUAUAUUUUAAUUAUUUUAUCUUCCUAUUUUCUUUUGAUUCUGUCUCAUCCUUCUGACUCUCUCUCCAUUGUUGGAACUCACACCACUAGUUACAUUCUCUUUCCAUCAGCACUCACCAUCCGAAGAACAUUUUUUCAUCAAUUUUUUUUUUUUAUUUGUAGUUAGGAAUUUCAUCCACACCCAGAACUUUUCUUUUUGUGUCCCAUUUUUUGGAUGGAUUGUGAACCUUACCAUUCUGUUUGAUUCUUCUUUUUGGGUUCAUGUUUACAUUUUAUGCUUCUUGAUUUUGUUGGAUUCACAAAAAAAAAAAAUUGAGGAAGAAGAAGAGAGGAAUUACAAUCUGAGUGUCUUAAAAGAUGAAAUAUUUACAAAUCUUGAGAAAUAGGAAAAAAUUCAACCACUUGUUAUAUUUUAUUCAUGUAACACCACUCUUUUGAACAAAAUCAUGAAACAGUAAUUAAAAAUCAAACAAGACAACACUAAAUUAUUGAAAAAAAUUCAUAUAGAAAAAAAAAAAUAAAAGUGCAUAAACGUGAAAAUUGGAAUUUUGUGGAAAAGAGGAAGAGAUGCCCAUUUUAAUAUUUGUUAAUGACAUGCAACCGAUGGAUUCUAAGAGAAAGGUUGAAAAAAAUCCAGCCUUGUGUCAAAGAUGAAUCCAGUAUUUUCUUCCUUAAUUUUGUUAAAAAAAGAUGAUUUCAGUGGUGAUUUUUGUUUGUUUAACACAGUCUCAGCGAAAAUGAUGAACAACUCUGGCAUGGAGAGAGGAGAAUGAACAAGGCACUGAGGUAGGCGUAGAGAGAGAGAAGGAACUCUAGAAUAGGAUGUAGCAUUCAGAUGUGUAUAGUGCAUCAUAAUAUCCGUGGACGAUCAUAAUCCAACUGUUAAACACACUCAUGCACCAUGCGCGACCUAAUCUGCUCUCCCACGCUAGCCUUCGCCCCAAAACAAAGGCUCUUUUGUGAAUUUUUUGUCACUUUUUUAUAAAAUUCUCAUUUAAAUUUUUCAACCACGAUUAUUAUUUGUUUACCAACAUAUACCUAAUUAUUUUACCUCUUUUACAAUCAACCAUACACAUUAUGAUGUGAACAUAAACAGUUUAUGUAUCGAGUAAACUUGUAAAAACAAUAUCACAUAUAAUUCUUUAUUUUACCUCAAUAAUCGGCAGUUUUCUACACAUGGUGUAAUCACCACUACCACUUGAGUUUUUAAAAGGCGUUGAAAAGUUUAUCAAAUUUGCUUGUUGCAAAAAUGAGAAUAACCUCACCUAAGAUGAAACAAACACUUAAUUACAUUCACCAUCAUUUAUAUGAAAGACUCUCCAUGUCCAAUUCCAAUAUUAAGGUGUAAACUCAUGUUGGUAAAUGUGAGCGUUUGCUUCAUCCAAGUGAGGUGAUUUUCAUUUUCGCACAAUUGACAUGAGCAUCUUAUUACACCCCCAUUUAAAUACUUUUUCUUUUGAUAGGUAAAUUAGAUAAACUUUUCAACGCCUUUUAAAAACUCAGUUGUAUGUCCUCUACGGCCAGGGUGAAGCCUAUAAUACAUCCAUGUCCGAACGGAGUAACUUCAAUUUCCAUGCAACUCCAAGAAAUGUUACGAAAAAUCUAGAUAUAAAGCUUUAAUGCAUUGAAAUAAUAUUAUUUUAACCACAACAAUUAAUUGCUGGUUUUGGUCCAAAAUUCCAAACGGAAUACAAAAUAUAGUUAAGCAAAACAUAUAGACAGCAAUGGCAACUAAAUAAGUUUAACUAAAAAUAGCACUAUAUGCUUGUAAGUUAAACUAAAAAUAGCUUUAAUGCCUUGUAAGAUUGGAUAUUUAAUAUUUAUAAAAACUGAAAGAGUGAAAACCUAGAGGAAUUGAGUUCAUGUCCUGUUAAGGCAUUGUUACUCUGAAUUUUAUCAAGCAUAAAGCUUGUAAAAUACAAAAUUAAAUAACAUUAAUAAGAGCAAUCAUAUUUAUCAUGCAAACUAUUAAUGAAACCCAAUCCUUCUUUCACAAACCAAGUAGACUACCUGCAGGGCAGAAAGUUAAACAAAAAUGAAGACUAAUGGAUACAAAAGGAAAGGAAAUCACAGUUUCAUCUCAAUUUGAAUUCUCUUAUGGAUCAAAAGGUCACUUAAUACCGCGAUAUUUAUGUCACAAUUUAUGUAUGAUUUUGGCUAUUUUGCUUUUACGUAUGUAAUGUAUGUGUUCGUAUGAAUUUGGUUGAAUGUGUAUGAAUUUAGUUUAAUGUGUUCCAUGUGUUACUUUGAUUGAAUGUGUAUGCAAAUGAGUUUGAGUUUGAGUUUGAAUGUGUAUGAGGAGUAUUUACUUUUUUUUCUUUCUAAAAAAAGCUAUCAAAUUAAACCUCAUAUUAUUUUAUUUGCAUGAUGUUUAUCUUAAAACUGAUUCAAACCAAACUAUGAACCCCCACAAUUUCCAUAAGAUCCAAAUGAGGGUGUAUGUAGUAAAGUCAUUUUAAAGUUUCAAGUAAAAUCCAAGUCCAAGUCUCGAAUGAGUUCCGUAUCUAUUACUUCUAUUGAUAGUAAUAGUCUAUUAAAACCGAUGUCCAUCAAUUUACCUAAAUCGUCCUUAGCUAAUACCACUAAUUUCAAAAUUUCAUCAUAUCAAUUUUCUCAUAUCAGUCAUAAUCCCCCCCCUAUAUAAACUCACAAUAUCAUCCUCAAAGUUUCAAGUUUAAUUCUCUUUAAUGCCAAUUUGAGUGAAUUACUUUAAUUUCUUCAACACAAAAUUUGCAGUAUUCAUCAUUAGAGUUGUCAAAUGAUCCGACCAGACUCAACCCGCAUCGACUUGGCUGACCAACUCAUAUAAAUGGGUUGCAGUGGGUCGACUCACUUGACUCAUGGGCUACCUAAAAUUGCAAGUAGGCAGUAGAAUGAAAGAAUUGUAAUGUUGUAGAAGAAAACCUGAAACACAUAUCGUUGUUCGAAACCAUCCACCGUCUCAGCCCAAUUAGUAGUGGCUAUACGACCUGUUGGACCAGUCCAACAUGAGUUUUAAAAUAUAUUAUUUUAUUUUAUUUUUAAAAAAAAGAGAUGCAAUGAACCAUUAAAUGAUAUAUAAAAAAUCUAUUAAAUCAACAUCCAUAAAGAAUAAAUAGCACAAAAACAUCAAUACAAGCGUAUUAAAUCAACAUUCAUAAGUGCAACCUUAAAAACAAUAAAAUUCAAUCUUACAUAAUAUAAUAAUUUAGCCUCACAUGACAAAACUAUUUUAUAUAUUUUUUUUAGUAUUUUCAAAUGUCCGACCCGCAAGCCCAGACCAGCCCAUGUAAAAUACAGCCCGAUGGACUGGCUCAAAAAGAUAGAGUCGUUUUUGGUCGUUUCUCUUUAGGCCCCUAAUAUCUCUAAGGAUGUGUCAUGUGUAUUUAGGAGGCCUUAGAGAUAUUAGAAAGACCUAAAAAGAAACAUUCGUCGUUUUAUGUGUUUUUUUAGCGGUCCAACCCAGAUUAAAAUAGAGGGUUGUUGGGCCGGCUCAACAUACCUGACCUAUUUUGACAGCUUUAUUCAUAAUGUGAUUAGGGAUAGUGAACGUAAAAUUAAUAAUGUUAGUGAUAAUUAUUGUUUAGUAAAGAGACUUUUUCUUUUGCUUUUGGGGAGGCCAAACAAAAUUCAUCAACUUUAUCUCUGUUUGCUAGACUAGAAGAACAGUUAGUACAAUUUGUCCCAGGCACCAUUAGAAAAGUCCAAAUAUUCGUUUUUCCAAAUUGUAAUUAUUCUGCCAUUUUUACCAGAAACAUAACAAAACAAUCAAAUUAUAUAUUUUAUUGAGAAACAAAUAGAUAAACUGAUAAAUAUGUGUUAAAUUAUACCACCAGUAUAAAAAAAAACCUACAAUUUCAUUGAAUUACAUUUAGUUUUAGGGAGCUUCUAGAAAGAAGUCGGAUAAUUGACUUCUUCAGCGCAGUCGUUUAAUUCGGCCAAUCAAAUUUCAUAUGACUUAUGAGAAAGAAGAUGAUGAAGAUGUUCAUAUGACUUAUGAAUUUCUUUAUAUUUUUAAUUAAAAAUAUUUUAACAAAUAAGGUUAUUAAUAAAACUAUUAUUUCAGCAUCCUUUAAGGAAAAAAAAAAAACUAUUAUUUCAGCAUUUUUUAUAAUAAAAAAUGAAAAAAGGACUAAUGUGUUACAAAAACAUAGCCUAUAUCAAGAGAUAAUAGGAAAAAUAAUUCAUUAUAGUUUUGAUAAUGAAAUAUGAAAAUUUAUAAUUUGAUACAAACUAAUCAUAAUUUGAGAUAUAUAAGAUUGUUUUGAUGGUUGAAACUAAUGAUUUAAGAUAUAGAUAUUAUACGAAAACAAAAUUGUUAUGAAAAAAAUAUGCAAUGACCAAAAACAAAUUUAAACGUUAUUAAAUAAUGAAUUUAAACUUUAUUAAAAUAAUGAAUUUUCAUUUAAAAAAAAAAAAUUAAUAUAAAGGAUUUAUAGUGUAAUUUUGCGAUAAAUAAAUUGGAAUAAAUGUGAUGUUGAAAUAGAAGGAAGAAAAAGUCAAAAAGGAGAAAGAGAAUAAAUAUAGUGUGAAAGACAACACAAUAGCACUAGUGAGGUGCUUAAUCUGAUGGUUCAAAAAAGCUAGUAUACAGUGGAACAUAUUGAGCAGGUACACGGUACAUACCAUUCCACAAUCAGCACACAUGACAUGUGGCGCAUUAUUAUUGGAUGUAGGGUAACUUCACCGAAAAAGUCAUUUGAAGAACUUCACCAUAGAAUUUUCCUUAGUUUUAUCCGAAUUGAAGGAUCAAAUAUUCAACCUCAACAAUUGCGCAUUGAGAUUCCCGGUUUACACAAAAAUUACAUUUAUUAUUAGCCAUGCACAUAAUUGGUCAAAACAACAAUUAGCUUUGCUUCAUUUUCUGGCAACCAAUCAAUAUUGGAAUAUUGAUUAAUCAAUUGAAUCCAUUUUGAUUGGUAUGAUGAUAUUGAUUUGUGACCUUGGAGCGUACUUCUCUUAAGAUCUGAGAAUUGAUUAUGUCGAUGCUAAUUUUAGUGAACUAGUUUGACAUCAACAAAAAAAAAUAUCAUUAAUCUUUUGUGCAUUGUAAAAAAGAUGUAAAAGAGAGAUUAAAAACCAAAUUGUGCAGCUUUUCUUUCAUCAAAGACAUACUCUGCUUUUUCUGUUGCUUUACUUCUUUCUCAUUCUUUCUUUUUUUAAUAUUAAUUUCUUUUGGACAUUUGGUAUCUUAUCAUUGCCUACUUUGUUUCACUCCAUCGAAGGAAAAAGCAAAUAGAAAGCAUAUUAGAACAACAGAAUGAAGAUUCAAGAGAAGAAGAUAAAGAAAAAAAAACAAAGUCAUUUCCUUUUAUAUAGUAGAGUCAAACUCAUAACAAAACAUAGUACAUUAAUGAGUGUAAGUGAUGCAUGCCAGAAGCAUCAAGUACCAAACCAGCAACCUCGUAUGCAUCUCUUACAUCCCAUGAUUCCAUCAUAAUCAUAACAUAAAAACAUAAUCAAAAGUAAAAUGAAAAUUAAAGAAAAUCAGUGACAAAUACAUAAAGAAAGAUGCAACAUACAAAAUAAAAAUAAAGUAGUAAAAGUUAAAGGUAAUUCGGACCGCUACCCUCAAUUCCCCGCAAUGCAAUAUUCACACUCUCCCAAUUCUGAUGUGUUAGAAAUUCGGGAGAGUGUAAUUGCAAAGCCUUUUUUUUGUGUUGAUGGUUGUUACACCAUUAGUGUUUAACAAUAUUUAAUGAAUUACCCUUCCACACUACACCAUCGUCGUCUUCGACAAAGCUACCAUCUUCUGCCGCAGCUGCCGUAACUGUCAAAGACACAUUCUUACCGGCCAUGUUAAUUGUUUUGGGUGGUAAGAAAAAUUUAAGAUUGAUAAUGUAAGAUAAAUGGCCAAGGUAUAGAAGAAACACUUGAAAGAGCUAGUGAGUGAGAGUGAAGAAGCUUAGGGACAAGGGGAGACAUGAUGGGUCGUAUAUAAAGGCGAAAUUUUAGCUUUUGGUUUAGUAUUAUUAUUUUUUGUUUUAUAUUAAAUAUACCUAAUGUGCAUGUGAGGGAAGAAAAAUAAAAUAAAAAAGCAAGAGUUGAAAUUGUUGGUCUAAUAUGGUUAAUGGCAUGUUUGUGGGGAACGGCAAAAACUCCACUAACUCGGCAUCCAAGGCUCUUGGAAUUUUCAUAUUGAAUUUUUGAUGGUUUGAAAGGCAAAAAAUUGUAGGGUUUUGAUGGGGUUUGUUUGUCAUUGUAUGUGAACAUGGGUUGUGUUGUGGGAGUAGAAAAUUGGUGUUUAAGUAUUUAUCACUAAGCUCAACAAAGAAGCUUUUAUGGGCAACUUUUUGGAUUUAUUACCUUAUUAUUGAUAUUGAAGGUUGGGAAAGGAAAGAUUAUGCGUAGUGUGUAGUGGGGCAUUAACCUUGAUUGGAGUGAAUGGAUAUGGGGGCGGGUGAUUGGCCCAAGAUGCAGCUAACCCCACCAAUUUGUGCAUCCAAUUUUACGCGGAUGAUUGAGUAAUGAGCACCAAAUUCUUCUAUCAUUAAUACUUAUCUCAAUUCAUUGUUUUAAAAAACAAAAUCACUAUUUACAAUAAUUUGGAGUUAGUUCAUACAGAAAUCAAGUGUUUAUUGCUAAAAAAAAAAGAAAUCAAGUGUUUAUGCCAUUAUGUUAAAAUUUUGAAGCUCAUUAGGGCGUUCAUGGUUAAGCAUAUGAUUGUCUCUAUUCAUCACAUUCUUUAAGAAGUCUAUGUGUGCACGAAAAGAGUAGUUUGAAAUGAAGAAUAAAAAAGAGGAAAUUAUUGGAAUGAAGUAAGGAAAAGUUAGUGGUUCGUAGUUUAUGAAUGUAUGACCCUUCACACAAUAUAUCCUCAUUCCCUACACAUUAUGAAGUUUAGCUACAUAAAUUUGGGGGAGAAGAUGAAAUUGUGAAAAACCAUAUAGUUGAAGAAGAAAAUUCUAGGAAAAAAAGUGGAAAAUUGGACGACAGGUUUGUCACAUUAGACGCAUUUUGUCUUAUCACAUAAUUUAAAUAGUGUUUAUGUACGUUUUCGACGGAAAAGACUAACUUGAAUGAACUUUUAUAAAGGACCAAGCGAACACUUUUAAAAGCAAAAUGACUGAUUUACACCUCAAAAUAAUGUAAGUAUCAAGAAAUAUAUUUGAGUUUAUUUCAUUCAUAAUCUAGCAUUAUCUACAAGCGAUUUGAGGGUAUAAUAUGCAGUUCAACCACACCGGUUGUUUUGAUAUUAUGACUUAAGACAACUAUAAGAAUAUUCUAACUGAAAAGACUAUUAAUCAAUUCUACACGAGACUUCUAACAUUUGAUCAAGAUUACCCAUCCAUAGUUCAUUUUGAUCAAGAAACAUACUCCUUGCAACUUAAUGUUACAUGUAUCGUCAAUUUUUCUUUUGCAUUUAUGUAUUUUCUCCACCACUUCAUUUUUCCUUCACACUCUGUUUAUCUAAAUAGUUCAAUAGUUGUUCACAACCCAAAUCACGAAUAUGCGGACAACUUUUUUGUCAUGACAUUUACUGAACAAUUUUCUUAGUCGAGCCAACGUGCAAUAUUACUUGAUGAGUUGAUGUCUAGUGUGGACUCCACAAGAAAUGUCAACAUUUUGAACUAUAUGAUCUCACAAUGGCAUGCGUAUUUGAAAUUUUAGGAGUAGUUGCAGUAAAAGGUAAGACAAGGAGAAAAAUAUCCACUUACAAAUUCUACCCUUCACUCAUGCAAUCUCCCUUGGCUUUCUUUGACAAUUAUUGACUUUCUUUGACACUUUAUUCCUCUGUUUAAUUAUGCAUAUAGUAAUUGAUUAUCUUUAGUACUCCUAGUCUUUCUAAAGAAAAUAGGAUAAGGAAAUAAAAACAUUUGUAUUUGUAUUUGUUUCCUAGUUUAGAUUCUAUUUAGCAAUAUCGAGUUACUAGCUUACAACCUACUAUAAAGUAAUAUGUUUAAAGUAGAGAUGUUUGACAAUAUCAAGUCGCUAGCAUAUAUCGCUUUUGAGAUGAUACUUUUUAAGUAGAGUUUGAGUGUAUAACUUAUAAUGUAGUGCAUUUUCUCCUAUUUAUAUCAUCAUUAUCUUAAUUGAAACAAUUUAAAUAUUAAAAAUAUAUGUUAAUGUCAUCUUAUAUUUAUGAGUUGGUUUGAUCGCUAAUUUUACUAUACACUUCAAAUUCAAUAAAAUGCUUAUACAUUAUCUACCAUAUGCUAGAAAGUCAUCCGCUAUCGACUAUACCUAAACUACCAUCAACUAUUUUUUACCAAACAUAGGUUUAGUACUCCUAGUUAAUUUAAUUUUUUAGGUUCAAAGUACUCCUAGUUAAUUAUUGUAUUUGUUGGAAACUAUUUACAUCUAUAGUAUAUAUCCUUAAAAUAAAAUAAAUUUCCCUAAAAUUAUUAUGCUUGGUUAUUUAUGAACAUCUUUUCCAAUUAUUGUGUAAUGAUAGUAAGGUUGUUGGAAAAGGAUGAAAAUUGUUUGUCUUCUAGCAAGGAAAAAAAAGGGUAUGCAAGUGGGAUGGAAAUGAAAUUAGGAAGGUAGGGCUUGGAUUAUAAGAAAAAUAAUGGACACCAAAGUCGUUGUCUACCACAUUGCUGGUAUGAUGAAAGAUUAAAUUUGAGACAAAUAGAAACACACUUUUGAUCAUGAUAGGGAAAGAACACACUUGUACCAACAAAUUGUGCUGCACAAUCACUUUACUACAGAUUUGGCCACCAGAACAGAAGAAAAGCAUAAGAAUAAGUCAGCGGUAUAUAUAUAGAUUCCUUCUUCUUUUAGCUAUUUUCCUUUUUUCUCCCUCUCUCUGUCUUUGUUGGUUGAAAAAUAAAAAACCAAUUUCUUCUAGAAUAUUAAUGUAAUAAUGCUGAUAAGACGUAUAGAUUUGUUUGGAUUGAAAAGAGAUCCACCAAUGAGAUGGUUGUCAGGAGAAAUUAGGGAAGAUAAUGAGCUUGAUAUUGGUGGAAUUUGGAUUAAAUCAAUCAAAUUUGAUUAAUUCGUGUUUACAUAACUUUAAAAAAUUAUAACAAUUCACUGUAACUUGAACAGAAAUCCAGAAUCAACUUAUUCACAUCAACUGGUUUGAGUUGGGUCAUUAAGAUGAAUAUCAAUUAAAAUAAUUAAAAUUGUCAAAAGAAAUGAACAAAAAAAUAUAAUACUGUAAAAAUUAAAGAUAUCAAUAUCAAUUUGUUUUCAAAAAUUGUUUAAAAUAAUCCUAUGAAAUGAUAGCUCGUCUAGCAAUACAGUGCAACCAACUGACUAACACAUUUGACAAUAACAAGAUAUGGUAGCAUGUGUGGUCGUCGCACGUUUAUCUAUUAAUCACAGGUGAUUGUCCUCUAAAAAAAAAAUCACAGGUGAUUGUGCGCAAUUUUGCAUCAGCAUUACCUCAUAAUUAUGUCAUGAGGGUUUUGAACAAUUAUAAGAAGACUCACGUAAUCAUGUGCUAAUUGUUUUUUUAGGAAAUAAUAAACACAUUGCAUUUCAAUCAAAUCCAAGAUACAAGGGGGUACAUCAAUGAAAAUAUAGAAAAUAGUAGUUAAGAAUAAGGUAUCUCUUGCAAGAGUAUGAACUAUCUCACUUGUUUGUCUUUAAUUAAACUCAAUCCGAGAGUUUUCAAAAAAUAAGUGACAACAUCGUUUAUAUUCAUAAAAAUUGCUCCAAAUUCCAAAAUGUCAUUCUUACCUUCAUUGUAAUGAUUUACUGCUCUCUUGCGUCAAGUUCAAAAUCAAAUUUGAAAGUCGUAGAUCAUGCACAAAGGGUAAUGCAUGUAAAAGUCCCAAUGCUUUUUCAAUGUCUCUUGGGCUUAUUGGAUUAGACCAUAAUGUUUUACUUAGACGAAACACCCUUCAGCAUGCAUCCCAUAUGCACAUCUCAAACCCAACACAAUUCAAAGGUACGGAGAAAGAUGCCUCAAUAUUACAUUUAAAUCGACUCAAUGCCGGUUUCCUCCCUUCCACAUGUUCUUGCCGUGUGCUUCUUCCUCUAUUGUUGUUGCAACAACAGCUGAACCUGCAACAUUUGCGUUCACAUACUGGCCAUUACACGCCUUGUUGUUGUUUGCCCAUUUCCAAUCCGCAGACAUGUGUUUCGCCCUUUCUAUAUUUUUAUUACAGCUUUCUAUAACUUGCUGCCAAACUCGUAAAUUGCAACUCUUCGAUAUGCUCAGCCAUACAGUUGAAGCAACUUGUUCAAUUUUCACACACCAAACACAUAGAUGGACAAUGGAACCUCGAUCAAUCAAUAUUACACGAGUUGGUAAACACACUCUAGAAAUUCGCCAAAGCAAGUUCUUCACCUUUGGAUGUGUUUUAGUUUCCAAAUUCCGGCCCAAUCACGUGCUAAUUUUUUUUUUUUUUUAAGGAACGUGCUAAUUGUUAGUAACAGUAUAUUUUCAACGUUCACUAUUAUAAUCAUUCUUUUAUUUGAUGAUAUUCAUACAGAUUUUAAACUUUGGAAAUGAAUCCAACUUAAAAGAUCCGCAUAAAUAUAAAAUAUUAAUUUAACAACUAAUUACUAACAUUUAUCAUUUUUUUUGUAAAUAGUAAUAUUUAUCAAAUUCUCUCUCUCACACACACAUACAUAUAUUUAAUAAUAAUAUUUCUUCCUUUCUUUUUUGAGAGAUUAAUAUUUCUUCCUAUUAUUAUAAUAAUAAUAUUUAUAAAAAGGGAAUACUUAUAGUUUUGUCAUAAUUUUUUUCUUCUAAUUACACCCUUCACUUAAACUAUUGCAAUUAUUAUUAUUUUUUUAUAAUAUUAUUCAAAUCUUUAAUUAGAAAAGCAGUCAAUUCUCAUUGGUCAUUGCAAUAUGAACAUUACAAGACACUUUAAAGAAUGUUUAUUUUGAUCUCAUUUCUCAAAAUUAUUGGAUUGUGGUAUAUAUGUAAAAAAAAUUGUAACUAGAUGAUAAAAAUAGGUACACAAUCAAAGCACAAUAGAAACCAUUAAACGAAUACGUUUUUAACAAAAUUAAAGAUAUGAAUGAAGUUCAAUGAUUUGAUACUGGAUGUCGAUACAUGGUAGGAAGGAAAAAGAAAAGUGGGUGGAGAUGUGAAAGUGUGUGUUGUUACUGUUACUGUGUCUGAAGAAGGGUGAACAAAGAGCGGCGCGUGAGGCCUCGAAAGUGUAUAUAAUGAGGCAACAACGUUGUGGUCCCUUUUAUGCUUUUUUUUUUUACAGCAACAACACAUUGGAUCCUGCUGCAUGCUCAAAACUAAAUCAACUUCCUUUAUUUUAACUUUCCUAAUAGUGUUGUUUUCUGCUCUUUUCCUCCUUUUUAUUUUUCACUUCCUCUUUUUCGUGUACUCUAUUGGUGUGUGGUUUUGUGUAAUUUUUAUCAUGUUACCAUCCUUUCACAUUAAUCCAUACAUGAAACCUGCUUCUCCAUCUUUUCUUUUUCACUUCAGCUUUUAGACACAUCAGCCCUAAGUUAAUCGGAAUAUACCUUGGAGUAGCUAAUUUGAUCUCUAAGAUAGUAAACUUGAAAAGGACGCUCAGCUAACAAAAGAUAUGAUAGACAUGGCAAGUGUUCAUUAAACAUAAUAAGAUGAUAUUAACUACUACAUUCUUCAACUUGGCACAUUAUGUAGUGACCACAUUAUGUCGUUUUUUACACCCAAUUUCAAUCUAAUUUUCUAUACAUGUAAAAUUAUUUAUCGAACUUCUAAUUAGAGUAGAACUCUUAUCAGUUAUCACCUAUUUCAAUCAGAUUUAACAAACAGAUUAAUUGAAUUUAACAUUUAUAAUUUUGUAAAUCUAUACAUAUUUAUAAAGGCGAUACCAAGUUUUUGCAUUAUUAUUUUCUUUCAAUUUUAUCAUUUUUUAAAUUAUUUAAUUUAUAAUUUUAUUUUAUGAUAAUUUAUCCAAUCAAAUAACAAUUGCAUUUUAUAUAUCAAAAUUUUAACAAAGAAAUAAAUAAAAUGGACAUAAAAACUUUGUGCAAGCUAGUAGUAAUAAUUAUGACAACAUUUAUUCCUAGAAUAAGUUCUCUCUUGCUCAAAAAAAAAAAAAAGAAUAAGUUCUCUCCGACUUAUUGAUAUACUGCUACAUUGAAAAUCUCCAAUUAUCUUUAUAUUUAAGGUCAUGUUAACUUAUGCUUUAAGACACAUGUUAAAUAUUAUAAACUACUUUCAAUUGAAUGUAAAGGGGGUAUAUUGGAUCAUGAUUCUAAGAGAUUUUAAAAGACUUUUUUAUCAUGAAAAAGUCAUGUGAUAUUCAAUCAAGACUCUUUCCAAUUUAGAAAAAGUCUUGUGUUAUUCAAUCAAGAUUCAUUGUCAUUUAAAAAAAAUUAUGUGGUAUUCAAUUAAGACUCUUAAUCACUUAAAAAAAGUCUAGUGGUAUUCAAAAUCAUUCAAAUUUCAAAGGAUUGUUUAAUAAAUCAGAUUUUGAUGGAUUUUGUGGGAUUUUCUAUUGAAAUUUUAGCAUGAAAAAAUCUUUCAUGAAAAUAUGAGAUUUCUUAGAAUUUUUUUUUUUUUUUUUUUAAGAUUUUACCAUCUCUCUCUCUCCCCUUUCUUCUCUAUCUCUCUCCUUUCUUCUCUAUCUCUCUCUCUCUCUCUCUAACUCUCCCGUAAAAAAUAAAUUAAAAUAAAUAAAGAGUUUUUAUCAAGAUUUUGUGAAAGAGAGUGUGUUAUGAUAUUUUUUUCAAUUAUUUCUUAAAAUUCAUAAAAUCUGUUGUAAUCUCUUGAAAUCCAUAAAAUCAUUUCAAAUCCUUUAAAAUCUUAUGAAUUAAAUCCAUUGAAAUCCUUAAUAGUCUUUUAAAAUCAUCAAAAUCCUUCAAAGUCUUUUAAAAUCCUCAAGAUUUUUUUAAACAAAAAUUAUCCUUUAAAAUUCUAAUCUAAUGCACCCUCCUAAGACUUUGAAUGUCCAAUUAGAUUGGCUCACUUAUUCAUCUUAACCGGUGAUUUUAGCUAAAAAAAACUUUGAAUUGCUCCUUCAAUCACUCAUUUAACUGGUACUCAUCUAUAGAAUUAGAAUUCGAAAUCUCAUGCUUUUGAUUUUGUGGACAGGUUGGAACCUCUGCUAGACUUCAUCCUAUUUUGUGGGCCGAUACUAUUCGUGAUUUCUUUCUCCCUCUCCUAUAUGCACAACUAUCAAAUUAUUUUGGUCACUCCACUGUUACCCGGUUUGAGAUUUAAUAUCUUUAUUGUUAUCUUUAAGGUCUUCUCGUUAUGUUUGUUGUUAUGUUAAUUUUGUUUUAAGCUUGUGUUUAAUGUGUUUGUCAAAAAACUUAAAAAUAGCUCUUUUUGUUGGUACCAUAUUUCAAGCAAGAUAUUUUCGGAUAGCACUUGUGUAUCAUAAUAGUAUAUACUAUUGUCCAAUUUCUCAAACUCAUUGAUAAAUAAUUUGAUCAUAUGUGAAAGAAAAUAGUUUGAAUGUUAUGAUUAAAAUUGUGAAAGAAAUUAGUUUGAAUGUUAUGUUUAAAAUUGUGGUUUGUUAAUGUCCUAUUAACUUCUGUAAUUUUUUAACCAACUUAGGUUGGACUGGUGGUAUUAAUUUGAGAUUUGGAAGUGUGCUUAUUCUCAAGGUCUCAGUUUCUAUGUACUUCCUCCGUCUCAAAUUGUAUGAUAUUUUGGACAUUUCACACAUAUUAAGAAAUGUAAUUAAUAUUGUGUGGAAAGAGAUAUUAUAAGUUGUUUUACAAAAUUGUCCUCGAUAAAUGAUAUGGGAAAGAUAAAUGAAGGAAUUGAAAGAAGAGAGAGCAAUAAAUAGUUAAGGAUAUAAUAGGAAAAGUAACAUUAAUUUUUCAUUGGUAUUGUAAAGCGACAUAUAAUUUAGGACAAAUAUUUUUUCUAAAGUGACAUACAAUUUGGGGUACACCACAAACUCAUUGAUUUUCAAACUGAAUAAACUGAAUCCAUUAUUAGAGUCAAAUAAAGGGGUAAAUAAUUUGAUUUUCCUAACCUAAUUGAUACCCUUCCUAAGUUUCUCUUUCUUUUUUAAUUAGACUUCAUUUCUUAACGGCACAACGAUAAUUGUUUGGUGUGGUUAAAAGGAAGGAAUAGUUACUACCAAAAAAAAAAAAAAAAGGAAUAGUACUCUUGAACUAUGGAUUGUUAUUCAUUGCCGUCAACAAAUUGACACGGUCACACAGUCGAUCAUAACACAACCAUCUGAUUAAAUCAACAUUUCAAAAAAUUCAUCUACUCAAAAUUUUCAACUUUAAACCCACAACACAAGAAAGUAGAAAGGAAAAAGCUCUUGGAAUUCAUCUUAUUUUCAGUUGUCCACUCUAAUUCAUCUUCAAUUUUCCGACCCAAUCAAAACGGUGAGGUUUAGUAUGGGAAAGGAAAGUUGUUUCCCAUGAUGGGAAAGCUUUUUUUGACCAUUAGAUUAAAUAGGUGCACACAUUUUAUGAUGGUCUGUCCACACCAUAUAUUUCACACUGUCUUCUCCAUCCUAGCUCACAGUUUUAGAUCCAGAUUUCUCGCUUCAAAAACCAUUAAUUUCUCAAAAUCCAAUUGAUCUUAGUUUUUUUUCUUUUCUUCAAUUUCCGUGUUGUUUUUGUUUUAUAAUCAGACAUAUAUGUUAAUACAGUAGUAUCAAAUUUUCUCUCACAUUUUGGUGUUUUGGUUUUGUAUUUGCUCAAUGAUAUUGUUCUUCAUGGUAUUCACUAGUUUUAAUAAUUGAAUUUUGUUCUGUUGUGGUUAAUUAAAAAAAAAAGUUGCUUAAUCCAGCAAAGAUGAACAAAUCGAAACCUAUUACAUUCAUGUUAAACAAAUUUUUGGAUUUUCGUCAGAUCUUGGACGGAGAAUGUGAACUGAGAUUCAUUGUGAGUUAGAGGUAUUGAAGGUUUUCUUUAUAAUGGGUUUGUUCUGAUUCAAGAGAGGCUCAAAUUGAUGAAAUGGAUUUGUUUGGAGGAGAGUUGCUAGUAGGCUCAAAUUGUUCUUCAUUGGAUUUGAUGAAAUGGCAAAUUGGCAAUAUUCAAGAUUGGCUCAUGAUUCAACGAUGUGUGUUUGUUCAGUUCCUCAAAAGUUCUUUGUUGAAACUUGAAUGAAAUGGAUUUGUUUAGAGAAGAGUUGCUGGUGAGAGAGCCAUGGAGGACAUAGAAUUGUUGGAGAAGAUAGUGUGAAAAAAAUUCAGUGUGGAGAGAACAUGAUAAGAGGGUGCUCCUUAUUUAAUCAAAUGGCUAAAAUCAACUUUUCCAUCAUGGGAAACAACUUCCCUUUCCCAUACUAAACCUCACCAAUCAAAACACAUAUUUCAGUUGUGAAAAUUUGAAAGUUGAAAAUUUGAAAAAGAGUAAAAUCUUAAACAGUUUUGAUUGCGGAGUCACCUCAACAACUUCGGCGUCAACCGUAUCAUCGGGUCUGUCACCAGAAUUUGAAUAAAAAAAGUUUUGACCUCUUAAACAACGGUAACUCCAACACAACCCGUUGAGAGAACUUAAAACUCUAAGCAACAGAGAUACAUUGGUCGAAGACCAGAGCUGCGGCGGGGUUUAUGCCAUGGAUGCAAGAUGAAGAAAUGAUAUCCAAUAUUGGAUUGAAGAUCAUGUGAAUGCGAGAAGGAUAAGUAUGCACGGUUUAAUUGGGAAUGGUUUCAACCAUGGAGAUUCAAACCGCAUAGGUUCCCUGCUUGCUUUCAUGUGUUUAGGGUCUACAAUAGAGAAGAUGAUUAUUUACUGUUGAUUUAAUCGGACGAUUGUGAUAUGAUUGACCGUGUGACCGUGUCAAUUUGUUGACCGUAGCAAAUCACAACAAAUCGUCACAGCCACACACUCAAUCAAAGGACAACCAUCCGAUUAAAUCCAAUAUUUCAAAUUCAUCUCCUACAAUUUUUUAACUUUAGAGGUGUUGUAAUACCAUUUAGAUUGUGAUUUGUGCAAUAAUUGAUCCAUUAGUUGAAAAUUAAUAUAGUGUAUAGCACUAAUGUUUUAAAAUUGUCUAUAAUAACAUUAGAAAGAAAGAAAAAAAACUGUCAUUACAACAACUUGGAGAUUGGCUUGGUAUUUUUAUAGCGGACAGGUUACAUAUUAUUUAUCAUUUAACACAAUUUACAAAUUUAGCAAAAAUUUGGUUUUCGCUUCAAUUGAUUUUGAUGGCGUCACUUUGAGUUUUAUGAAAAGAAAUGAGCAGUCGUAUUUUUUUGGCAAAAUGGACUGUUAUUACAACAACUUGUUGAGAAAGUGAAACUCUUCUCGUUUUGGUGGUUAACAACAAAAAUGACAAAUUAAAUUUAACUGAUUUGAAUCAUCACCAACCUUUUCUCUCAUGUUAUUUGUUGUAUCAUAAUCUAAGUCAUUCAUUGAAUCGAAAAGGAGAGGAGACUGCACAAAAAAGAUAGGAGAGGAUCCAAAUCCAAACUUAAAUUUUGAUUUUCAUUACUCUUGUUACCUAGUUGAAAUGCUGGAUUGAUUUCUAGCUAAAGGUUGUGUUGAUUUUAUUAUGUAUUUCGAUUGUAAUCUCUUGAGUCAUAACCUAACACUCUUUAAACUGACGUAUAGCUCCUUUAGUUUAAUAUAAUUCAUUUUUGCUAUUAAGAUCUAUCUCAUUUUUGCUACCCUUUUUGUAUAAGGACUAUUAAAUAACUAUAUAAACAUUGAAAACUACAAAACAGUUAAUGCAUGUGUGAAUUUAUUUUUCAGGUGUAAAGUGAACACAUAUAAAUUAAAUUCUUCAAAAAUAUGUAACCAAAAAUGUCUUUAAAAAUAAAAAUAUGAGAUACUCCGUAUUUGCUUUUUGUUAAAUUGGAUCUAAGUUAUCUUUUGUUUUGAAAAAAUAAAUUUUCCUUCUUAAUGAUUUUUUAAGAUUUUUGUUGGAUGCAAAUGUAGAAUGUUAUGUUAAUUUUUUUGUCCUUGUUUAAGAUUUGAAGACCUCAAACUAGUUGAGCUACCUAAUUUUCUAAGAUUGAUAUUUUUUUUUAAAGAAAACUACAAACUUCGAUGUAUUUUGUUGAUGGAUCAAUAACAAUUAAAAAAUUAUUCCAAUUGAUAAUUCUUCUUAUAAGAAAAUAAUAAAUAUGUUGAAAUGCAAAACAAAAUGAGGCAAAAAAAUAGAGUAGAAACGUAGAUCUGUAUACUGAAAAUGAAAAUAAAGAUGGAAGUAGUGUUAAUUACCAUGUCCAUAUGAGAAGGGAGGGUGCUGAAAGUAAGGGAAGAGGGAGAAAUAGAGGGAAAACGUAGGCAUGGGAGGUGUAGGUAAGAAGAAGCACCAUAAUAAGCAUAUGCUGUUAUCACUUCUUCCCUACUAUCCCAUGCCUAUGCCUUCCCCCAACUUUGGCUCCCUUUUCCUCUCCUCUAUAAUGAAGUGAAGGGGGUUCUAUUCUAUCUAUCUAGAUCUAGAUUUAAGUUGGUUGUGUUGUGGUAGUGAUGGUGUAAGAUUGGAGUUAUUGUAAAACAAGAAAAGCUAAAUAAAGGUUAAAAAGCCUCACAGAACAAAAUUAUUGAAAGUAGCGAGAUUCCUGACAUAAGAAAUGGACAGAAGUAAAGCUGGUGGGUGGGGGUAGGAAAUGGAAUCUUUUUUAGUACUACUAAUUUAAUCGUGAUAAAAUAUUUUGUUAGCAAAAUGUUAACUUAAGCCUAAGUUAAUAAAUUAAACAUAAAAAUAUUUUAUUGAAAAUUGUGCAUUUCAUGUUUUAAAAAUUUAAAAUCUUAUCUUUUUAAGAUAAUAUUUAUGUUUUAAUUCUAUUUUCAGCUUUUUAUAUUGUGUUUUAAAGCUCAAGUUAACACAAUUCAUUUUGUCCUACCAACAUAUAAUAGAUAUUGUCCUACCAACUGAGUUAUGCUAAUGGGACAUUCAAUAUACGUACUUAUUGUUAUAUCAAUCCUUACAAAUAUUUACUUAUUAUCAUAUAAAUCAUGUAUGAAAAGAGUUAUGUCAACGUUAAAUGACUAUUUCAACGUACAUUACUUUAACUAAUAGAGUGCAUAAUGAGAAAAUAUUUUAGAACUUUAAUAACUAUUGUGAGUACUUUUUAUAUAUUCAUACUAUAUUUGGAUUAAUGGUGUAUGAUGGAAUGGAAUGAAAUGGAGUGGUAACUAAUUUGAUUUCAUUGUUUGAAUAGCAAAAAGUAAAUGUAAUGGAAUGAAACAUAAUGGAACUCAUUCCACCUCAUUCCAUUAAUUCUUCAAUUUUACAUUCCCCCAAUUGGGGUUUAUGCAAUGGAAUGAAGCUUCAUAGUUUCAAUAUUACCAUUUUACCCCUAAUUUAUUUUAUCAUUAUUUUUUCCUCAUUCUUCCAAAUACUUUUUUUUCCCCAAGUCACGUGUCUUUCUUCGUGUACCUAUUUGUAUGCUUGCUUUUCUUUUUCUUUGUAGUGGGUAUGUACAUGCAGUGGAUAUUUUUGCUUAUUUUUUGUUUUGCAUACCCAGUGUGUCUGGAUUAUUUUCUUGCUUCGUAGACAGGGGCGUGCAAUUCCUAUGAGAUGUCAUGUCUCGCUUUGAUGUUCUCAUGUAGGUGAAGUGAGCGCAAUUCCUAUGGGCUUCUGUUUGGGAUGAUCUAUGAGCUUUUGUGUGGGUCGUUGAAUUGUUGAAGUAGAUAAAAUUAGUAAUAAUAUGUUUUACAUCAUAAUAGUGGUUUUGAAAAGGUUAAAAAUGAAAUAAAAAAUUAUAACUUGUUCUAUUCCGUCCAUUUUCUAAACAAUAGGAUGGAAACAUUAUUUCGUAAUAUCUUAAAAUACACAGACAAUAAAAUGAAAUAUUUGUUCAAUUCCGCUCCAUUCCAUUUGGUCUCAUUCCACUCUGCCAUGUCCAAACAAACAAAGCCUCCGGGAUUAAAAUCAGCAGUUUUCAAAUGGAACCCUUCAUUAAUUGAAUGUGCUCCAAUUCAAUUUCUUAAGCAUUCAUAUGCUUGAAUUUAGAAAUUGUUCGAUUCAACGAACUGCAGAUAAAGUAAUUUAUACAUUAUUUUCAUUAGUACAGUCUUAUAAUUCGAUUUGUUUUUUUUUCUUUUCCCUUUCCAAUAGCUUUAGUUUUCGCUAAAUAAUGGAGUUGCAUUUUUGUAAAAAUUAGUUAAGAAAAAUCAAUUCCAUUCUAAAAACUGCAUUUCGUAUUUGGUAAAUGCAUUUUUUUUAGGGGUUGGUAAAGGCAAUUUUAGUUAAGUUUAGAAUCACGUGUGCAUCAAUCCUUUUUAUUUAGAUUUGGGACAAACUAUUAAGGAUGAGUGUCUUUUUUUUUUUUUUUUUUUUUAGAGUUCACACAAUUUAAUUAUGGAGAAGUGGAGUGUCCGAUGUUCGAACUCCAGUUUCUGCAUAUAAUAUGCAAUAUCCCUACCAAUUGAGUUAACAUGAAUUGAGUUAUGUCUUUCUAAACCAAGGUAAAUUCAGUUCAAUUUUUUUUAAAAAAAAAAACAAAACCAUUCAAAAUCGGCAUUCGUCAUAAGUUUAGAGUAUGUUGGUAUGCAUAAUGCGGAUGUCUUGCGAUCAAAGUUUAAACAUUAGUUUUUUCAUUUCGACGAUUAUUAUCAUUUCGUCUAAGUGUUUGAAUUAAUCGGUUACACACUCAUGUACUUGCCCAGUCCAUUUGCUUGGAGCCUUGGAUUAAUGAGCAACACCACGCGUGUCCUCUUUCUCUCAUCACAAUCACAGCACUAUCAUCUGACUCAAGGGAAAUAAAUUACACCACCAAAACAACCAUGUGCUAUUCGUCUAAAUAAAGUAAAAGCAUCAAACCACCUGAGAAUAAGUAUAAUUUUUUGGAAAAAAAAAAGUAUAAUUUAUUUUCUAGUACAUCCAUCUAGAUAUGUCAUGGUAUUAUUCUUUUCUCCCUAAAAAAGAAAGUAUUAUUCUUUUCUAAAAUAUCUAGACAAUCUCAACCUUUUAGUUGGUGCUUAGAACAAUUUUACACACAAAUAAAUUUCGUUUAACAAACUAUUACAUUGAUGAUCUCAACAAAAAAUUAGCAAUCUUUAGUUUUAUUUCGCAUCUCAAUCACGUUCUUUUUUUAUCCAUGAGACUUAACCUAAAGUAUUGCAAUAUUGUUUAGAGAAAUGAUAUUUGUACAACCACUUUGUGACAACUUUUGACAACUUUAUCUCUCAUACUCACAUUAUUUUCUUAUUCUCUCUCUUCCUUUUUCUCUCUCCAUUGUUUUUAACCAAUGAAAAGAGAGAAAAAAAAUUAUCACCAAAAGUUGUAUGAAAUGGUUGUUCAAAUAUCACUACUCUAUUGUUUAUGAAAUUAGGGUUAGUUUCACUUGAAACAAUACAAUGUUGGUUAUUUGUUCAACACUGUAAUUUUGAGGUUUAAUAGUAGUUUUCGUACCCUAACUUUUUCAAAUUUGCGAUUUUGGCAUCCUAAGAAAUAAAACUACAAAAUCAUCCUCUAAGUUUUGCAAUUGUAGCAGUUUUGACCCUCAAGGCCAAUUUUUGGUUAAAAAAUAACACGUGACACCUUACUUAGGGUGUCACGUCAGCGUAGACCAAGUCAAAAUUGGCAUUGGGGCCAAAACUGCCACAAAUGCAAAACUUAAGGAACAGUUUUGUAGUUUUUUCUUAGAGGGCUAAAAUCGCAACUUUGGAAAAGUUAGGGGGCUAAAAGCCUAAUUUUUAUUAGGAUAAAUUAUAUGUUGAUAUAUACUCCAUCCGUUUCAAAAUGAGUGUCGCUUUAGGCAAUUGCACACAUAUUAAGGAAUGGAAUGAAGUAGUCAAAUGUGAUAUCAAUUUUACCAAAUUAUCCUAAUCAACUAUUGGUUUGUUCUUCAUUAAAAAAAAAUAUUUUGGAAGUAGUGUAACAUAGUAUUAAUUGACGGGUACAGUUGAAAAGAAAAAAUUAUUAUUGCAUUGAAAACUGAGUGACAUUUAUUUUGAAACAUUUUUUUUUGCUAAAACGACAUUCAUUUUGAAACGGAGGAAGUAUUAUCUUUCCCUUUAGAAUUUAGUCCUUAAAUUACAUAGAGAAUUGCUGUUUACACAUUUGAUAAGGCUGUACCACACGAGUAAAUGACGUGUUUUCCCUUCGGCAGUUAACCGCCGAAGUUUUAGAAAUCCGGCUGCAAUUAACUGCCGAGGAUCUUCUGCUACAAAUCUGGCAGAAUCUCCUCUCAUCCAUUAUUCAUCUCAUCUUCCAAAUAAUUUCUUCAAAUUUCUCUCAAAAUCUCUCUAAAAAACACAACCAAAUACAACCAAAUUUAUUCAACAAAAUCACAAGUAAAUAAUUAUAAUGCUAUUAACUUACAUUUUAGUUGUUAUAAAUGUUUUUAUUUUUUAGUUUUUGAGUACAUUUAUUAUUUUUUAGUUUUUGAGUAGAUUUACAUGUUAUAAUUAAUUUUUAGGGUAGAUGUUAGUUGAUUAAUGUUGUUAAAAUAUUUGCAUGAUGUUUAUGUUAUAUGAUUAACUUUUUUUUAUUUUAGUAAGAGUAUAUGAUUUAUAAUGUUAGGGUUAUUUUUAUGAAUUUUAGAGUCUAUGUAUAAUGUGCACAUCAAGUGUUUGAUGAAAUGUUUGAAUGAGUUUUUCAUUGAUUGUUUUUAAUUUCUUAUUGUGUAGAUUUAAAACAAUGGCCAGGUGGAUCGACAUUCAUGCGCAAUUCAACGGCGGAGAACCUCAGAGGUUGAAAGUUCGGUGCUUGGUGUAACGUUAAGAGGUCUCAAGGAUGAACUGACUGAAUUCAACCAAGGAGUCAACCCCAGAGAUACAAGGAUGGUGUUACACGUUCGGUAUAAAUGUCCAACGCUCGACGAGGGGAGAGUAUCAUUCACUUGGGCGGAAUUAACGAACGACGAAAACGUGACGAGCAUGUUUUGGGAGCACAACAUGUUCCAGUGGAUCGAUAUGCGGGUGAAGUUGCUUAGAUCAACUGAAGAUAUCAUCAAAAGUUUGAUUCCGCCAGAAGAUCGUCAUUAGUUAGGGUAAGGUGCAUUCCAACUACAACAAUUGUCUUCCUUUGAAUGAGAUAAAUUCAAACCUGCCAAACAACAGGACUCGAGCAUUUCGCUCGGCAUUCAUGUUUUUCGUUUGAAAAGAUUAAAUUCUUGUUAGGCUGGUUUAGAUGAAGGUAUUAAGUGUCAAGGAAUGAACCUCAUUUCGUUGGCACUUGAAUACCAUCAUCUAAAGCACGCCUAACAAAAAUUUAUUAUUUUCAAAGGAAAACAUGAAUGCCGGGGGAAAUGCUUGAGUCCUGUUGUUUGACAGGUUUGAAUCUAUCUCAUUCAAAGGUAAGACAAUUGUUGGAGUUGUAAUGCACAUUCCAACUGCAACAAUUGUCUUACUCUGGAUGGGGCAAUUCAAACUUGUUAAUCGGUAGGACUCCAACAUUCGAUAAGCGUCUUGAACGCUGGUAUUCAAGUGUCAAGGAAUGCACCUCAUUCUUUUGACACUUGAAUACCAGCGUUCAAGAUGUUGAUUGAAUAUUGGUGUCCUGCUGCUUAGCAAGUUUGAAUUUGCUCCAUUCAGUGGUAAGAUGAUUGUUGCAGUUGGAAGGUAAAUUUCAGAAUGUAAUGUAAUGUGAUAACAUAUAUAUAUUUUUGAAUGGAACAAUAAUUAUCUUAUUUAUUCACUUUUCAAAUUUAUUUAUUCAUUACACAAUUUUAAUUAGUUAAAUUCACGUUAGAUUUAAUUAGUUUUUAUUAUUCAAAACGCGACUUUAAUCAAAAUUAUUCCAAAUGCGAUUUUAUUCUAAGUACCAUAAUGUCAAACAAAAUGUGCGCGACACAAAAAUAAAACAUAAAAAAAUCCAAAACAAUUAGGCAUUAAAAGCCAUUAUAUUCAUUCUUCCUCGUCACACAAAUCAACCGGGUUGCCCACUACAGUCCCUGCGGUACCUUGUUUUGGUUGAGGACCGAAAUAGCAUGUCCUCCCGCUCCUCCUCAACCUCGAGUGAUUGUACACCGGCACCUUCGAACCCUUCUUUUUUUCGGAACCAUCGCAAACAAUUUCGUGCCACGUCAUAGGCGAUUUUUCUUUGUUCUUCUCAUCACCCUGAACGUUACCCUGAUUCUGAUUCUGAGACAUAUCUACAUUAAAAAAAAUGGCGAUCAAAACCUAACUAAACAAAACAACAAUGCCAUAAAAUCGUAAAAUCAAAAACUAAACCUAAACCUAAACUAUCAUCAAAACCUACACUUAAACCUAAACAAUUCUAACAAUUCUAAAACGAUUCAUCAAAACCUACACUUAAACCUAAACAAUUCUAACAAUUCUAUUCUAACCUAAACUAUCCUAACAUAUCAUAAAAUCAUAAAAUCAAUAAAAUCUAUAUAAUCGAACCUAUAUAAUCGAAAUUUAACAAAAAAUAACAAACAAUUCGACCACAAAGCAACAAUGCAAAAGUAAUCAAAAAACUUACUUGUUUUUGUGAUUGAAAUUGGCUUAGAAUGACUUCAAAUGACUUAAAAUCGCACCUUGGAUAAUAAAAAACGCAACAAUGGAGUUUUGGAAACUCCUAUGCUGUUAUGUUCUUAUAACAUUUUCCUCGGCAACUAACUGCAGCCGGAUUUCUAAAACUUCGGCAGUUAACUGCCGAAGAGCAUUUGAGUAAUUUACUCGUGUUUCACAACCAAACUCAAUGUGUCAAUAGCAAUUCUCAAUUACAUAAGUACAAUAAAUAGUCUAUAAAAUAUGUCUAUUUUUGUCACUUGUUUUAAAAUGUUUGAGAUUAAAUUGAUGUUUAUUCCUUUCAUUUCCAUUUCCAAUUUAUACUAUUCGUAUCUAAUCUACCCGGUUCAGAUCCGAUCCAGAGAAUGAACAAUUCAAUUCAGUUUGUUGAUAUAUCCCUUCGCAUCAAAAGUUGAUAUAUCCAUCCCUUAGAUCUAGAAAAUAUAAAUUUAGGUAAUUUGAUUUCAAAUUAUUUAGCAAGUUGAUACUAUAGAUAUGGAAUGAUGGAUGUUUGGAUCUAUUCAAAUAAAGAAUUUGUAGAUCACAGAUCAAAGAUUAAAACUCCUUAAUCAAUUAUUAAUCAUCAUUACAAGUCCAUGAAAUUAAAAUAAGGAGAAGUAGUAGAACAAGAAAAUGAGUUGCCUUUUGACCAGUAGUUAUAAAGCUUUCUCAUUCAAUCAAUCCUUGAAAAGAAAAAAAGAAAACUUACACAAACAGAAAGGUGGUUGGAGAAAUGGAGAGGAGAGUGGAAAGAGAGGAACAAAAGGAAAUAAUAGGAAUGGGUGGAAUCGGUAAAGAAAUUAUUCAAUUCAGAUGAAUUAGAUCUGUUUUACCGAUCCUCCCAUAUCCCAUAACUUCCUCAAGCUCUUUCACCCUUUCCCUUUCUCUCUCUUGCUUAAUUUCUUAUUCUUUCUUAUCUUCAAUGAAUGAAUGAAUGAAACACAAACAUCAAAUAAAUACUACUGCUUGACGUGUGGAAAACGUUGAAAAAGACAUCCAAAAACACCUAUACCCCACUGCACGUUAUUUACCUAAUUUUUCUCUCUUUUUUGGUCCAAAUUUUGAAAAUUCAUACUAACAUAAUCACAUUUUCCAACUGACACGUUCAAUUUUAAAAUUUCAUGAACAUUCACAGAUUUGUGGGGUAUGUAGAAAAUGAGUUUGAACUUUCGUUUUUUACUACUUAAGGGUGUUUUAGGAAUUUCACAUUGAGUGGGUAUAGAGGUUUAAAUGAGUGGGUAUAGAGGUUUAAAUGCAAAGCAAAUGUAUGAGGUAAAAUUUUCGGUGGAGUUAGUUAUGUCGCAUUACAUUUACCGUUUGUUUUGGUUUUUUUUUUUUUUUUUUUCGGCAAUAAGCACUUCUACGACAUCUUAAAAGUGAAAAUUGAGUUUUCAAUUAUGUUUGGUUUGACUUUUCAAAAGGAUAAUAUUUCAUGAACACUCUUUUCUCCAUACACACUAUGUACCACUCCCAUGUGAAAGUGAGUUUCUUGUGUGUGUGGAGACCAGAUGGACACAUGUCACAAUUGUGUAUUGAUGUAUAAGUGGUACAUGCCACCUAAGGUGGUCUAUGUAUCACCACUCUUUCAAAAUUAUUUCUAUCAUUCAAAAACAAUUUUGGAUGAAACUACAAUUUAUAGCUUUUGGAUUAAUUAGAUUCAAUUCUCCAAUAAAUUUUAUAUUUUUAUUAUUACAAUUUAUUAUUUUCUUUUAUUGCCCUUUACAUUUCUUCUUCUUUUUGCUUUGUAAUUAAUUUAAUGAACCAAAUUUAAUCAAAAAACUUAACGAACCAAACCAGCUCUCGAAAAAUAUUUAUGGUCAUGAGUCACCAAAUUUUAGAUUUUCCUUUACGGUGUUUCUGUUCAUAUUUACUGUAUUUUCUUCUUUUACCUUUCUUUUACACUAUAUUUUAUCAUUUUUGGCAACUAACUCUAGUAUUAUUUAACUUAAAUAUAUUUUAUCAAAAAAUUUAAAAUAUAUGAACAAAUAUUUUGUAAAAAAAAUUGGUUUAAUGAUCGCAUUAAUAUAUAGAAAAUUUAUUUAUUUAAAUUAAAUAAUAUAUCUACAUUUAGUAUUGAUCUAAAUAUACAUUCAACUAUGUCCUUUUACUUGUACGUAACUAUGUCCAUUUUAGUAAUUAUAUAUUCAAAAGUAAUUUUGAUCGAAAUUAUCUAAAUAACAUUUAUUUGUUUAAUAAAUUAUGCAUUAUUAUAUACAAACAUAAAUCAAUUCUCAGUCAGAAUCAAUUCUGAAAGCUGAACCAAACACACUAUAUAUAAUGCACAAAUUUCUAUAAUUGAGAGACAAGAAUGACCAAUGGAAUGAGGGAUCUGUUAAUUUUUUUGGUGCUACCAUUGCAUGUAUGAAGAAUUAGGGGUUGGUUUAUACGAGGGCCUUUGCAUAGCUAGAAGGCAGAGAAUAUUAAGAAUUGAAGUUCAAAUGGAUUCAUUGGGAGUGAUUCGAUCACUGUGAUUCAGAAUUUACAACAUGGAAACAAUGACAGUGUUAUGGGAAGGAACGUUAUGAAAAAAAAUCAAUGGGAGUGUUAUGGGAAGGAACAUUAUGAAAAAGAAAAAUCAAAGAAUUAAUGACAUUAAACUGAAACGUUAGGGUCACACAUGUGUAUCGAAAAGCUAACAAGUGUUCGGAUGUUUAUAACCAACUUGGAUAGUGAAGGCGACACAGGAGCUACUUAUUUAGAAAACCCUCCUUCAUGGAUGUUUGUUUUAUCUUGAUGAUUGCUGUGGUGUUUAGAACCCCAUUUAAUUUUGUUGUAGUAGUUGUUUUUCUUUUUCUUUUUUGGCUUAUACCGACACCCUUAUUUAUAUAAUGCAAUGUCGUUAAGUUUGCGAAACAUACCAGAACGCUAUUGUAUAAAAAUAAAUCAUCAAAACCGACACAAAUGAUUUUUUUUUUUUUUGUGGUGGCCGGGGUUUGAACCCCGGACCUUACAUAUAUUAUGCAUUAUUCCUACCAACCGAGCUAAGACGACACAAAUGAUUUAAGAUUUUUUUUUCUUUUUCUGAGAGAAUGAUUUAAGAUUUAUUACAAACAUUAUUCUUACAUUAUAUAUUUUACACAGAAAUGUAUCUUUUUUUCACUAAACACAUAAUUGUAUUGAAGCAGAUAGAGUACUUCGUAAAAUAAAAAUAAAAAUCUUAAAAUUAACGUAAUCUAAACUCGAGUAUAGUUCAGUAAGACUUAAGGAGUCUUUAGCUGAAUGCAAGUAAAAGUAUUAAAAUACUAAAAAUACUAUUAUGGACGAGUACACAUUUUGAACAUUGUUAUUUACUUAACUCUUGCCAAAAAAAAAAGUUUACUUGAUAAACAAUACUUAUAUAGAUAUAAAUAUUAAUACCUUAAAAGAAUAAGUAUAAAAAAUUGAAAAAUAGACCACUAGAAAUAUCAUAUUACAAGCACAAUCAGAAAUUGCUAACUUUGCAGAGUAUGGAACGAGCGUCGUUACAAAACUACCAAAAAAUGGUAUUAUUUCAUAGAGUACCUUCCCUUUGGUUCGUUAUGUUGGGACCCAUAUAGACGUAUUUGUAUGUAAUGCUCAAAAUUCAAAAUGUCAAACUUAUGGGGGAGAAAAAAGAAAGACAUGAGGGCCAUACACAUUCUCCUCAAGAAUCCUGCUAUAGACCUCAAUUUGCUGCAAGCGUUCCCUUUUGUUUUUGGUAUUACUUUCUAAUGGAAAGUAAUUAUUUUCAGCUAGCUCAUACUGUCCCUGUUUGUAAAUUGUUGUAAUUACACAAUCAAGAAUAUUAUUAUGUACCGUUGUAUAUGCUUUGAGUCAAACAAACACCUCCAUGAGACCAUUCAUCUUUCCAGCUUCAUUGAUCUGGGCUUAGGUUGUGACAUAGCUUUCUCUUGUUCAGUAAGUGCAUGACGGAAAUGGCAUCUAUGGCCAUAAGGGCACACAACCCCAGCAAGGACCAUCCUGCAGACCUCAGUUUUGUAGCGUGGGUGGCGGAUCACUGGGCGAAGCUCCCCAAUGCCAUGAGCGAAUUGACAGUGGUCUCCAUAAGGGCAUGUGCCAGUUUCCUGCCAUUUGUUACAGAGCUCAGUCUUGAACAUCCCCUGGUUGUACACAACCAUCUCAAGAGGCUCUUCCUCUUUCUGCCCUCCUCGCACAAAUACCUUUUGCUGCAAGCAUAGUAACACAAAAUUUCAACAAUAAUCAAUUCUUCCGAAUAUCAACAAUCAAAUCUAUAUAAUGUCCACUCAUUGUUAUUAAAUGGUGAUGCAUCUACAAUCUACUUUGACGUUAAUAUGAGUGUCAAGGCAUGGCAGAGCAUUUUGAAUAUGAGUCAAAUAAAAAAAAAACAAUAAGAUGAAAAAUAUAAUCAGUCAAGAUGAAAGAAACAUUAGUAUGACUGUCAAGGAAUGGCAAGGCAAGACAUUCAUGAAUAGUAUAUGCAGAGCUCUUGACACAGUUUAUCCCAAAAUAUAUUCAAUCAAUUGCUUGACUGAUCAUCCGAGAAAUUACCAUUUCAAAAUUGAACACAAUUAUUUGCAUCCAUUCAUCUUUAUCUCGAAGUAUUGUCCUUAUUUUCAACAUAAAUAAAUCAAAGCAUAUAUUAAUAAUAGAGGCUAAUCCCAAGCACAAGAUGUGUCCAAGGCUAACCAAUGAAGAUUCAAGACAUUACCACAGUCAGCACUGAGUAACAAAACAAAUAACUAAAUGGAGACAAACUAACAGCACUAUACGUCUAUUGAAAGCUACACCUACAACAGUGGAUAAAACCAUGAAAAGAAAUUGAGUGACAUAUUUUGCAUCCCCUGCAUCACUUGUUACUUGUAAAACCAGUCCAACCAUUUAGCCCCUUUAAAACUUAGUAAAAAAAGGUAUUGAUUUUGGCAACUAACCACUACCAACAGCACUGCAAAUUUCCAUACAUGGCUAUCAUAAAUAUCUUAAAAUUCAGAAAUGUAGAAAAAUAGUAUACAUUUGACCUCUUAAAUACUCCUAUAAUGUAGACAUUGUAUGACUCAUCAAUCUUCCUAGUCUUGCUAGUUCUAUAUACUAUUUCAAGAGUUUAUUGAAAAGUGUGAGAAAGAUUAUUUAACCACCUUAAUUAUAAUGUAAAAACUGUAUGGCUGCAUCAAAAUUUAACUUAAUUGGAACAUGACACUAAGCACAAAGAAACAUGGUUUUAAAAUGUGGCCGCUGUUGCAGUCGCUGCCUUUGCAAUAUUGCAGCUAUUGCGGUGGUAUUGUGGUCCUUGCGGCGUCAACUUAAUUUUUAUUAGCAUGAAUACUAUAAUUUACUAUUAUUUAUUUUAUGGCUCAUGUAUCUUCCGUUUCCUCUCUAAAAUCUUUAUCUCAUAUCAUCCAUCUAUUAGUUUAAAAUAUCACUAGUUCUUUAAAAUACUCUCUAAAUCUAUGAUAUAAAGAAAAAGUAAAGUAUAAAAAUAAAUUGUGUGACCACUAGUUUUCUGCACCCAAUUCCCUCAUUACGGCACUGCGAAGUGGUUUCAAAUGUGAUUUAUGAUCACACCACAAUUGCGGCUUGAUGCGAUUGCAGACAAUACCGUGGGCGCAUCAGGUGAUGCAUCCACAAUUUGAAACCAUAUACAGAGCACAUUGGCACAGAACACAGGUUAAAAGGUCACAAAAAGGCUUCAAAGUUUAGCUUAUCUGUUUUGCCUCAUGGCAAACUAGAGCUAAUUUGGUCCUGCAACACUACUAACCAACAACUAGUAUAAACUGGAGUCGAACUUGCAUCUUUGCAAAAAGCACACGCAAAUGAAAAAACAACCAAACUACAAGGUUUGUUACAGCUAACAGGUAAUGACACAGACAAGCAAGGUUUUACUUCAUUUGGAAGGAAAAUAAUUAGAUACUAACAAGCAAUUCAAAUUUGGUAUAUAACUAUAAAAGCAAUAAUUACACAUUAAAUUAAGCUAAGAUCACAAUAACAACAGCAGCAAUAAUAAAAAAUAAAUAAUAAUAAUAAUAAUAAUAUAAUAGUAAAAAAAACUAAUUAAAUAAAAUAAAAGCAAUCAUAACGUGCGUGUGCUUACAACUGUAUCAGAUUGAGUGGAGGAAGCGCGGGAGCGAGUAGCGCCUUUGGUGCGGCAAGCAUUGUUGUUAGUUACGACGGCCGGAGGCGGAGCAAGCUUCAAGUAGCCAUUGGAUCUAACAGAAAUGCUCUUUGGAAGCGAGAACCUCUCCGUUUCAACACCGUUAUUCUCAAUCACACUCGUCGGACUCUCAUCAGAUUCGGAAGCUUCCUGCAACUCCUUGUUGUUAUUGUUGAUGUUAUUGCUAUUCCAAUCAGCACAGUUUUCCUUUCCAUCUCCAAGAUUCAAGCCACGGAAACCUUGCAACACAUCAAACGGAGUUGAUUGAGUCUGGACGGAGGAUCCACCGCCAUUGAAUCGGUUCUCCAGCGAAGCUUGAACGAGAAGGUUCAGAUUCUUCUGCAACUCUUUGUUCACGGCACGGAGCUGUCCGUUUUCCUGCUGCAGAGCUUCGACCUCUUUGGAACUUUCCAGAAGGCGACUGAGAAACAUACUGUGACGAUUCACCAUAUCCUGAUGCUUCUGUAUCACGCAUGAGUCGUACUCUGUUCCAAGGUCAGAGUAAGGAUAAAGCGAAAAUCCGCCGCCGUUGCUGCUGUUUCCGGCGAGCGAUGAUGGAAGAUCAUUACUCAGAGCAGAGUACAACGAAGCAAACACGCCAGCGUUCGACUGCAUGUGACCGGCGUUGUUGACGCCGAUGCCGUAACCGCUUUUGGAUGACGGAGAACAAACGUCCUUGUUAUGCAUUUUGAUCGGUGAAGUAAUACUGCAAAAUUACCAGAAAACGAUUAAAAAACGUGACGAAGAUCGCGAUAAACAAAAAUUCAUAGAUUCAUAAUCAUUUCACGCAUAAAUCAAUGUAUACAUUUUCAGAUCAAUCAAUAAAUUGGCGAAUUAAAGUAACAGUUUAACGAUCGAAGAAAAAUUGAAAAACCUAACCGAUUCAAGAAAAUAUACAAACGAAAUUAAUAAAGCGCGCUAAAAAACGAAUGCGAUUAUUCAAAGAGAAAUGAGAAGAAAGCAUUACCGAUGAAGAAGAAGAAGAAGAUUCACAAAUUCGAUCGUAACAGAAAGGAUGAGAAACGACGAGAAGCUCCACCUUCACAAGCAGAAGCUUCUCGAAAGAGAGAAAGAUGAAGUAAAAUUUGGAAAGAGAAUGAUAUGGUUAGUUAGAAGAGAGAGAGGUGGAAGAAGAGUUUAUAUAGUGACAAUGGUGAAGAGGGUGUGUUUGUUUGGUGCGAGGGAAAAUCAAAACCGUCUUCAACACACUUUCCAACAGAAUUCACUUUGCGAUUUUCGAGGCAGUGGAGUUAGUUUCCAUAAUUACCCCUCAUAAUUUCAAAGCAACCGUGUAUUCCUUGUGGUGUUUUUUGGAAUUCAGUUUGUGUCUUCGUUGUAAGUGAAAUGCAUCUACUGAAUAAGACCACUGAUAUUUAAUCGAAUGGUUGAGAUCAACUGGAGGUUUACCAGAAAAAGAUCCUUCGCUAUCAGUGUAUAUUCUUUCUUUCUGGUUUUAUUUUUAUGCAAUAUACUCCUCUACGACUAUAUUCUCUUACCAAUUUUGUACAUGCUUUAUUCAUGAAUAAAUUGUAUGUUUUAUUGGUUGAUUGUAUAAAUUGUAUGUAAAUGUGUUUAUGUGAUUUACGUCAAAAUCCUAAUUAUGCACUUACUCACGGCAUAAUCACUUAAACUAGAUAAAUUAAAUUGAGUUGGAAUAAUCAUAAAUUUUAACUCAAUUGACAACAAAUAUAGAUACUGAAAUUACUAUGAUGUUGCGAACGGAGUCAAUUCUGAUUUUUCUAUUUAUGAGUGUGAUUUUUUAAUAUGUAUAUUUGUAUAAAAUCAUUGUCAUGACAAAAUUCUUCAAAUGAUCUUCUUUCAAAACAAAUAAAAAAAAAAUUCAAAUAAUCAAAACAGUUUAGCGGGUUAAAUUGUUUAGGGUUUAAUUUAGACAUAUAAUUAAAAUGAGGUACAUAUAUGUGAUUUGGCAGAACUAUUACAAUGUUAGUGGCAUAUCUUAUUUACUCAAUUGUUUAUGUACAUUGAGGUUUAAUAGUAGAAGAAAUAUUAGAUGAUUAUCGAUAUACAUUGAUAUUUAGAUUGUUGCACGAACAGUUCAAUAUAACUGGGUAUUCUACCAAAUUAUUUUACGACACCCCGCUUUAAUAGUAUGACAUGUAACAUAUCCAUUACACCGAUAUUUAUGUACAUCGAGGUUUAAUAGCGGAGAAAUAUUAGAUGAUCAUUGAUAUACAUUGAUAUUUAGAUUGUUGUAUAGAUAGUUCAAUGUAUUCUGUUAAAUCAUUUUACUACACCCCGUUUUAAUAGUACGACAUGUAACAUAUCCAUUAAACAGAUAGACUACAUCCAUUAAACUCUAUGAGGAACUUAUUUUUCAUUAAUAAUUUAUUCACUUAAAAGUUACUUUAAUAUACUGAUAAUAAAAAUAAAAAUUAUAUUUAAGCCAUUAGGAUUGGUCCAGCCACGAGGGAUUUUGAUG
rnacentral:lncRNA from 1 species